GCAUUCUAAAUUACCUCAAUCAUGGUUAGUUUGCACUUUGUAAUAUUGAAAGUGCAUGACAUUUCAACAAGUGAUACUAUAUACUCUUGCCUUCGGACAAAGGGCUGAUACUUCCCAGGGUAACUGUUUCUUCAUCCCACGAUAAGGCGAAUUCAAAAGUUUCCCAAAAAUGUUUCCGUUUACUUUUCAAUCAGUAUCUUUUCACAUUCUGAAAUUUGAAGCAGCUUUCAGGAUCAGCAGAAGUUUUGCCCAUCCCUGAUGUGGGUCAUCCAUUAGCUAAAUACCAGCUCUAAAGAGAUUAAAACACAGUUUAAACUUCUUGCUAAAGGUUAGGAUUUUUCCUAUUACAAUAGUUCUUAUCUCAUGGUUCUUUUACGAUGUUAAUUUUCAUAUUUCUAUUUCUGAAGUGACAUAAUUCGUAAAUAACGUAAAUCAAGCUGUUAAAGAGGAAUUUAGCAUAUGAAUUGGAUUAAUCUUUUGAAAGGCAAAGGAACAUCUGUGAUGCAUUAAUAGAUAUGGACACAUUCUCGAUUGAAAUGUUAUAUAGAAAAGCUGCAAAAAGUUCUAAGUUUUGUUAAGACACAUUCUUGAUUGAGUAGCUAUCCUUGUUUACCCACGAUUAAUAUUUUUCGCCUUUCUGCCUUCACUAUCAUUAUUUUUUAGUACAUUUAUAUAGUGAAAAGACGAUGUUUUUGUUUAUUAGAGCUGCAAAAACUUCAAGGAGCUUACUGAAGUGUGCUUUUCCAAAAAAAUAAUGUCAAAAACAUUGAGGAGCUUUUGAUUUCCAUAAAAUGCAUGCUAAAAAAAAUUCUGCACUCUACGUCUCUUUUCACUGCUUCUACAUGCAACGAAAGCAGUCUGGUGCCCUUUAUGGUUGUUUUUGCUUAUAAUCAUCAUCCUUUUCCACUCCCUUUUGUUUUACUCAUCUAAGACUUUUUUUUUUUUUUUAAAUAGCCUCAACCAAAUCUAUGUGACAUUUCAUUUCGAUUUUGGGAUAAAAACUUGUUUUGAUACUUUAUAUGUGCCAAUAUUAACCUUCUGCAACGUAAUAUGUGCGCAUAUUACAUCAAAAAUUAAGAAAUGCAUAACAAAUAUGAAUAUAGAACUCACUGGAAUGAAUGAAGGUAUGGUGCAUAAUCUUUAAUCUUUUCACAUACUACAUGAAAAAUGUUGUGGGAAAGUACACCGUAAUUUUUUUAUUUUUUUGAUGAGGGGGAACCCGCAAUCGCUACCCUUUCGUGAAGGAUCAUUUCAUGCUUCAACAAUUUUUUUCUACUAUACUUAACCUAUUCAAAAACUCAGUUAGAGUUCUAUAGAAAGCAUCAACAACAAACAACAUCGUUGAACUUGAAGCAACUUUUCUUUGCACCAACGCAUCUCUCUCUAGUAAGAUCAUUUUAAUUUAUUUUUAUAUUAUCUUUCUCUCAACUCAUUAAAUAAUUUCUUUCUUAAUGAAAGCAUUUAGAUUAAUUCUGAUUUUAUUUCCUAGUCCAACUUGGUAAAUUAGUGUGAUAAGAAAACAAAUAAUUAGGCGUAUCAAGUACCUAAGGACUAAUUGAGAAGAUUGAGACUCCUCGAUCUUGACUUCAUUCUGAGGAGGAUUAUUCUCAAAUGGUGUUCAAAACUUGCUUGUGCCAAGAGUUACUUUUACUCAACUUGGCUCUAGGAUUAUACUCAAUUAGGUUAAGAAUAACUAAGGCUGAACUCGGCCUUUUUGAGGGAAUAUGCUCAAACUAAGUUGAGACUUACUUGGACUUAUAUGCGAACUAGGUUGAGACUUGCUCGAAAUUGUUUCAAGCCAUAAAUGAAAUGUUCCUAAUGAGGUUGAAAUCUGAGCAAGACUCGGAUGCCCUUAUGAUAAAUCAUAAUUAGUCAAUGUCGAAACUCAAUUGUGCUAAAAAUAAUAAUGGUCAAUCACGAUUGAGAUUCACCUAGGUUAGACUUAAUCCUUAGCUGCCUAACUUGUGUGGCAAUCAUAUCAGCAUUGUUGCCUUUAUCUUUGGUUUCUUUUAACCAAAUAUAAAAUUAUAUCAAGCAUGAUGCAAUGUGACACUAUUCCAUCUGGAAGGGUUCUGCAUAGGGUGAGUUUAAUAUCUUUUGUAUUAUGUUUUAUCAUUAAUUUUCUACAUAGUAUUAAUUAGCAAACUAUCUUGAGAUCAACAUCGCAAAACACUUUAAAAAUUUUCUAAAGAGCUAUGGAGAUGCAUGUCAGUAGGAGAAAGAAACGUUAUAUCUCAGGGAGGUAAGCAGCAAUAUGUCACGGGUUCUGGAAGGGUUCUGCAUAGGGUGAGUUUAAUAUCUUUUGUAUUAUGUUUUAUCAUUAAUUUUCUACAUAGUAUUAACUAGCAAACUAUCUUGAGAUCAACAUCGCAAAACACUUUAAAAAUUUUCUAAAGAGCUAUGGAGAUGCAUGUUAGUAGGAGAAAGAAACGUUAUAUCUCAGGGAGGUAAGCAGCAAUAUGUCACGGGCCUAGUUUCGCCACUUCCUAACUACACUAGCGCCAUACGGCCUCAAUGCUUCACAGCUCCCAUCUCCCACUAGAUAGCUUUAAGCCUUUAACUAAUGAGGAUAAAUUAUAUGUUUACUUUGGUGGAAAACUUCCUCUCAAGUAUUUUUUCUCUGCUAAAAUAUUACUCAACCUCACUUUUAUUUAUAGGCAAACCCAACAAACUCAAGGGUUCUCAUUGGUAGCCAUUGCAUGUCUCUACACUUACAAGUUGUCAUGUUGCAAGGCCGUAUCCCUUUCCAACCUUAUGCUAAUUAGCAUGUCUCUUUCCAUGGAAAUAGACAAUCUCUACAACUUAUUGUGUAACAUGUGUCCCUAUCAUGGACUUUGCUUCUUCCGUCAAGCUUGGCUUCCUCACUGCACAAGUUGUACAAGUUGGUGUAAACUUGGACUUAGCAUCCACUUGCAUCCAAAAUCACCGGCAAUAGUUUACAGCCUUUCAUAAUAGUGAUUUUCAAAAACAUAACUUCUGUCCUUGCGUCCCUUGCAAACGUUUUUCCCCAUCUGCUUGUGUUCUGUUUGUUCAAUUGUCUAUGUCCUACCUACCUAGCUCGAUUGCAAAUUUUGCUUAUGUUUUGUUUAUUUAAUCUGCUUGUGUUGCUACUUACGUUCUUGAGCUGUAGUGCAUGCCCAAUCUGUUUGAAUUUUUUCCUUUCCACGUCCCCCUACUAUAAUGACUAUGCUGGUCUUACCUGUGUCCCCUUCCAUAGUUCUUGUGUUUUCUCAAAUUGUGAUCCCUACCGCAGGUAGUUCUGCUCAGUCAUGGUGCACUAUUUGCGCUACCUAAUUCUACCUGCGCCUCAUAUAGCAAGAAGUUACUAUGCAUGCUUUAAACAUUAUCACUUUCUUUCCUUUGUGGUAGUUCCCUCGACAAAUCUGUUGGCAUCACGUCCUUAUAUUAAACAGUUGGAUUCAUCCACAUCUUGGCUAUCUAUGACCUCUAGUUUUCUCCUCGAGAUGGACGCCAAUGAUCAUAGAUUAGGAUAAUCCCGCAUGAGAUGUGGCCCUUUGCAUAUUUGAAUCAACCACUAGGAGCAAAAUUACAUUUUUAUCUUCAUAAACCUUCCUCCAAUUAGUUUUUUGUUGCCAUUGGGCUUAUAUUCGACUUUGGGAUUUGGUCUCCAAUUUGGCUUACGCCACCCCUACCUUUACCAAAAGUUCCUUUGGUUAGUUUGAAGGUCCUUUGCUUGCGUCUUCGUACUCCUUUGGAAUUCGUCAAAGAUUUGACAACCGUAAUUGCCUUAUCUACAUCUUUGAUGUUGUGAUGUUGUAAUUCUUGCCACACCCAUGUUGCACAACCAUCCAUGAAAUAGAAUAGCAAGACAUUUUUUGACAUGCUUGGGAUUUGAAGCAUAAAGGUCGUGAACUCUUUGAAGUAGUCAUGAAUGAUACCUUUAUGUUUCAAGUUUCUUAGUUUCUUGCGGGCCUCAAACACAACAUUCUCCAACCAUGCUGGAAGAUGAUUUAAUGUUCUAAUUUUUAGACUAAUGUACUUGUUGGGCACGACAAGAGUCAAGUCACGGAGUCAACCGUGAUGCCUGAUUGUGGUUGUUUUUGAGUUUGCAAGCAAAUUUUCCCAUUUCCAAGCUAUAUACGAUAGUUACCGUUGACCUCGCAAAUUGGACUCUCCAUGUGGUCAAUCGAGAGCCACUCCAUUUGUUCCUCCCUAUGCACAAUAAUGAACGGUCAGACAUAUACGGCCAAUACCAGCAGGGUGCACACUAUGUCGGUCAAAAUCAGUGGACGGUGAUAUGAAGUAGAGAAGAUUACCCUUAUCUCUUGUCUAGCCUUUGGUGUUUAUAGGCAAAGGGCACCGCUAGAUGUGGGUGUCGUAUAUGCAUCUCAUGGUAUGAGGUCAUUAGCCGCAUCCUAAGGGGGCAGGUAAUUAAUUCUUCUGACAUGUGAGUUGACAUAAGGCUGCGAUGUUGCAUCAAUCAAUUCAUAUAGUUAAGGGAAUCCUGACACAGGGAUACAUCUCUAAAACUGAUGGUAGAGGGGCCUCUGCACUCCUUCACCGUUUGAUGCCUCAUCUCCUCACAAUUUAAUGUCAAAGGAUGCCUCGAAUAGUAUCACUUAGGUUAUACCUGUGCCUCAUAAGCACGUGGUUACUUCGGGCGUAAUACUGGUCUCCCCAAGUUCGAGUUGUGGCUGCUGUUUAAAGGCUCAAAAGCUUCACAUCUUCAAUCAAGGCAACGUUUCAACCACAUGGGACUACGUGUCAGGAAGGUUGAAGCUCUGUAAAGUUGAGGAGUACAUCUUCAACCGAGGGGUGUCACAGCAGGGGAUGAUGCUUUGUAAAGCUUUGACUGAGGCGUGUCACCGCAGGGACGACACUUUGUAAAGCUUUUGUAAUGUUUCGACUGAGACGUUGACCCACAGGGAGACGAUGCCUAGGAGAUGACUUGAAGCUUUCACAGCGCUUCGACUGAGGCGUUGACCCACAGGGGAUUACAGGAUUGAAACUCUGUAAAGCUAGGUUGUGAUCCAAAACGUGUAGCAUGGAGUCUUGAAUGAUGUGUCACUAGGAAGAUGGUUGGAUACGAUGACAAAAAAGGCUUUCGUAACGCUUCAAUCGAGGCGUUGAUCCACAUGAGACUACUCUUCAACCGAGGUGCUGACCCAUAGGAGGAUGACGCCUAGGAGAUGGCCUGAAGUUUUGUAAAGCUUUCGUAAUACUUUGACCGAGGCACUGACCCACAUGGGACUACACAUCAGGAGAGUUGAAGCUCUGUAAAGUUGAGGAGCACAUCUUCGAUCGAGGAGCUCUGUAACUCUAUGAAUCUGCUUUGCAACUAAUUGGAUUAAUUUCUGACAUAAGCAUUGGAGGCCUACUAUUUGAAGCAUCUUUGUAUGGAAAGAUUGGUAAUCCUGACCUGAAAUAUCCAGCAUGCAUCAAAAAGCAAUUGUACCUGCACGUGGUGUUAAAUUUUGCUCUUCACAUUGCUCAAGCCAUGGACUGUUUAAACACAAACGAAAUUAUAGAUAGAGAAUUAAAACUUGGUAUUUGAUUGGGCAAUGAGCAAUUAAAGAUUUUAUUCAUCUAUAAUAUUGUUAUAUUGUGUAGUUUCGAACAAUUUUAUUAUUUCAAUGGAGAUUUUAAUAUUUUGUUCACCAGGAUUUCAUAUUGUGUAGGUUAGUUUGAAGGGGUAUUUUAAUAACAAGUAGGUAAAUAUAUAUGUCACAAUAUGUUGUCAUUUUCUUUUUAGUUUUAUUAUCUGGGUUGUUAUGCUAUCCAUCCCCAAAGGAGUAAAAAGAGAGAAAUAGAGGAAAAAAAGGAUGAGCUUAAAUCAAUUUUGAAACUUAUUUAUGUUGUGCUCAAUGACAUAUAUCUAUUUCUUACCAUAGGCAAUUGAUGCUUAUAUUACCCGGCGAAGCAGAAAAAGAAUGCUAUGAAAAGCGAAGCAUUUCUAUUCUAUAUGACAACUGAGAACGCCAUUGCCUGUGAGUACUUGUAGACAUAAUUCUUUAGUGAGGGUUUUCCUUUCGAGUCUUUGUCUUUACAUAUGUAGGAGGAAGAUCUAUUUGUAUUUUAAGUACGAGCACUAGUUGGAUAAAUCUUGUAUUAUUUGUCUUUUUUUCAAUAAUAUUAUUGUUCUUAUUCCACAUGUAAAAUGAUUUCUUGUGUUUUGAAACAAUAUGACCUAAUAAGUUUCUUUGCAUGCUCAGUAAGGGAAAGUUCAUUCCAAUGUAGUUAUAGCAAACAUUGAGUUGAAUGCACGAGAAAAGACACUUAUAACUAAAAGAGCAAACCAACCCCUGAUUGAAGGAGCUUUAGAACACUCCUUUCCACUUGAGAAACUAUCACACCAUAGAGCAAAAGAGAGGUGAAAUCAAUGAACCCAAAAGAAAAUAUUUACAUAGUAGAUUAUAGACAAUGAUAAGAUCGAGAAAAUUAGUGGGAUAUAGACCCAGAAAAACAUGGAAAUUAAGAUAAUAUUUCAUGCACAUUGAUUGUCGAGUUUUCUAACUUUGACCAAGAACCAUGAAAUGAUCGUAUCCAAAUCUUCAAGCAAGUGUACUCUCCAGCAAUAAGAUUCAGAUAGUAGCCGAAAAGAAAAUUCCAUCUGUUGUUUUUUAGAGAAAUACUGCAAACCAUAUUAUUCAAGCACAUUCUUUACUUAAUUACGACAUAAUCAUGCAUAUAACAUUGUCAAAGGAAGUGUCAUUAUCAGAACUUACAAAUUAUCACCACUGGGGAUUAUCAAACAAUGAAAAUGAACUAUCACAAACAUUUGAUUAUGAGAAAAAAAUUAGUAUUAGCGAACACAAAGAGGGUGGAGGAGGAUGAUGUUUAUGAGCAAAAACAACGAUAAAAGAGAAGUAGAAUGUUGAGUUAAUAGCCAAUUAAUUUGAAAAAUUGCACACAAUAAAAACUCCUCAAUAUCAAUAAAAUAGAAAUAUGAUGUUUUGACAAAUUAUAUUUCGUGUUCACGGAUGUUCUUAGCAUAUAAAUAUACUAAAAAUGUUUACACAUUAGAGUGAAAGUGAAAGAUGUUAAUUGUCGUAUCGAAGGGCGAGUAGUUUGCUCCCCACGACAUUUAGGAGAACAUAAUUAAUGAUUUGAUUCCAAUUUUUAAAUUUAUUCUAGGAAACAUAAUUAAUGAUUUGAUUUCGUUGAUUUUAUAAUAAUUUCCUACUUUAAUUAGGACUAGUUAAACCUAUAUAAAUGAGUCGUUUACGUUAUAAUACAACCUUUUGAUUAUGAAAUGAAUUGAUAUUCUCCCCUCAUCUCUUUCUAUUCUCUCCCCAUUCUUUUCUCUUUUCACCCUCAUUUAUCCUCAUCUCUCCCUCUUAUCAUUCUCCUAUAAUUCUCUUGUUGUAUUUGGUGUCAAUUUAGUUUCAGAGUUCAAUUCUUUUCCUUCGACCAAUAAAUUCCACCUCCACACUUCAACUAACCAUUUCAACCUUCAAGAAUUGAACCAUAACAACCAACAAAUCCCAUUUCAUCGGAACAGUAAAAAAACUCAAAACCUACUUUAAACUACCAAAAAAGGGCUGCACAGUAGCUGUCUUUUUCUCGUGAAUAGUUUUAGCAGUUGGAAAAAAAAGUCCCAAAAAAAAAGCAGUUAGUUCACCUAUUAUGUAGAUGAUGUUUUCGAUUUGAAGGAAAAAAAUGGAGGUUUAAUUUUCCAUCACCGAAUUAUUGCUGCAUUACUUACUGUGCAGUUUAACAAAAACCCCAAUAUACACACUCCAAACAUUCAACCUAUACUAGCCCUAUCUACAAACCAACCCCUUAUAUAGUCCAAAACAUACUCUAGCUUAUAACUCAUUAUCCAAUUUACCCAGCCCAAAUUUUGUAUAAAGUCAACAAUGUUAAACAAAUCCCAACAACACAUAACCCAAUAAAAACAAUAGUAUACCCAAGCCUAUAUCACAACAAAAAAAUAAAAAUAAAAAAAUUCGAUAGUUCCACACAACGCUGCCCAACCCAAGCCCAAUUGCCAACAAAAUUAAGCAGCCCGUAUAACUCCUAAACUUAGCACAUUCACCCAAAAUCCUUCAAACUGAUCCAAAUCUGAUCCCACUCUUCCUUCAUGCCCUAAGUCCAACCGGCUUACUCUCGUGAAUGUGAACACCAUAUCAUUUUCGCUACUCCCAACCCACAACAACGACUUUAAUUGUGCCAAAUCAUCGACCCGCCCUACAGCAACUGUAAUACACCAAAACACCCAACCCAUACCAAAUCCCCAGCCAUAUAUCUCACCUCUGCCCACCAUCGCCAAAUAUAUUGCCUCCACUCAAAACCAGAUCACCUUUCACCGCUGGCCACUACUAUCAAUCUCACUAGAACCUUCAUUCUGGUCUCUCUGAUUGGUAUCAAUGUUUGGGUUGUAUUUCAAACUUGGUUCUAUUAGCUUACAAUGGAAAAAAAAAAGAGAGGAGAAAAACUAAAAAAAGAAAAAAGAAAAGGGAGAGUAAGAAAAGAAAAAAGAAAAAGAAAUUUCCUAACAUUAUUUGCAGGUGAUAUUUUAUUCAUGUUGAUUGAUUCAAUUAUCGUCGUGCCACUGUAGUCUUGCCAAUUUGAAAAACAUGAUUGUGACAUUGUUUGACUCCUUCAAAUCUUGAGAGGUACAGUUUUUAAUCGAAGGGAAAAGUGAUAUGUAGGAAUAUAUUGAUGGAGGUCUUCCAACUCCUGAUCAAGAGAAGGACGAGGAGAAGUACCUUGCUUAGAGAACCAAAUCUUCUUGAAUUAUGGUUUGGAUCAUCAGAUUUCUUGAUGUUCAGAUUGUUCUUAAUCUCAGGCCUUAAAAGUUUGCUUGUGCUAUGUAGGAAUUUUUAAAGAAAUUCUACACUCAAAACAACAAUACUUGACAACUUUAGUUAGAAUUUAAAUGGGCAAAUUUUUCUCAAAACUCUCUCUCCAAUGAAAAGUUUUUAUUCUCAUUUUUCUAACCUUUGGAUAGACAAAAAUUAUUCAUGCAUCAGUUUCACCUAGGGGUUUAGAGGUUGUACAAGGUAAUGCAUAAAGUCACCAAGAGGGAUCAAUUUCUCAUGAAAUUGCAUCCUAAAUUUGAAUCUAUUUGAUCCAGUCUUAUGAAUUGCGAAUAUAUUCCAACGUUGGAUGGUUGUUUGGAUGAGCUAUUAAAAGAAGAGUAAUGACUUAUCACUCGUACUUCUUUGGAGCAACAACAAAAUCAAAUAUCACCAAUUCAUGUUGCAUAUGCUACUCCAGGGAAACUCAGACAUUGAGAUAUGUCCAAUGUGCAAUGUUACAGUUGUAAAGGGUUUGGUCACAUGUCUCUGUGUCCGAAAAAGGUACGCAAUUAUUGAAAGAAGUCUGGAAAUGUAAUUAAGAAGUGUCCUAUUCACCCUCCAUGCAAGACUGGACCAAGUUAUGUUGUGCUACAACUCUAUCCUCUAAAUUCUGCAAUGCCAGUUCCCUCUAUUCCAGCUCCAACCUCUCUGAAUCCUUCCUCAAACUCCAACACUCCAGAUAUAAUCCAACAAAUGGUUUUUUCUACAUUAUCUACCCUAGACAUCUCAAGUAAUCCAUCGACCGCUUCUCCCUCCUAGCUAUUAGACUCUGGUCCCUUUAAUCACAUGACUCAUGAUCCUUUAUUACUUAAUAACCUUAGACCAUAUAUUGGUCCGCUCAAUAUACAUACUGUCGAUGAUGAUCAUUUGUUACUUAUUAACCUUAAACCAUAAGUAUACUACUGAUGAUAACACUCUUCCUAUUAUAGCCAUGGGUGAUAGAUAUAUCACCAAAUUUAUCUAAUUUGUUAACUAGCCUUAUAUUUGUUGUGAUGUGAACCCGCGUAGGCAAAUGCUAUGGAACCCACGAACAAGAUUGAAAUCUUCCCAAGAAAGCCAAAGCAAGUUUUGGAUUAAAUUCAAUAGAUCUGGGACCAAACAACCCGAAUCACCGACGAUGUGCGGACCUUUUGAUUACACAAAAAUAUGGAAUCUCACCCGGUUGAUUUGAACACCAAAAGAUUAAAUCUUGAUAAGUUCUUGAAUUGUUCAAUUGUAGAACAAGAGUUGAAAGCAAUAUAGCCUCUCAAAUUACAAAUAAUGUCAAAAGGUUCUUACAAUUGAAAAUAAAAUAGUACUUAUACAAGGUCUAAAAAACUAGGUAAAUACGUGCCUAAUAUUUCAAAAUGGUAAGAUAUCUACUAAGUAUCAAAUUCUAUCAAAAAUAGGAAAUUCGCGAAAAAAUAAAAAAAUGCGUGAAAUUUUAACCAUGUGGCCGCAUGGCGUAAAAUCAUGCGGCUGCAUGGAAUAUUUGAAAAUCCUGAAUAAUUCCCUUCUUGCUCCGUUCGACCACAUGACAGUUUUAACCAUGCGGUCACAUGGUUCUUCUCUCCAGCACCAUCUUCGGCUGCUUGUAUCGUGUUGAUCCAAUUGGUUUUGGCCUUCGACCCGAAUAUGAAACUUGUCCCAUUUUGAGUUUCGAACAUGAUUUCAUUGAUGGUUGUCUUGACGAGUAAUUCCAUCCCAUCUUUCACUCACUUUGUCCUCGCUCGUGUCAUAGGUCCACCUUCGACUUUCAACGGAUCUUUCCCCGGGCUUGACAUUGGACUUGAUUUGGUUGCUUGCGGCUCUUGGAUCACAUCAUCCCCUCCCUUUUUGAAAGGAUUCAUUCUCGUAUCUGAACCUGUAUCAAAGAGAGAAAGAUCAGAUAUAUUAAAAGUUGUCGAAACAUUAUACUCACUUGGAAGAUCCAAUUUGUAUGUGUUGUCAUUGAUCUUCUCAACUACUUGGAACAGUCCAUCUCCUCGUGAUAACAACUUUGAUUUUCCUUGCUCUAGGAACCGCUCUUUUCUAAAGUGCACCCAAACCCAGUCUCCUAGUUUGAAUGUGACAAUUUUUCUGCCUUUAUUUACUUGCUCCGCAUAGUGCUUGCUUUUUUUCUCAAUUUGCUCCCGCACCUUUUCAUGGAGUGACUUCAUCAUCUCGGCCUUCCUUUUUCCAUCCAAGCUACCUCGUUCAUUAACAGGCAAAGGUAUUAAAUCCAUAGGUGUUAUAAGAUUAAAAUCAUAAACAAUUUCAAAAGGAGAAAAUGACGUAGUGGAGUGUGGCCCUAUUAUAUGCAAAUUCAAUGAAAGGUAAGCACUCUUCCCAAUUCUUCAAAUUCUUAUUAACUACAGUGUACAAAAGUUGUGUCAUAGUCCUACUCACUACUUCGAUUUGGCCAUCUUUUUGUGGAUGUCAAGUUGUAGAAAAUAGUAGUUUCGUGCCUAACUUACCCCAUAAGACUCUCCUAAAGUGAUUAAGGAACUUAACAUCCCUAUCUGACACUAUGCUUUUAGGUACCCUAUGCAAGCUCACAAUUUCUUCAAAGAACAAAUCUGUAAUGUUAGUGGUGUCAUCAGUUUUGUGACAUGGGAUGAAAUGUGUCAUUUUACUAAACCUAUUCACCACUACAAAAAUUGAAUCUCGUCCCUUUUUAGUCCUAGGCAAACCUGACACAAAGUCCAUUGAAAUAUCUACCCAAAGUUCACUAGGUACUAGCAAAGGUGUAUACAGUCCAUGAGGUAAGACCCUAGAUUUGGCCCGUUUAAAUUUUAUGCAACGACUACAAACCCUUUCUGCAUCAACUUUCAUUUUAGGCCAAUAGAAAUGUUAAGUCAAUAUCUCUAAGUUCUUUGCUACCCCAAAGUGACCUAUAAGUCCCCCACUAUGUGCUUCUCUAACCAGUAAUUCACGCAUAGAGCCAUUUGGAACGCAUAAUUUACUCUCUCGAAACAAGUAUCCCUCAUGUUUAAAGAACUUAUCUAUAUCCCCCCUAUGACAUGAAUUGUAAAUGUCGAAAAAAUCAGAAUCAGUAACAUAAAUGUCCUUAUUAUACUCAAAACCAAGCAAUUUUGCACUUAAAGUAGUUAGAAGCACAUACCUGCGCGACAGUGCAUCUGCUACUACAUUUUCAUUACCUUGUUUGUAACGGAUGGCAUACGGAAAAGUUUCGAUGAAUUUCAUCCAGCGUGCAUGUCGUUUGUUCAACUUACCUUGACCCCGCAAAUGUUUCAGUGACUCAUGAUCUGAAUGAAUUAUAAACUCCUUUGGUCAUAGGUAAUGCUGCCAUGUUUCCAAAGCUCAAACAAGAGAAUAGAGUUCCUUGUCGUAUGUAGGAUAAUUGAGAGCCGCACUACUAAGCUUUUCAUUAAAGUAUGCUAUAGGUCUCUUAUCCUACAUUAAGAUUGCUCCUAUACAUAUUCCUGAUGCAUCGCACUCAAUCUCGAAAGUUUUGUCAAAGUUAGGAAGUGCUAAAAUCCGUGCUUUACACAAAGAAUCUUUGAUAGUGUUGAAUGCAUGUUCUUGCUCUAACCCCCAAUGAAAUCCUACAUUUUUCUUGACAAUUUCAGUUAAGGGUGUGGUGAUUGUGCUAAAAUCUUUAACAAAAACCUAUAAAAACUAGCCAAUUCAUGACAACUUUGAACCUCGGUUAUGUUUUUAGGUGUUGGCCAAUCCUUGAUAGUUUUUAUUUUCUCUUCAUCUACCUCUACACCAUUAGCACUAACCAUAAAGCCUAAGAAUACAACCCUAUCCAUGCAAAAUGUACACUUUUUAAAAUUGGCAUAAAGUUGUUCCUUUCUUAAAACCACAAGCACACAUUUUAGAAGACUCUUGCUAUAGAUUAAAAUGUCGUUAAAAUAAACUACAACAAAUUUUCCAAUGAAAGCACGCAAAACAUGAUUCAUUAAUCACAUAAAAGUGCUUGGUGCAUUUGUGAGUCCAAACGGCAUGAAUAACCAUUCAUACAACCCAUAUUUAGUUUUAAAAGCCGUUUUUCAUUCAUCACCCUCCCUCAUGCGAAUUUGAUGAUAUCCACUUUUAAGGUCAAUUUUACUAAACAAAUAUGCAAUAUGUAACUCAUCUAACAUAUCAUCUACCCUAGGAAUUGGGUGACGAUACUUUACUGUUAUGUUGUUGAUGGCUCUGCAAUCCAUGCAUAUUCUCCAAGACCCAUCUUUCUUUGGCACCAGCAACACAGGUACUGCACAUGGACUCAUGCUUUCCCUUACAUAUCCCUUGCUUAUCAAUUCCUCAACUUGCCUCUGAAGCUCCUUUGUCUUCUCUAGAUUACUCCAAUAAGCCGGUCUGCUCGGAAUGACAGCGCCAGGUAUAAAAUCAAUUUGAUGCUCAAUUCCUCUAAUGGGUGGUAACCCACUUCGCACGUCCUUUGAAAAUACAUCGUCAAAUUCCUGCAAUAAAGAAAUAGCCAAAUUAGGGAGGGAUGUGUUAUGCUCCUCAAAGUUGAGGGGUGACUCCUUGUAAACCAACAAUAUCAUUUGUUGUCUCUCAACUAUUGCUUUUUUCAACUCACUGCCUCUCACAAAGAAAUUUUGUUUCGACUUUUGUCUCAUCUCGGAAGACUCUCUUUCUUUUUUCUCAUGUGGUCCCACUCUUUUUUCCUCUUUAUUGGCCACCUCACUCUUUUGUCUCUAUUUCUCUAACUCUGUCACUCUCAUUUCUUCUUCAUUUUUUAGUUGAACUUGGUCCUCAUAUACUUGUGCCAGUGUUAAUGGCGUGAGAGAGAUAGACCUCCCAUCUUUUAUAAAGUUGUACUUAUUUUUGUACCCAUCAUGCAUUACUUUCCUAUCAUACUGCCAUGGCCUUCCCAACAAAAUAUGCCCCGCAUGUAUAGGUACAACGUCACACAUUACCUUAUCCUGAUAUCUACCAAUGAAAAAAUUAAUCAACACCUAACUUAUCUACAAUGUCAGUGCUAGCUACAUUAGUACAACUACCGCCAUCAAUUAUCACAGUACAUACCUUGCCAUUAACGUGACACCGAGUGUGGAAUAUAUUUUCUCGCUGCUGCUCCAAGUCGUCCGCCUUGAUUUGAGCACUAAGAGCUCGCCCCGUGACCAACAACCUACUGUUAACUACAUAGUUGUAUCUUCCUCAUCAACAUCUUCCAACCCUAGCAUGUUUGCAUAUUCACUUUCACUUUCAAUUUCCACUUCCCCGCUGUCUCGUAGAAUCAUUGUCUUCUUGUUUGGGCAUUGAGAAGCAAUGUGCCCUACUCCCAAGCAUCAGAAACAUUUGAUGUCCCUGUUUCAUGAUGGUUGUGACUCUCCCUUUGGUAUAGGCUUGCUAGCACCCUCUUCCUUGCCUCUUGGUACCUCAGCUCUUCCUCUUGCAGUAUUCCCAUCUCCUUUGUUAUUUAUCCACUUCGAUUUCCAAGAAGAAUUAGAAAUGGAAGAUCCAGAUGGGUGCCUUGCUGUUCCUUUUCGCUUCAACUGCCUUUCUACCUUCAUCGCCACAUGUAAUAUGUCUUCAAUUUCCACAUAGUGCUGCAAUUCCAUUGUAUUUGUAAUUUCUCUGUUCAAUCCACGCAGAAACUGAGCCACGGUAGCUUCACUAUCCUUCUCUAUAUUUGCCUUGAUCAUUAGUGUCUCCAUCUCCUUAUAGUAAUCUUCUACACUCCUGGAGCCUUGAUAUAAAUUUUGCAAUCUUUGAUGAAGCUCCUUAUAGUAGUGAGUAGGUACAAACCUCUUCCUCAUGAUAGUUUUCAAUUCCUCCCAUGUAUUGAUAGGUCACUCCCCACUUCUCCGCCUUAAAGUCACCACCUGAUCCCACCAAGUGAUUGCAUAAUUCGUGAAUUCAAGAAUUGUAAUUUUCACCUUCUUCUCCCCCAAGUAAUUGUGGCAAUCGAAGAUUAACUCAAUUUUCUUUUCCUAGUCCAAGUAGGCCUCCAGAUCACUCCUACCUUUGAAGAAAGGAGUGGUCAUUUUAAUGUUACUCAAGUUUCCAUCCACCUCAUCUCCACCGAGAUUCCUACCUCUCCUUUCUGGUCUAACUCCUCUAUUUCUACCCUUUUAAUAUCCAUAUCCACUAUCGCAUCCUCAUCCAAUCCACUAUCAACCUCGAAUUCAUUAAGCUCCUCCAUCCUAGGUUCCCGCCUACCCUGUCUCUGUGCAUUAAGACCACCUCUUCGGGUAUUGGCAGGCAAUGGAUUUUACCUUUCUCCCAGUGCAUCCUGUCUAUCCAUCCGAUCUCUAAUAUCUACACAUAAUCGCUCAAUCCUACGUACCGUGUCCUCUAGCAUGGAAACCUGAUCAUCAACCCUUUCUAAAUUUGAUCCUUCCCUGUCAGACAUCCUAAAUUGAAAUUAUUUUCUGCAUCACAAGUUUUCACUCGGAAUUUCACUCAAUACGGCUUUUUCCCUCUAUUGCUCUCACCACUUUGCCUUUUUCCACUCGUUGCUUUCACCAAGUCUCCAAAAGAACAAUUUCGGAACUCAAUAAAAAAAAUUAAUCACGUGGAAUUCAGACUGGUGUGAGUGAGAUUACAAAACCAAGGAAUUUAGUUCUGACUAGUAAUUUGGACUAAACAAUUAAAGACUGACUCAAAAACACAAAAUAAAAAAAGAAUUACUGAUUGACUUUUAAAUUAAACACAAAAUAAUAAAUGGAACUAAAGAGAGUCGGUAAAUUUUCCCCAAGAUCAAUAACAACAAUAAUAAUAAUAAUAAUUUUUUUACUGCAUACGAAUGAACAGUACCGUACAGAUGAAGAGUAAACUUUUUUUUAAACUUGAAUUUUUUACUGCAUACAGAUGAACAGUACCGUACAGAUGAACAUUAAUUUUUUUAUACUCUUGGGAUUGAAAAAUCAAAAGUAAGACCGACACAACAAACGGAAGUUGAUUUGGAUGCAAAUUGAAUCCAAAAAUAUCUUUUGAAAUUUUUUUGGAAUUAUUUUUUUUUAUUAAAGACUCAAAAAUAACAACUGACUCGAAGAACAAUAAGAAAAUGGAAUAACUGACUCAACACGAAUUAAAAGGGAUAUAACCUUGGAUUGGAGCCAAGCUCUGAUACCUACUGAUGUGAACUCGCGUAGGCAAACGCUACAGAACCCACGAACAAGAUUGAAAUCUUCCCAAGAAAGCUAAAGCAAGGUUUUGGAUUAAAUUCAAUAGAUCUGGAACCAAGCAACUUGAAUCACCGAUGAUGUGCGGACCUCUUGAUUACACAAAAAUACGAAAUCUCACUCGGUUGAUUUGAACGCCACAAGAUUAAAUCUUGAUAAGUUCUUGAAUUGUUCAAUUGUAGAACAAGAGUUGAAAGUAAUAUAGCCUCUCAAAUUACGAAAUAUGUCAAAAGGUUCUUACAAUUGAAAAUAAAAUAGUAUUUAUACUAGGUCUAAAAAACUAGGUAAAAACGUGCCUAAUAUUUCAAAUAUGGUAAGAAAUCUACUAAGUAUCAAAUUCCAUCAAAAAUAAGAAAUUCGCGAAAAAAUAAAAAAACGCUUGAAAUUUUAACCAUGCAGUCGCAUGGUGUAGAAUCAUGUGGCCGCAUGGAACAUUCAAAAGUCCCAAAUAAUUCCUUGCCUCACUUCGUGCGACCGCAGGACGGUUUUAACCAUGCGGUCGCAUGGUUCUUCUCUCUGGCUCCAUCUUCGGCUGCUUGUAUCAUGUUGAUCCAAUUGGUUUCGGCCUUCGACCCAAACAUGAAAUUUGUCUCAUUUCAAGUCCCGAACAUGAUUUCAUCGAUAGUUGUCUUGACGAGUAAUCACAUCGCCUCUUUUACUUGCUUUGUCCUCGCUCGUUUCAUAAGUCCACCUUCAACUUUCAACGGAUCUUUCCUCGGGCUUGACGUUGGACUUGAUUUGGUUGCUUGCAGUUCCUGGAUCACAUCAUGUUGGCCAACUUGUUGAUAACAAUUCCAUUGUGUCUUUUUCUUCUUCUGGUUGUCAUGUGCACGAUUAGCUGUUCAAGAGGACGAUCAUGAAAGGGCUUCUGUUACGUUUAAUAUUUUGGUUUGGCAUAAGAAAUUUAGACAUCCCAAUUCUAAUGUAUUACAACAUUUGUUUAAUUCUAGUUUGCUCGGUAAUGAGAAUUCUACCUAGGUUUUGUUAUAUCUCUUGAUUGUGCUUCGUGUAAAUUGGUUAAGAGUAAGAUUUUACAAUUUCCAUCUCAUUGUUCUUAUGCUUCCCAUAUUUUUGAUAUUGUUCAUAGUAAUGUAUGAGGGAUUACACCUGUAGUAUCUGAUGCUCAUUACAAAUAUUUUGUUACUUUUAUCGAUAAUUAUAGUCAUUUCCAUGGGUUUACUUUCUUUGCACAAAAAGUGAGGUGCCUUUCAGGCUUUCCUUGAUCGUAUAGAUAACCAAAUUUCUCCUAGUUCAAAAUUUUGAGAUCUGAUUCGGGAGGUGAAUAAAUGUUUAAUGCGUUUCAAUCUUUCUUACAGACCAAAUUUAUUAUUUCUCAGCGAUCUUUCCCUUCGACUCCUCAUCAAAAUUGGGUGGUAGAAUGGAAGAAUCGUCACCUUCUCAACAUUUUUAGAGGUCUUCUAAUUGAGCCUUCUAUUCCCUCUUGUUUCUGGUGUGAAGCAUUGUCUACCACUGUGCAUCUCAUAAAUCUAUUACAUUCUCCCACACUUAAUAAUGUUUCUUCAUUUUAUAAGCUCAUUGGCCAUCAUCCUACAUAUUAUCAUCUUCGUCAUUUUGGUGUGUGUUUUGUUCAUUUACAGCCUCAUGAAAGGACAAAACUCACUUCGCAAUCCGUCAAAUGUGCCUUUCUAGUAUAUGGUGGGACUUAAAAAAGAUUUAUCUCUUAUGAUCCUAAGACACAAUGAAUUACAAUUUUUCAUAACGUUGUUUUCUUUGAAAAAUAAUUUUUCUCCACUUCAGAAACUGAUGUUCCCUGAUAAAAGGUGAAAAAUUGAUGUCAUAUAGGUAAAACUCAAUGGUUGAACGAGAAAUUGAAAGAAAGAAGCAAAAACUAGUGAAAAGGUGAAAUCCAAAUUAUGGGGACUAAAUUGCAACAUUUCAAUAGUUGAUUUGGACCAUGAAAUGAAAAUUGAAGAUGUUACGGAUACAAUUGGAUGCUAUUAGAAGUUAAAGGGCAAAAAUUGCUAGAGAAAAUGUCUUAAAAUAAUUAAGAAUCAAAUUUGGGGAUCAAAACUCGAAGUUUGAAAGAUCGUAUAAUUGGGUGACUGCCCAGUUAUAAAUUCGGGCAACUACUCGACUUACGAAUAAAAAUGAUGACUUCAAACUUUGCUUAGGCGAGUGCCUCAUUUCCUACUGAGCGACAGCCCAGGCCAAAAUCUCAGUUCGUAACCAAUUUCCUUUUUAAUGCCAAAUUCUACAUGGAAACCACUUCCAUGCAUGAUUCUUGACCUAAAAACCUAUAUAAAUACAAAACAUGGACAGUCAACAAAAAAAAUCAUUCCAACACCUCUCAUAUACAUCUCACCUUUCAAUAUUCAUCAAUUAUUACCAUCAAAAGAGGAAAAUUCAUAGUUUUGUGAAAGAAUUGAAGGAGACUUGCAAGAAUUCAAUCAAACGGAGAUUCAAAUUUGAUUUUCGGGGAAAAAAUAGAGGGGGUGAAUGGAGAUUCAUCAAGAAACCAUUGAAGAUAUUCAAAAUUCAAGAUUCAUCUUCAUCUUCACAAUUAAUCAAAAGUCCGAGUUAUGUUUUUCACUUAAAUAUGAUUUCUUACGAUUUCAAUAUAUUGUGCUAGUUUUAUACAUUGCUAGGAUCACAUAAUAUGUUUAGUUUUAUACAUUGCUAGGAUCACUAUAGUUUGGUUUGAUUUGUGGAUGUUUAUUAUCAUUUUUAUCGUUCUUUUCAAUUGCUUGAUCAACAAUUGAAAUUGUUAGUGGAUUUUAUUGUUAUCGAGAGAGACAAUAGGGUUUAAGCACGAUAUAAUAAACAUUGUAAGGUUCGAUGGAGGAUGAAGAUGUACCUGUAUGCUUAUAUGGUUUUCAAUAGGUAUUCUAGUACUUGUUAAUGCGUUUAUCAUGUUUGCAUCUUUCAUAAAGAGAUAGAAGGAUCACAUGAGGGCAAUAGAUUUGAUCGCUAUUGAGAGAGACUUUUGAUUAAAUUAGAAACAUUGUCUAACAUGAAUGAUGAGACUUUUGAUUAAAUUAGAAACAUUGUCUAACAUUAAUGAUUUCAAACUAUCAGUUUAAUAGUUACACUAAAAAUGGAAUGGAAUAACAAUGAGGAUUCGACAUCUUAGCAAUACUUUCAUAUAUUUGAAAAAACCCAUUAAAUCACUUACUUGUUGAAUUGAUAAUUUAGACAUUAAUAUAGAAAACUCAAAACUCGUAACUAUUCAAUUAGUUUCGACACUCUAUUCACUACUUUUUUACUUGUUCACGAUCUCAUCCACUUGGAGGAAAUCAAACGAUCAAGUUUUUGGCGUCGUUUCUGGGAGAACUAUUGUUUUUACUAAUUUUAGUUAAUUUUAGCCUUAAUAUGUAUUUUAUUGUUUUUUUGUUGUUUAUUAUAUUAGAAAAGGUCCACAAUGUUUCUUGCUUUCUUUUUCAGGACCUUCUAUGUGAAGUUCGAGAAUCGAUGAUCUUGCUCAAUUUGACCCAGAGAUAGAACGAACAUUCUACCUUCGAAGAGGACAAUAGUUGAAAACACACCAAAAAUAGAAAGAGGAAGACAUAGAAAAUGAAAUUUCGAAUCAAAUAGCCAUAGGGACUAAUCUAGAAGCAGUAUAAUCGAAUGUGGUUGCAGCUAACAAAAACACAAUUCUCAUGGGAAAGUAUAUGGUUCCACUGCAGAUGUUAUCAACAUGUUCCAAAAUGCUCUACAAUUAUUUAGAAAAGCUACGGAUAAUUCCAAGGCUCAUGUUUUAAGAUUUUUGGACAUAAGUGUAACUAUCAAGUAUGCUGGGGUGUUAAACAAAGCAAUCAGACUGAGGCUCUUUCCAUACACAUUAAGAGAUUCGGCAAGGGAGUGGUUAGCCACUCGUCCACCGUAGAGCAUCACUACAUAGAACCGAGUUAGAAAUUUCUUAACAAAUAUUUCUUGCUGAAAAGGAUUGCAAAGCUAAGAGAUGAGAUUACUACCUUUCAACAACUAGACUCAGAAUGCUAUUCAGAGGCUUGGAAACAAUAUAAAGGUUUAUUUCAUCAAUGUCAACAACAUGGAUUGUCGAAGCGACUUCAAGAGCAAUACUUCUAUAUUGGCCUUUAGCAUGGCUAACGUGGACUUUGCGUGCUAUGGUUUUAUUACAAAAGGAACCGCAGAUCAAGAUUAUUAAAUCAUGGAGGAUUUAGAAUUGACCAAUGUGCUUUGACCUAUUGAAAGGACAAGUGGAAAGAAACCUAAUGGGGUAUUUGAAAUUGAUUCUCUAACUGCAUUUUCGGCACAUUUGCCAUCAUUGGCACAUAAAGUGGAUUAGAUGAAUGCAAACCAGAUAGUGGGAUCAAGAUGCAAACAUUGUAGAGGGCACCACGAAAGUGUUGAUUGUAAUUUAGGAUCUAAUUUUGUUCAGACAGUGGAGGAUGUGAACUACACUCAGCAGUUUCAAAGACAACAACACAAUUCAAGUCCUAACAUGUACUACCCAGGCUGAAAAAGUUACCAACGCUUUCAAUGGAGUAAUAAUCAGGAGGCUCAAAUACACAUGCAAAGAAUAGAUAAAACCUUGCAAAUUUAGGGAGCUACCAUCAAGAACUUGGGAAAUUAGAUGGGACAAAUGGCAAAAGCACUUUGAAAGAGACUAGCAAGAGCACUACCCAUUGAUACAGAGACAAAUCCCAAACAACAGGUAAUGGUAGUGAAGGUUUUGGACGAAGAGCAUUGCCUUAGUUAUGCCUUACACUUGCUUAAAAGAAUGUGACUCUUGAUGAAAGACAAUUAGCCUAGUCGAGCCUUGGCGGUCGAAGCAAUCAAAUAAAUGCAGAAUUUUUGUUCAUUGAUGUGUUGAUUUGCAAUUAGUGAUGUCUACUUGAACUUGAGAGGGCUCAUAAGGGUAACAAUGAAAAAUUAAACCUUAGAUUACACAUUGCAAACAAGUAAAAAGAAGAAAAUUGGUGGUGUGUAAGUCAUACGAGAAAUGUAAGGAUAUAUUUGAUCGUAGAGGAUUGGGAAUUGAAACAACUUGUGUAUUCAUGAUUGAUUACUUAAUUUUUCACAGUCACAUCGAUUUUGCGUAGAAAGAGUGGAUAUUGGUUUGGUGUUGUAACUUUGAAGCAUGUUCACGGAAUUAACUCUGAGAUCUUGAAUCCUGAGGAAAAAAGCUAGAUUGCCUGACAAAAUAUUUCUGCAUGAUUAUGUGUUUGCUGUUAUUUAGGUUAUUGUUUUGUUUCAGGACAAACAAAUGUUUAAGUUUAGGGGUGUUUGAUAAGUGUAUAUUAUACACUUAUUCAGAGCCUAAAAUAGGGGUAUUUGCUAGUUCCUUUGACAAAAUAUAUCCUAAAUGUUGUAUUUUAUGUCAUAUACAACUUAAUGGUUGAACGAGGAAUUGAAAGAAAUAAGGGUCCGUUUGAUUGCAAAGAUAAAAUUUGGAUAGAAAGAAAAUGAAUUUUAGGGAAUUGAAUUGCCUAGAAAUUAUUUUACUGGGAAUUGUCAAUUAUUGUUGAAAUAAAAGUAUUUUUUGGUGUUCGUUUGGUUUUGUUUUACAUGAAAAUUAUAAAUUAAAAAGAUAGAAUUUGUUUCUAUUGCAAAAAAAAAAAAAAAAGUUUUAAAGAUACGUUUGUCUUUGUUUUACAUGAAAUUGUCAAUUUUAGGGAUAUUCUCUUUUACAAUUGUUCCUAGAAUUUGGUACCAUUGCCAAAAAUUUUCAAAAAAACAAAAAGAGGUGAAAAACGUAAAAUCACCUACCUCAUGGGAAAAUGAUUCCUCAAAAACAAAGAAUUGAUGCACGUAUGAGGCAAAGGUGGAAAACCAAUUAAAUAGAAAAUUUUCGCCAUCAAACAAGCCAAAAGUGGGAAAUGGAAUUUUUUUUCCAUUUUCCAUGGAAAAUUUUGUGUUAUCAAACAUGGCCUAAGUGAAAUUUUGUGAAAAAAAGGUUAAAUCCAAAAUAUAGGGACUAAAUUGUAACAUUCCAAUAAUUGAUUUGGACCAUGAAUGAAGAUUGAAGAUGCUACAGGCUCAGUUGGAUAUAAUUAGAAGUUAAAGGAUGGAUACAAUUAGAAGUUAAAGGACUGAAAUUGCAAGAGAAAAUGACUUAAAAGAAUCAAGAAACGAAUUUAGGGACCAAAAUGCAAAGUUUGAAAGAUUGUAUAACUGCCAACUGCCCAAUUAUAAAUUCGGGCGAUCGCCCAACGUACGAAAUAAAAAUAGUGACUUCAAACUUAGCUUGGGUGAGUGCCCCAUUUCCUACUGGGUAACAGCCCAGGCCAAAAUCUCAGUUCACGACCUAUUUUCCUUUUCAUUCCAAAUUUUACACUGAAACUACUUCGUUGCAUGAUUUUUGACCUAAUUUCACCUCUAUAAACACAAAACAUAGGUAGCCAAUAAAAAACUCUCUCCAGCUCCUCUCUCAUAUACAUCUCAUUCCCCAAUACUCAUCAAUUAUUAUCAUCAAAGGAAGAAAAUUCAUUUUUUUUGUGAGAGAUUUGAAGGGGACUUGCAAGAAUUCAAUCAAGUAAAGAUUCAAACUUGAUUUUUGGGAAAAGAAGAGAGGGUGCAAGUUGAGAUUCGUCAAGUAACCAUUGAAGAGAUUCAACAUUUUAAGAUUCAUCUUCAUCUUUUCAAUUUAAAAAAAUUUGGGUUAUGUCAUUUCACUUAAAUAUGAUUUCUUGUAUUUCAAUAUGUUAGGCCGGUUUUAUACAUUGUUAGGAUGAGAUAAACCCUUGUUAUGAUAUUUUUGGUUUUUAAUUAAUUAUUUGACUUUAGUUUGUUUUGAUUUGUGAUGUUUCCUUUUAUUGUUAUUUUCAAUUGCUUCAUCACCAAUUGAAAUUGUUAGUGAAUUUUAUUGUUAUCGAGAGAGAACAGGGUUUAAGCACAAUUAUAAGGUUUGAUAGAUGAUAAAGAUAUACUUCUAUACUUUGGCCUCAUUUGGUAGCCAUUUUUCUCAAAAUGCAUUUCUCUCUCUUCUUUUCAACCACACAUUCUUUAUUAAAAUAAUAUCCAUUUUUCUCAAAAUGUAUCUCUCUCUUCUUUUCAACCACAUAUUUUUUAUUAAAAUAAUAUUACACGUAAAUAAAAAAAAAUUUCCUUAUUUCUCAACCACACAUUUCACAUCAAUUUACUAUUCUAAAAUGUAUUUUUACAUAAAAAUAUCUAUCAAACACCCCUUUAUAUGAUUUUCAUAGGUGUUCUAACACUUGUUAAUGUAUUUAUCAUGUUUACAUCUUUCAUCGAGAAAUAAAAAGGGUCACAUGAGGGGAAUAGAUUUGAUUGCCAUCGAGAGAGGCUUUCCAUUAAACUAGGAACAUUGAUUAACAUGAAUGAUUUCAAAUUAUCAGUUUAAUUGUUACACUAAAAAUGGAAUAACAAAUGGGAUUCGACAUCCUAGUAAUACUUUCACAUAUUAAAAAAAACCAAUUAAAUCGCUUCCUAGUUUAAUUGAUAAUUUAGUUAUUAGUAUAGAAAACUCAAAAUUUGUAGCUAUUUAAGGUUGUUAUUGAUUUGAACUCGAACAAAUACAUAAUCCUUAUGGGUUCGACACUCUAUUCACUACUUUAUUACUUGUUCAUGAUCCUGUCCAUUUGCGAAAAAUCAAACGAUCAUUUCCCCUCCCAUGUUCUCCGUCUAACCGAUUUUCCUACAAUUUUCUCUCAAUACAAGCCAUUUCUUAUUUACACUCACAUGAAUGCUACACCGAUCAUUUAUCCCGAGGUUAUUUCUCGAACGACUAUCCUUCCAAGCCUUCUUGAUCCUCCAUAACAUUAGAUUAUUCACCAGAUGAUUAUUUGCCUCCUGCCCACUUUUCGUCAUAGUUCUCGUGUCUCUCGUCCACUAGAUAAGUAUGAUUUUUCCUCCCAUAGCUCUGUGUCUGUUAUCCUUAACAGAGAUUCUAUACCUUCCUAUAGACAAGCUAUGGAACGAGUGUUAGCAAGAGGUAAUAAAUGUAAAACUUGAGGUUCUUAAGACCGACCAAACUUAGGAUGUUGUACCUUGUCCGCAGGCUAUGAAACCCAUUGGAAGUAAAUGGGUAUGUUUAGUCAAGUUUCAUUCUGAAUGUUCUCUUGAGCGCUAUAAGGCUCGACUAGUCACCUUAGGUAAUCGUCAAGAAUAUGAAAUCGAUUAUGUGAGACAUUUGCUCCUGUGGCUAAAAUGACCAUCGUACGCCCAUUGUUAUCUUUUGCCGCUUUUCAAUCUUAGUCUCUACAUCAAAUUGAUAUUAAAAAAAACAUUCUUACAUGGUGACCUAAAAGAAGACAUUAAUAUGAAGCUCUAUCUAGUAUGCUUCUUUCCUCAGCUGACUCUAUAUAUAACCAAAAACAUUCUAUGCAUGGUCUUAAGCAAGCUCCUCGAAUUUGGUUUGAAAAGUUUCUCCAUACUACCUUGGAUUUCUCCUUUGCUCAGAGUAAAUAUGAUGCAUCUUUGUUUCUUCAAAAGAGUACUGCUAGCAUUGUUCUCUUGUUGGUCUCUGCGGACGAUAUUAUUAUCUUUGGAUCAGAUCACACCUUUAUUCAAAAGCUUUAGCAAUAUCUUCACUCAGUUUUCAUAUAAAAGACCUUGGUCAUCUGACUUACUUUCUUAGUUUAAAGUUUUAUACUACACCAUAUGGUAUUUUCUUAAAUCAACAUAAAUAUAUUCAGUACUUGAUUCAGUUGGGUAAUUUAUCUGACCCUUCCUCUGUCAAUACUCCAUUGGAGAUUAAUGUCAAAUAUCGAAAAGACAAAGGUGAUAUACUUUGUGAUCCUAUAUCGAAAAUGGGUGGGUCAUGUCAUUUAUCUCUGACACGACCCGUUUCGAAUCACCCUAGUGGACCCGAAACGUGAUGUGCACCGAUGAUAGAUGCUGACUAGAUAUCAAAUUUAUCACCAAGACUAACUAUGAGUUACUUCAAAAAAAGUGUCAAAAUCAAAUGCUUAUGUAGAACAUAAUGCGAUGGGCCCAAAAUUUUACUUCGUGGUUUAAUGAAAUUGACUCAUAUCCUUCAACAUGUCGGGUGGCCCUAACUUUGAAAUCACCAGGCUCCUCAAGCUAUCAAGGACCAAUAUUACCUGUAAAAAUAAUUUUAAAAAAAUAUGAGUUGAUAGCUCAGUGAGUGGAAGACUUAAAAAAUAAUCAUAUUUUCUCCUAUAAACAUUUUUAUCAAACGUAAAGUUCGUAUCAUUAAAUACUUUACAUGAUAGCCUCAUACAAUUAUAGGCAAAAAGUGAUACAUUCUCAUAGCAUUGUAUAUCAUCUCAUAAUCACGAUGUAGUCAUCAACUGAUAUCUAUGCCAUCAUCUCAUCACAUCACAUGUGAUCCACAGAAAAUGUACCAUCUAACUAGAAUAUGUAAUCCGCCCUUUGGGCUAAGAACUUUCGCCAUAGGCCUUUGGCCCCCUCUGUGAAUGAAAGUCGGUCUCAAAGACCUCUGGUAAUUAAUUCUAAAACAAGGCAAGGCCUCUCAAUGAACUAUAUGUACACGGUCGAGACCCCUUCAUCCCCAGUCCAAGACCUAUUAGUGUAGUAUAGAACACGGCCAAUGUUCCUCAGUGAAUUAGAAGAAAUAUAUAAUCAUGGAUACUUUUCUGACCGAUCUCAAUAUUACAUAUGUCUCACAUACCAAGUGAUAAAUGUACCACAAAUAAUCUUAGAAUUUCCACAUGUAUAAUAGAUUUUCAUAAUAAUCAUAUAGUCGAACACAUAAUUGUAUAUAAUUGCACAUACUUUAACAAUAUAAUUAAUUUAUAUACAUUUUGAAAAUAUUUAUAUUUUUCACUCGCAAAACUAUGUACACCAAAAUCAACUCGGAUGGUACCCUGUCCCAAUGUCCGUAUCGUCGCCUGAAAUAUAAUAUAAUUUUUAAAUCAACAAUUAACUAUUUUAAGUAAUUUCAAUAAUUAAAUAGGCGAUACCCAACCUUAAUUAUUUUACGUUUAAGCGAUUUCCAAAGUAUUUUUAAUCAUUAAAACUAAUUUUUCUUUCAUUUUAUUCAAUUUCAUAGUUUAUUAUACUUAACCCUUUCAAUUAAAUUGAAUUUAAGAUAACAAUCUAACAACUAUAAAAUUAAACAUAACUUGACAAUAAGUAACUUUUUACUUACCUUUCAAAAUUGAAGAAUUCAAGCCUCAUAGUAUAACCCACUUAAUUCCUAACAUGUUGGCGAAUUUUUCUUUUUUGCCCCCCCUAUUUUUUCUCUCUUUUUCCUUUUCUUCCUUUCUUUUUUCCUUUCUCUUCCUGUUUCUCUCUGGCUCGUAUUCUUGUUAGUGUGUGUUGUGUGUGUUUUAUUAUGCACGUGGAUUGUGUGUAUAUAUAUUUAAAUGGAAUGAAUUUGUUCCACCGCCUGUCGUUUUCUUUUUCUUUUUAAUUUUUUUUUGGAUUUGACUUUUCUUUUAAUUGAUUAAAGUGUUACAAUCUCACUACUAUAUGCCCGGAUAUUCAGUCCAUACUGUAAGCAAAUUUAUGGAUGCUCCCCAUCAUCUUCAUUUGGUAGUUGUCCUCCGCAUUAUUUGCUAUAUUAUUGGGACUCCUUAUCGUGGUCUCUUCUUUCUGGCGUUGUAUGGCUGCGUGGUUUUCUAGCUAUCUCGAUUUUUUCCAUUCAGGCCCUACACCUUUCCAUGGUGACAACACUAGUGCUAUUCAGAUUGCGGAUAAUCCAACCAUGAAUGUACCAAACAUAUUGAGGUGGACUAUCAUUAUAUUCAAGAUGCCUAUGAUUCCAGGAUCAUCGUUCCUCCCCAUGUUUUCAUUACUCUACAAGUCACGGAUAUUUUCACCAAAUCCCUAACUCACCUUCACCAUGAUUCUAUUGUCAGCAAAUUGGUGCUUGUGCACUCGCCAUCAUCAAUUUGAGGGAGGGUAUUAGAGAUUUAUUUAGUUUUCGUAAAUAAGUCUUGCUAAAUAAAAAAAAUCAGGGAAUUCGGGAUUUCAUUCCAAUUGUAUAUAUUUAUUUCUUUUCUUAUAGACCUCUGUAACAUACUAUAAAAAAGAGCAAUACAUACGUGAAUAUCAUUCUGUACAAUUGACAAGACAUACUUGAGUAAUUUAUCUAUCACUCCUUGCACACAUUAAGCACCAAUAGUAGCAACUAGCUCUUGUAAGUGAUAGCUGCUACUUUUUUCACUUCUAACUUCUUGAGAUACAAAGUCUUUUCCCACAAACUAUCAAACUGAUAUGCAACAUCCAUAGAUUUUUAGAAGUUUCUGAAAGUAUUUUACAAUUUAACUAAAUGGUAAAACUCACCAAAUAUAGCAGUACAUUUCCAAAUGGAGUUGUGUCUAAUGACUCUGGAGCAACUAGGAAAAUAUUUUAUACUAGAUGAAGGAAACCAAAGAUUGAAGAAGCAUCAAUAACUUAUUGGAUUGCCACAAGAAUUAACACAACAAGAUCUAGGAGUAAGUAAAUGCUAAAUAAACAGAAAAAAGUUAGUUUAUAUGUCUUUCAAAAGUCUCAUAUGCUAGCCAAUAUUCACUUACCACAAGCGGUGCCCUCAACUUCCUGAUCAUAUAUAUGUUGGCGCUCAACUGCCUCUUCUGAGCAAAAUUCCAUCAAAGAAUCAAGUUGUGCCCAAGUGAGUCUUGAUCGUGAUUAUCUAAAAUUUACCCAAGUAGACCGGGCCAGUUACGACCUCAUUUGACCAACUAUGAUUUAAUUUCAUUUAAAGGCACAUUGUCAAAGAUUAUUUCAUCUUAUGGAUUAAGUCAAGCCAAAGGGAAUAUUGAUCCAGCUCAAACAUAAGUCAACUCAGUAUCAACACAAGCUAAGCAUAUUGCCUCGCAAAGGUUGAGUAGAUCCCUAGUGACUCUUGACCUCAUUCAAGUAUAAACUUAAUGUCAAGUCAAGUCUAAGUAAGUCUUGAUUUUGCUUGAGUUACACUGAUACUAAUUAUAGAGCCAAGCAUCACAGACUCUCAACUUUGUUUGAGCAUAAUUUUUCCUCUAAGGUCAAGUCGAGCAAAAGCAACUAUGUCUGAACAAUCCUUCCCAUGGGCUCGAGGAGUGUCAACAUUUAUAUACACAAUAUGUUGCAUUACAUUUCCUACACAAACCAUUCCAAUUAACCAAGUUCACAAUCUCCACUUUUUCCAAACUAAAAGUGAAAUACUUUUUGUCAAAGAUGAAUUGUCUCCAAAAUUUAAUUUUGAGAUGAAAUUAACAAACAAAAUCUUAUGAACGAAAAUGAAUGGGAUGGAAGGGGAUGAUGAUUAGGAACAGAAAAAAGAUAGUCGAGAGCAUCAGUUGGUGUUCUUUGUAAUAUAACUGUAGUGAAAAGAGAAGUAGAAUGCAUUGUAUUCACACUGCACAUUAUGAAAACCAAGUUAUCAUUUACUGAAUCCCUAUUUUUUGGGGAGACAUGGUCAUCUACUUAAUGUCACUGAAAUCGACAGAUGAUGUUUUUAAAAUUUUAUUAUUUGUUUGAAGCUCUAACAAAUACAAAUAUGAAUCACACAGUUUUUGUUAUUCAAAAAAUUAUUUAAGAAUAACUAUUCAAAGGCUUGAAAAUGAAAAAAUUAAUUGUCAGAGUACUUUGUCUCUCCAUGACAUUCACGAAAAGUAGUAAAAGUAGGUACCUUCUAAUAAACAAAAUAACUAUAUGGAGAAACAUAUAGUUUUGAUUCACAACGAUUUUUCACCCAAAUCGAAAUUAAUAAAUUCUUGACAUACAAAGUCACUUUUAGAUUGAUAGGAGUAGCAUUAAAAAUGAAAUUGGAACAUGCAGGAUGCUUCCAUUAUAUUUUAUUAAAGAAACAAGAGAUCAAAAAAUGCAACAGAAAAUUUACAUAAUUGCCAUGAGUUAGAAUUGAGUAAAUGCAGAUAAGCACAGAAAGGAUUGAAAAAAAAAUUGGUGGUUAGAAUUGUUUACCCUAAAAAAUGUGCCAAUAAAAUCUCAACAUCGUCUACAUCACCUGCAUACUGAACACCUCAUUGGAAAGCAAAGGUCGCGGGUUGAGAAAAAGGUCUGGUGAAAAUCAACAAUGGGACGAAAGCUAAUAUGAGUGCAAAAGUUGAAGAGGGGUUUGGUUAGAGUUAGAAAAUAUACCUUUAUGUGAAAUGAAUAUAUAUAGGAAAAUCUAAAUCGGUCGAGUGCAAGAUGCAAUUUUUAUUAGAAUAGGCCCAAUCAAUUAGAUGUUGAUGCCACGUCAACCUAUGUGAUACUCCUUCCAUCAUGUGCAUGCCACGUAAUUUAUGUAAGAAAAAUCUAAAUCGGCCAAGUGAUUAAUAGGUCGAGCCCAAGAUGCAAUUUUUAAAUAAAAUAGGCUUAAUCAAUUAGAUGUCGAAUCCACGUCAGCCAAUUUGGUACUCCCUCCAUCAUGCGCGUGCCACGUAAUUUAUGGAUAUAACAAUAGUCCCUAAAGUUUGAGUAGUACAUUCAUGUACGGGUUAGAUUUUGGAAGCUAAGUAGUCAGUCAAGUGAGGUCUUACAGACCGCCUCAAAAAUAUGACUAGCUCCAAUCAGCAAGGACUUACGAACUACCUUAAAAAUAUAAGUCGAUCCAAUAAAUGAGGACUUAUGAACUACCUUGAAAAUAUUUAUGCUAGGCUGAAUAAGCGAGGACUUAUAUAUUGCCUCGAAAUAUGUCGCAUAAAAUUUGUCAAAAUUUCGACAUCUCCUCUAUAAUAUGGACUAAACCAAGUUGUAUUACAAUACAAUAUAUGUACUGCACAUAUACUUUUAAAUUUGGGGUCCAUUAGCCCAUCCAAAUAAUAACAAUGAAGAAAAAUAGUGGUACUUUAAAUUUCUCCAAAAUAUAAUAUGCAAAGGGAUCAUGCAUAAUAGUAAAUCAUAUGCUUGCAUAGCUCAGGAUAACAGUAUUGCUAAUGUGAAGCAAGUAAUAUGUUUAUAAUGUAGAUAACGAGCAUACAUUAACAAUAAUGUUGCCUGCGUACUUAGUAGCGAUAAUAUAAUGCUAUUAAGAAUAAUGUAAUGAUACUAAGAUUAGUGAUAAUAGAUAUAAAUUUUUGAUAUUUAUAUGCAAGUUGGACUUAAUAUAUAAGCCAUACAUAGCGAUAAAGUUGAUGCAGAGAGACUUCAAAUAUGAGUAGCAAAGAUUAUGCUCUGAAUGUAAGUAGUAGAGGCGAUACUCUAGAUGUAUAAGUAGCAAAGGCGAUGUUCUGAAUGUAUGAGUAGUAGAGGUGAUGAUUUGGACAUAAAUAGAUGUGAUAUGUUGACAUCUUUACAUGGAGGAAGGGCAUCCAUGGUCUAGGGCUUCCUCAUGGUGUUUAGUCCAGCCAUGGAAGGGGUUAACCUCUAAGGUAGCAAAAUGUUGCUCCCUGUGAAAGGCUUCACACUUGUCCUUGUCGAGGCUUUUUUUUUUUAAUUAUUACCUCCUUGCAAGGGGGUAGCUCUUCUAUGCAAGGGCUUCCUCUAUGGUGAAAUCCAUCCAUAGAAGGCAAACUUCAUAGGUUGCAUGUGACAUAGCUAAAGUAGAGGCAAAGUUCUGAAAGAUAUGUAGAAGUAAUGCAAUCGUUGCAGAGGUGUGAUGAGCUAUCUGAAUAUAGAUAUAGCUAUGGUAUUGCUAAUGAAGAAACGUGGCUCUGAGUACAUAGGCAGCUUUUGUUAAGCUGAUGUAGAGCUAAAAUGAGGCACAUGGUGAGGCAUCUGUAAUGCAACAACUUAUAUGGUGAGACAUCUGGCUAGGUCGGUAUGAAUAUCGAGCUGAUGGAUCGUCUCAAACUAUCAGAGUCUUAUAAGUUGACCUUGAAAUGACAAGGUCUUAUAACUAAGCUAGACGACAUUGAGAAGCGAGGAAUAAGCAUCUCAUGAAGCAUCUGGCGAGGCCGGUAAUAACAUUUCGUGAAUAGCCCUUGAACUAUCAGAAUCUUAUAACCAGACAUUGGACAUACAAGGUCUUACAGCUAAGCUCGAUGAUAAUGAGAAGCAAGGAAUAAACACCUCGUGAAGCUAGGAAUAAUCAUCAGAGGAGGUGGUGGUAAAUAGACCUCCCUCGAAUAGCUCUUUAACUAUUGUAAUCUUAUAAGCGGGCCUCAAAAUGACGAGGUCCUAAAACGAGGCUCAACGAUAGUAAGGGACAAAAAAUAAACAUCUUACAAAGCCAAGAAUAAGUGUCUGGCAAGGUGGAGAAUAAAUAUCCUGUAAAUAAUGAUGAGGGCUUACAGUUAAGCUCUACAGUAAUAAGAGGUGAUGAAUAAACAUCUCGUAAAGCCACGAAUAAGCAUAUGGCGAGGUAGGGAAUAAAAAUCCUGCGAAUAGCUCUCGAAUUAUCGAAGUCUUAUAAGUGACCUCGGAUCAAGGGCUUAUAGCUAAACUCAACGAUAGUGAGAGGCGAGGAAUAAACAUCUGGAAAGGGGAAUAAAUAUCCCGUGAAUAACUUUCGAGCUAUCGAAAUCUUAUAAACUUGCCUCGAAAUGACGAGGUCUUAUAGCUAGGCUUGACGGUAGUGAGAGGUGAGAAAUAAUAUCUCGCAAAGUGAGGAAUGAGCAUCUAACGGGGAAUAACAUUGAACUAUCGGAUUCUAAUUAGCAGCCUCAAAGAGACGAGGUCUUAUAACUAUGCUCGAUGAUAGUAAGUGGGGAGGAAUAAACAUCUCGCAAAACCAGGUCAAGAAAGGCUCCUUUCGCAAUGGUACAUCACCUGAACACUGAACACCUCAUUAGAAGGCAAAGGCUACCGAUCAAGAAAAAAGUGCGACGACCAUCUGCACUCUGACGGUCAAGUCAAUAACCGAACAAAAGAUAAUAUGAAUGCAAGAGAGGAAGAGGGAAUUUGUAAGGGUUAGAAAACAUACCUUCAUGUGAAAUGAUAUCACAUACAUAUAGAAAAAUGUAAAUGGGCUGAGUGAUCAAUGAGCCAAGCCCAAAAUGCAAUUGUUUAAUUAAAAUAGGCCUAAUCAAUUAGAUGUCAAUGCCACACCAGCCAAUUGGGACUCCGUUUGUUAUGUCCUAUGUAAUUUAUGGAUCUAACGAAGUCUCCUACGGCAAUCAAUAAUCACUUGCCAUAAGUGAAAAUUUUAUAAUAGAUAUGUCAGUAUAGCAACUCCCCUAUUACCGAUGUUGACCCUAUUGACAGAACGCUAACUGGAAGUGAGCGGAAUCAGAUGCCUUAUGACACCCAAAAAUUAAAUACCGAAAGCAUUACAAAUGUGAAGAGUGACAUUAAUAUUGAAAAUUUAGCUGCAAACCGGAAGACUCACUCAGUUUACUGAACACAAGUAAGAAGACAUCAGAUGCGAAUUGCUGCUGACUCAGUAACAGCAAUACAGAAAACUUUAUACUUGCUAACAACUUUAAUGUAAAUAUAAAAAAUAAAAGAAAAUGAUCUGACCAGGCAUGUGUCUCCUCUUGCUGCUAGCUUUCCAUAGAACUCUAAAUGAGAUCUUGAACAGGAUAAAAAAAUUUACUGAAGCAUGAAAUGAUGGUAUCCAAGGCUUCAAGUGUAAGUGAAAAGUUUAAUACUACAUCCAUCAUUUCAGUGAAUUCCUUUAUAUUACAGAAAUACCACAUUCCAAAUACUUCAAGCACCACUUGUAUAUAAAAGCGUCCAUUAAUUUGCAUACAUGUAACAUUGAAGAAGGUUAGUAUCGGGACAUAUUAAGUAUAAAAAAAUGGGUGUUUAUCACCACCAAAUGUAAAUGAAUUGUCUCAAACAUUUGAUUUUAGAGAAAAUUAAUAUAGUCUUGUGAGCGAGGAUGACAAUUAGGAGCAAAAAAUAAAUAAACAGCACCAGACUGUUUUACAUUUAUACAUAUAAUUGUAGUGAACAGAGAAGCAGUACUCAGAACCCUUUUAUUUGGGAAAGCAAAUAAUGUCUUUGUUAGCAUAUAACUAAAAAUAUCAACACAAAGGUUUCAAUUGUCAUACCGAGUAGUUUGUCUCCCCAACGACAUUCACGAGAAAUAGAAAUAGCAGCAAUCCUCCAGCUCUUAAUUCUCAAUGCGUAUGCUGGGUAUUAACACAAUCCUACUAAUUAGAAGGAAAUGAUUCGUAUUAUUUGAUUAAAGAAACCAAAGAACUACAAAGGUUUUUGCAGGGACUCAUCUGAUUUCCAUAAAAACCCAUUCAAUGAUACACAAAAAAGGGUUAAAAAACAUCAGUCUCAGAAGUCUCCUAGGGUAGUGAAUAAUUAACACAAUCAUUAAUGAUAAAUCACUGCUUUGGGGUUUCAAAUUUAUGUGACUUCUCAGAAGUGAAAUGGUCUAUUCAUGUCUACAGGAAAAACCAUUCUCGGUGCCAUACAUAAAAUGAAAAGAAAAGAGAAUUCACAAUUAUGAUCUUUGCUUUGAAAAUUGCCUAAGAUAAAGAAAAGAAAAGAGAAUUCACAAUUUUGAUCAUCUUUGUAAUCAUCCUAAUGAACCAACAAAAGAACAUUAUUGUAAAGAGGAAAUUAUAGAAACAAGAGAGAAAAUUGUUUCUCUGAGACAGAAUUUCUGAAAUAAACACACAUAAAAUGAGAACCCUAAGAGAAUUCGCAAUUACAAACCAAUGAACCCAAAUUUUGAUCAUCAGUAGGACCAAAGAACAAAACCCUGAAACUAUCCUUCAAGAUUCCUUCUAUGCAUGAAUAAAGAAUGUGAUUAUCGCACUUGAAUCCAUCUUCAGAAAUCCUUGUCUAGUCCUGUUGGAAAGGGUUAAUCAUCUCCCUACUGAAAUAGGGAAAGAAUACAAGACUUGGAAAUAGAAUUAGGAUUCUGCACGUAUAGCUUUUUAGAUGUACAGAAACUACUAAUUUUACAGAAUUAGAAAAAUAGAAAACUAACUAGACAAAGUCAAAAUUUCAUUAAAGAAACGGCUACUAAGAAAUGGUUUAAACAAGAUGGCUAUUGACACCAAAAUCAAUCAUAGCUACCAAGUAGUGAUUUCUUAUCAAUUAAUACUGAUAAAAAAAAAAAAAAAAAUACAUACUUAGUGUCACUCGAUACUAAAAUCUGAUUUUUCUCACGUGCAUUAUAAUGGAUAUUCAAGAUUUGACUGAAGGAAAAGAGAAUGACAAAUCACUUAAUUGAAAAGAAAACACAACUGAUGGUGAUUUAAAUCAAACAUAAAAAGCACAUUCCAUCAAAGAUCAGAAAAAACCAUACAGCGUUUACAGAAACAAAUCCUAUGAAACUCAAGUUCAUGAUCAGUUAGACCAAAAUGAAACCUAGAAAAGAUCUUCUAUAUUCAUCCCAAGACGAAGAAUGUAACAUAACAGUGAAAUGACAGACAUAGAAACAGAGAAAACUCUGAGAACAUAAUCAUAAAUAAAUUGGAAAAGGAACCACAGAUAUAACACAAAAGCACAGUCAAUCACAGAAAAAUUCAGGAAAACAAAUCCAGUGAAACUCAAUAUUGAUCAUCACUCCAAAGAACAAAGUCAAGAAAAAUGAUCCUUCAAAAUUCGUCCAAAUGCACCAACAAGUAUGUGAUUAUAAAGAAAAAAAAUAUAAAAAAGAAAAAAAAAACUCUAUGAACAAAUCCUAAAAUAAACAUAUUGAAAAUGAAAAAGGAACCACAAACCCAAUACAAAAAAACACAAAUUACAUUAAAGGUUCAACCCACAGGGAAUGUAACAUCAAUAAAUCCAGUGAAAUUCAAAAUUCAUCAUCAUCCAGAGAACAAGACCCGCAGAAGUCCUUCAAUAUUCAUCAUUUAAUGCAAAAAAAAGAAAGCGACUAGGAAGACAUGGCAAUUACAUAAAUAAAGAGAACAUUAUCACACUUAGAAAUGUAAUAGGUGCAAUAACUGUAAAUAAAAUGAAAAAACAAAACAAAACAAAACAAAACAAAACAAAACAAAAGAAAAAAACACAACUUAUUAAUAUUGAAACCAAACAAAAAUUUAAUUAAAGAUUUAGCCCAUAUAGAAUUCACAGAACGAAAACAAAUACAGCAAAACCCAAGAUGAACUAUCACUCCAAAAGACAAUUAAUCCAGAUCCAUCCAAAUGUAAAGGGAACACCGAGCACAACCAUUAAUGAUCAAUCACUGCUUUGGGGUUUCAAAUUUCUGCGACUUCUCAGAAGGAAAAUGAUCAAUUCGAGUUUACAGGAAAAAUUCAUUCUCGCUGCCACACAUAAAAUUUCUGCGACUUCUCAGAAGGAAAAUGAUCAAUUCGAGUUUACAGGAAAAAUCAUUCUCGGUGCCAUACAUAAAAUGAAAAGAAAAGAGAAUUCACAGUUUUGAUCAUCACUUUGAUCCAGAAUAAAAAAAUCCCACAAGAUAAAGAAAAGAAAAGAGAAUUCACAAUUUUAUCAUCUCUUUAAUCAUCGUAAUGAACCAACAAUAGAACAGGAUUUCUGAAAUAAACACAUAUAAAAUGAGAACCCUAAGAGAAAUUCACAAAAACAAACCAGUGACCCAAAUUUUGAUCAUCAGUUGGACCAAAGAACAGAACCCUGAAACUAUCCUUCAAGACUUCUUCUAUGUGUGAAUAAAGAACAUGACUAUCGUACUGGAAUCCAUCUUCAGAAAUCCUUGUCUAAUUCUUUUUGACCGAGAAACCCCGAGCCUCACUCUUGGCCGAGAAACCCCAAGCCUCACUUUGAAGAACUAGGGGUUGUAGUAGGUUCUACAUAACGGUCUUAUUUUUGUAAAUUUCAUAUUACACCGUUGGAUUAAGAACAAAUAAACGGUUCAGAUUUUAGGGAGCUUCCAAUCAAAUCCCAAGCCAUUGCGAAAUUUCACCGUUGGAUUAAGUUUUAUUCCUUCUAUGGAAAAAAUAAAAAAACUUCUUUAAUUUCCUCUUUAAUUAAAAAAAAAAAGGACUAAUUUGAGGAAGCCUAUUUUGCUUGUUUUGUUUAAUUUUAAUAAUUUUAACAAAAUUUAUCAAACCUUGACAAUGAGCAUGAAACGUCCAAUUGAUUCUACACGGAAAAAGUUGAAACUAGUUGUAGCAAGCAUGUCAAUUAAAAUAAAUUGAAAUUAUUAAAUAUACUCUUUUUUUUUUCUUUUUCAAAAUUAAUUGCUUUUUUAAAGUCAUUAUUCAUGUUAGUUUGUCAAUCGAACUCCUAAUACAAUUAAAGAUAACACCAAAAUAAAAGAGAAACUAAAAACCAAAAGAGAGAUUAUGAUAGAGAAGAGCUCUUAAUCAAUUAUACAAAGAAGUCCUAUGCAACAAGAAGAUUCUGAAACUAGCAAUUUUAGCUCAUUUGGAAGAGGAUCCUCUAUAGACUUUUUUUUUUUUUUUUUAGUUUAAAUUUAAAAUUUGUUCAAUUGAAUGAAUCACAAUAUAAUAAUGAAUUUUUCAUAGAAAAUCUAUGUGUUUGCCGUGUCAUAGAUUAAGCGGAAGAUGAUUGAUACACUCACGAUUUGAAAUUUUAAGUACAAAAAAUUGAAAACCACCUAAAGUUGAUGAUUUUUACAUUCAAAAGACAAACUUGUACACACUAAUAUAUGGGUGAAACAUAGUUGGACAGUGUAGUUUAAAAGAAAUUUCACAUCAAUCAUCAAAGUGUUUUUUUUUUUUUUUUUUUUAAAUGGUAAGUCUAUUUUGAAUGUGUUUCAAUUACGUCACCUAAUUAGUUCCUAUUAGACAACUUAAUAACCACCCUAAAAGCCAUGUUCAUAUAUUUUCUAUCAAUGGGAUUUUAUAUUAUUCAAACUAUUGUCAAUAGCCAAUUCACAAUAUCAUCAAGUUACGUUAAACAUUUCUAUUAACGAAAAACUAUUAGUUAUACCUAAAGUUUGAUAAUUAAAAUGAAACUUCACCCAAAGUACUACAACAAGUUGUGCUUAUUACCCAAAUAUAUUAAAAUAAAAGAGAAACUAAAAACCAAAAGAGAGAUUAUGAUAGAAAAGAGCUCUUAAUCAAUUAUACAAAGAAGUCCUAUGCAAAAAGAAGAUUCUGAAACUAGCAAUUUUAUGCUCAUUUGGAAGAGGAUCCUCUAUAGACUUUUUUUUUUUUUUUUUUGAGUUUAAAUUUAAAAUUUGUUUAAUUGAAUGAAUCACAAUAUAAUAAUGAAUUUUUCAUAGAAAAUCUAUGUGUUUGCCGUGUCAUAGAUUAAGCGGAAGAUGAUUGAUACACUCACGAUUUGAAAUUUUAAGUACAAAAAAUUGAAAACCACAUAAAGUUGAUGAUUUUUACAUUCAAAAGACAAACUUGUACACACUAAUAUAUGGGUGAAACAUAGUUGGACAGUGUAGUUUAAGAGAAAUUUCACAUCAAUCAUCAAAGUUUUUUUUUUUAGUUUUAAAAUGGUAAGUCUAUUUUGAAUGUGUUUCAAUUACGUCACCUAAUUAGUUCCUAUUAGACAACUUAAUAACCACCCUAAAAGCCAUGUUCAUAUAUUUUCUAUCAAUGGGAUUUUAUAUUAUUCAAACUAUUGUCAAUAGCCAAUUCACAAUAUCAUCAAGUUACGUUAAACAUUUCUAUUAACGAAAAACUAUUAGUUAUACCUAAAGUUUGAUAAUUAAAAUGAAACUUCACCCAAAGUACUACAACAAGUUGUGCUUAUUACCCAAAUAUAUUAGAGAUAAUUGUAUCGGAGGUCCCAAUUUUUUUUUAAAAUGUCCAUAUUAGACUCAAAUCUUUAAAUUUCAGUAGUGAAGGAUCCAAAGCUUUCAAAAUUGUGGAGAAAGAGUCAAUGGAUGGUUUCCAUCCAAAAAUCAUUAGUUGACCAAAGCUUUCAUGAUGAUUAGAUUGACUCCGUACAUACACACAUCGAUCAAGCAUAGAAUAAGUAAAGAAUUAGUUUUAGUUGAAUUACUCAUGAACUUUUUAUGAAUUAUCAAACAAAUUCAAAAUUUAAACACGACAUUAGAACUCCACUAUUAUUUUCUCUUAUCUCAUGUUGUUACUGUAAAAGGAAUUAACUGUUUAGCUCUUGCUUGGAAAACAGACAAUUGCACAGAAUAUAGGUGAUUGGUACUUCAGUCGGAAAACAGCAAAUUAAGCAUAUUUGGAUUUUAGUUGUGGGUGAUACAAUUAAGCUUAUCAAAGUUUUUUUUUUUAGUUUUAAAAUGGUAAGUCUAUUUUGAAUGUGUUUCAAUUACGUCACCUAAUUAGUUCCUAUUAGACAACUUAAUAACCACCCUAAAAGCCAUGUUCAUAUAUUUUUUAUCAAUGGGAUUUUAUAUUAUUCAAACUAUUGUCAAUAGCCAAUUCACAAUAUCAUCAAGUUACUUUAAACAUUUCUAUUAACGAAAAAUUAUUAGUUAUACCUAAAGUUUGAUAAUUAAAAUGAAACUUCACCCAAAGUACUACAAGAAGUUGUGCUUAUUACCCAAAUAUAUUAGAGAUAAUUGUAUCGAAGGUCCCAAUUUUUUUUUAAAUGUCCAUAUUAGACCCAAAUCUUUAAAUUUCAGUAGUGAAGGAUCCAAAGCUUUCAAAAUUGUGGAGAAAGAGCCAAUGGAUGGUUUCCAUCCAAAAACCAUUAGUUGACCAAAGCUUUCAUGAUGAUUAGAUUGACUCCAUACAUACACACAUCAAUCAAGCAUAGAAUAAGUAAAGAAUUAGUUUUAGUUGAAUUACUCAUGAACUUUUUAUGAAUUAUCAAACAAAUUCAAAAUUUAAACACGACAUUAGAACUCCACUAUUAUUUUCUCUUAUCUCCUGUUGUUACUGUAAAAGGAAUUAACUGAUUAGCUCUUGCUUGGAAAACAGACAAUUGCACAUAAUAUAGGUGAUUGGUACUUCAGUCGGAAAACAGCAAAUUAAGCAUAUUUGGAUUUUAGUUGUGGGUGAUACAAAUAAGCUUACUUUGGGCUCGCUAAAAUAUUUUUUCACCUUCGUCAACAAUUGUCUUAAUGUAAACAUUCCAAAUAUUAAAUUUAAGGUGCAUGCAGUGUAGACGAUACAUGUUCUUGAAGAAUAUGGUAAGUUAAUAUCCUUCCUCAUGUUAUAGAAUGUAUGCAAAAGGUUGAAUCGUAUUGCAAAAUUCUGCUAGGGGCAUUUAUGUACUGGGUUUUAAUGGACAUUUUAUGUUCGUAAGAACUUAAAGGGAAUAGCAAUGAAAUGAUGGUGAUCAAUUUGUUCAUUUUUAAAGUCUGGGGAUUAACUUGCAAGACGAGCAAUGAAAUGGAGACUAAUAGAAUGAUUUCUCGUUGGAGCAAGAUCCAAAAUCUAUAUAAUUCAUAGGUUUUAAUCUCCAUUAGUUGACCAAAGCUUUCAUGAUGAUUAGAUUGACUCCAUACAUACACACAUCAAUCAAGCAUAGAAUAAGUAAAGAAUUAGUUUUAGUUGAAUUACUCAUGAACUUUUUAUGAAUUAUCAAACAAAUUCAAAAUUUAAACACGACAUUAGAACUCCACUAUUAUUUUCUCUUAUCUCAUGUUGUUACUGUAAAAGGAAUUAACUGUUUAGCUCUUGCUUGGAAAACAGACAAUUGCACAGAAUAUAGGUGAUUGGUACUUCAGUCGGAAAACAGCAAAUUAAGCAUAUUUGGAUUUUAGUUGUGGGUGAUACAAAUAAGCUUACUUUGGGCUCGCUAAAAUAUUUUUUCACCUUUGUCAACAAUUGUCUUAAUGUAAACAUUCCAAAUAUUAAAUUUAAGGUGCAUGCAGUGUAGACGAUACAUGUUCUUGAAGAAUAUGGUAAGUUAAUAUCCUUCCUCAUGUUAUAGAACGUAUGCACAAGGUUGAAUCGUAUUGCAAAAUUCUGCUAGGGGCAUUUAUGUACUGGGUUUUAAUGGACAUUUUAUGUCCGUAAGAACUUAAAGCGUAAUAGCAAUGAAAUGAUGGUGAUCAAUUUGUUCAUUUUUAAAGUCUGGGGAUUAACUUGCAAGACGAGCAAUGAAUGGAGACUAAUAGAAUGAUUUCUCAUUGGAGCAAGAUCCAAAAUCUAUAUAAUUCAUAGGUUUUAAUCUUGAGUGAUAAUUCUAAAAUCAUCAAGCACAUUUACCAUAUUAAAGAUUUUAAGAUCAUUACACCCGUGUUAGGUUUAAUUUUGUCAUGUUGUGAUUUUAAGAGAUUUAGCUUUUGUUGUGACAAAUAAAUAACUGUACAAAGAAUGUAAACUUUCAUUCUAGUCCAGAAAUGUUGUAUGUUUCAAAAUCAACAUUUUAACUUUUGGUAAUCGGAAGUGGUUUAUUGUUGAAAUUGUAUAUAAUUAAUAUAAUGGAUAUCAAUUAGAUGAUAUCUAUUUGUAUUAUUAUAUUUGGUAGUAUUACAAAAUUUACUUUUAUCAUUUUAAAAAUAUAUAAUGUGUUUACCAGUGUUAUUUUAAAAUGACAAAAAAAAAAAUUAACAUCUAAUAAAUCUCAAAAUUUAUUAAAUUACAAAACAAAAGCAUAGUUUAUGUAGUAGGAAAAAAAAGAAUAAAUUUAAUUAAUUGGAGUUAAACUUGGUAUUUUAGUUAUUGAUAAUCGGAGAAGUUAAAAGUAGACUCUUGACUGUUUUGCUUCUUUUCAAUGUUUGUCAUUAGAUGAUACAAAGUUCUUAAUUUUACUAAAAACUUAAAGUAACUUUCACUUUUUGACAAUCGGAAGUUAAGCAUUUUAGUCAAUCCUAAAUGGAGUUUAGCUUCGCCAAACAUAAUUAGAUCAACGACAAAAAGAAUGUUUGGGAAAUGUUCACAAACAAUUUAAAUAGUUAAUAAAUAAAAAUGAGUGGUGGAUAAGUGAGUGAUACUUGCGUGUGAUUCAAGUGUGAAUAACAAGUGAAUUGCGUAUUUAAAAUAGUUUAUAAACACGAGCCAAAUGCAUGGAACUCUAGCUUACACAUGACAUUGUUGAACUUAAUGGCUUCUUUCCAUUAAGACACUUGAAAGGGAUAUUACGACGUUGAGGAAGGUAAAGAAAUGGUUAUGCCAUAAAAAAUUGCGAAAGAGUUGCACAAUUUUUUAUUAAUUUUUUUAUCAUGUAGAAGAGAAGUUAUUUUUUUAUUAGUUUCGAGAUAUAGAAUUCCUCUAACCCAGAAUAAGUUUUAGCCCUUGUUUGGUAAGCACUAAAAUAUAGAUUUUUAUCAGAAUUAAAGUCAACAAACUACAUAUUCUAUAAGACCCACGACUUUUUAACAAUAUAUUCGCCCUUGUUUGAACCUCACUUUUCAAUAAUACAUUUUUUUUCUCCAAACUCAUUUUCAAUCACAUAUUCUCUUAAUAAAUUAAUAUUACAUGUAAAUCCUAAAACUUUUUCUUACUUUUCAAUCAUAUAUUCUCUAAAAAUAUCACUAUUCAAAAAUCUAUUUUUCCCAAAAAAUGAGACUCAAACAAAGAUUUCAUCGACUUUUAAGAAAAUCUACUAAAAAAAUUAUUUCAUUGCCCACCAAGCAAGAGCCUAAUUUGCUUGGCCUAAUAUCUUUUGGAAUUUUUCUCAUGUACUGUGAACCUAGCAAGAUAACUCACAAAGGUGGGCCCCACCUGAAUAAAAAAUGCCAAAAAUUAAACCACAAACCCCAUUGUUUCUGACAUGUAUGUCCCUUGUGAAUGCACCCCUAUACGCCAAUUAUCACUCAUAUCUUUCCAUGUGAUUAGCAUCAAUAGUAUAUAAUAUUGUAGAGAAAUAUAAUAUACUCCUAUUUGGCAUCAUUUAAAUUUUUAAUUUCAAAUUUAUUUUCAAUCACACAUUUUAUAGAACUAACAACAUUAUUUAAUCAUAUAUUUCAUCAAUUUUUAUAAAAAUUUACUAAAAAUCUUAUUUUUGGGCACAUCAAACAUGAGAUUUAUCUAGUUGGAAAAUGUGUGUGGUCGGGAACUCAAACAAAUAAACACAUAAAAAAGAAGUGACAAUUAACAAGUAGAGAGAGAGAAAGAGAGAUUUUUUUCCUUCCCUAAAACGAGUAUGAUCAUCAUUUAUUAUUGAUAGAAAUCAAAAGAUUACUGAUAUGAUCCAGGAGUCAAGCCCGACGAAGGCGAGUGCGAGACGAGAUCCGUUGAUAAUUGAUGGAGGACCAAUAACGUGAUCAAGGACAAAGCAAGUGAAAUAAGCGAUAUGAUUGCUCGUUCAAGAAACCAUUGAUGGAACCAUGUUUGGGGCUCAAAAUAGAGCAACUUUUAUGUUCGGGUCGAAUGUCAAAUUAACUUGGAUCAAUUUGUUAUCAAGUGACGAAACUGGAGGCUGAAAAUAAGCAUGUGCAGCCACACAGGCAAAACACCAUGCGGCCACACGGUGGCAUACCGAAAAUCAAGAUGGCAUUUCUUGUUGAACCAUGCAACCGCAUGGAAAUACACCAUGCAGCCACACAAGCAAAAAAUUUGGCGAAUUUUUCAAUUUUGGCAAUUUUCCAUGUUUUGUUAGAUUUUGAUUCUUUUCCAUAUUUUGGAGAUUAUGCUUGACUUUUGCAUGAUUUUUACCUAGUUUUUAGAUUUAGUAUAAAUAGGAGUUUUCAUUCAAUUGUUAAAAACCUUUAACAUUAUUGAUAUUGAAUUAAAGUGAGGCGUAUUGUCUUCUCUUCAUCGUUCUUCAUUGAACAAUUUUGAACUUAUCAAGUGAUAACUUGUGGCGUUCAAACAAUUGGAUUUAAUUCUUGGAUUGCAUGAUCAAGGGGUCUUUCAAGCAUCGUUCUUGUUGGAUUUUUUGGUUCGACUUUCGUUUGGGUUAGUCCUAAACUCUUGGAUUAAUUUGGCUUUUUUAGGUUCGUCAAUUUCGUUGUGGGUUUCGUAAUCAACGUUACUACGGGGUUCGCAUCAAUUACCGUUGGACGUUGGUUAUUGGAUUUAAUCAUCCCAAUCAGAAAUUAAUUUUCCUUUGAAGAUUAAACCCAUACGAAUACAGAUGUUAAAUAAAGAUGAGAUUAUUGAAUGUUUUAAAUUCUCGCACAUGAAAGGGAAGAUGUCAAAUACUUUCUCCCUUAGAUUUUCUCCCUUGUUCUCCUUUACGUGCCUUCCUCUUUUUGGGAAAUAAAAAUGUUACUAACCCUAAAAGCAUAUGAAAAGGUGACCAUAAGUGGCAUAUUUAUAAUACUCAAUUAGGAUUUGGAAAUCGCACAAAUUUUCUUGGACUUUAUUGUAGUAGACUAAUUAAGUCACACACCUUUAUUGGAGUUAAGAGAGGGACCCAACCGGACUUAUGUGACUCAAGCUCCAAUAGAUAUUUCUAAUUGGAUCAACUCUUGACCAAUUGAGAUACAUCUGUGAAUCCCGGCUCAUUCUACCAAAAAAUCAAAAUUGCACUCUUGAGUUGAGUGAUAGUCAUAGAAGCAAAUUAUGAUCCAAUAACAAUAUCCUCUUAUUAUCGUUCCACAAGCUAACCCCCAUUUGACCGUCAAUAUGUUAAAAUUGGCAAAAUGACCAUUUUGCCCUUCAACAUGUAUUACCUUCUAAGUUCUAUUUUCAUAUGGCAAAUUUGUUGUGAUCAAAUCAUAAUAUAAAGUCCGACGGUCUCAUCGUCAAACUACUAAGCUCAGGUUCAAUUUACCUAUGGAAAAUACCUUAAAGUGACGAUCGUCUCAUUUUAAUGAUUAAUAGAUUCUACUAUUGCAAGUAUAUGAUCUCUAAUUGAUUCAGCCCGAUGCCCAAAGUAUCGAGAUUCUUUUAUUUAAGACUUCACUCAUUGGUAUCUCAAAAAACUUGACCUAGCAAUCAAAUGUACAUUACUCACUCAGAAUUUAGGUGACUUAUUUGAUAAUUGAGUAGAGUCUAGUUUCAAGCAGUCACAAAUGAGUCAUCUAUGCGGUCCCAUUCAAUGUGCAUCGAAAUACAUUAUUGUUCUUAUUCCAAAAUCUAGAUAAAUCUUAGUAAGAACAAUGCAAUCUUAUUAACAUAAAGCAUCAUCACAUCACGAAUCAUGUCUUACUGUACCCGAAUCAUCAAGUAUACAAUUUGUGAUAUCCUAUAUAAUUGUGGAACUUUAGAUAAUUGUUUCAAAUUAUAACAAGCAAAUAAACGAACUUCAGUUUAUAAUGUCGUUAUACAAAAUACUACUCAAAGAAAGGGUAUCAAACUAACGAUCUCCCACUUGCCAUUUUUGGAGUAUGUACGACAUAUGAAGAACACCCAUUCCCUCAAGAUGCCCACCAAAAGCCUUAUCUGACAAGGUCAUGGUGAAUGGAUCUACAAGAUUAUCUACUAAUGCAAUCUUACUAACUAUCACGUCUUCCCGAUGAACAAUCUCUCUAACAAGGUGAUAUUUCCUUUCGAUGUGCUUGCCAUGCUGAUGGCUCCUUAGUUCUUUAUCAUUGGCAACCACUCCACUAUUAUCACAAUAAAGUGUUAUGGGUCCCAUUGGCAAAGGUAUUACGUCAAGAUCCAAAAGAAACUUCUUGAACCAACAACUUCUUUAGCAGUUGCAUUCUACCUCCAUGGUAGAAUCAAUAAUGCAAGAUUACUUAAUACUCCUCCAUACCACAGCUCCACCUUCCAGUGUAAAUACUGAGCCCAACGUAGACUUCCUAAAGUCGCGAUUGGAUUGAAAAUUGGAAUAUCUGAAUAGACAAGCAUAUAAUCUCUUGUUCUCCAAUUCACCGCUACCUAAUGUUUUGAUCCUAGAUUAGACUGAUAAUAAUUAACAAUACCCACAGCAUAACAAAUAUUCAAUCUAGUGUGAAGCACAUCAUAAAUGAGACUUCCCAUAGUCAAAGCAUAAAAAACCUUCUUUAUGUAAUCUAUCUCUGUUAAAAUCUUGGGAGAAUGCUCCUUAUAUAGAUGAAUUCCAUGUCUAAAAGUACCUUAUCCCCUUUUGGAAUUUUGCAUUGCAAAUCUAGACAAUAUUUUGUCAAAAUAUGAAGUUUAGGAUAAUGGAAUCCUUAUGUUUUUUCUAUCUCGUAAGAUUUGGAUUCCCAAAACAUAUAUGGCUUCUCCCAAGUCCUUCAUAUCAAACUGUUGUGACAACCAUUUCUUUGCAGAUGUCAAUGUCCCUACAUCAUUUCCAAUGAGUAAAAUGUCUUCCACAUAAAGAAUAAAAAAACUACUUUUUUUCUUGUAUUCACUUAUACACACAAUGUUCAUUUAGAUUUUGGUCAAAACCAUAGGUCUUAAUAGUUUGAUUGAAUUUUAUAUUCCAAGAUCUGGAUGCUUACUUGAGUCCAUAAAUGGAUCUCUACAACUUGCAAACUUUAUUUUCAUGACCUUCUUUCACAAACCUUUUAGCUUGCAUCAUGUAUAUAAUCUUCUCAAGACGUCCAUUUAAAAAUGUAGAUAAUCUUCUCAAGACUUUCAUUUAAAAAUGUUGUCUUGAUGUCUAUUUGCCAAACCUCAUAAUCAUAAUAAGCAACAAUGGAUAAAAGAAUUCAAAUAGAUUUGAGGAUGGCAACCUAUGAGAAGGUUUCUUCAUAGUCGAUAUUUUUUCUUUGGGUAAAACCCUUGGCCACAGCCUUACUUUGAAGGUUUCAACAUUUCCAUCUAUACCUAUUUUUCUCUUAUAGACCUACUUGCACCCUAUAGAUUUUAUCCUAUUAGGUGCAUCUACAAGAUCCCAAACUUUGUUGAAAAGUAUAGAUUUAAGUUCAUGGUAGAUUUCCAUUAUUCAAAGUCUACAUCCUCCAUUGCUUCCUUAAAUGAAGUAGAAUUUUCUUCUUGCUCAAUAGAGAUGGCUUUAUAGGACUCUCCAUAGAGCAAGUACCUAGAAUGUGGUCUCACAACCUUCCCACUACGAGUAAUGGUUGAAAGUGUCUGAUUGUCCAGUCUGAAAAAAUGUCCUUCAUUUCCUUCCACUACUUGGUCUUGUCCUUGGUUAAGAUAAAAAUCCUCAUUAUCCCCAUUGAGAAGGGUAUGUAGGGUACAACAAUGGAUACCUCAUUCUCUACUACCUCUAGUUCUGUUUGUCCAUGAGGGUCAGUGGGCAUCAAUUGCUCACUUACCUCAUCAGCAACCAUUGGUUCUAUAGAAGGUUCCAAAUCAUCACUAUUUGAUUCUAAGCAAAAAUCUGGAACUGGGUUGUUUAAACCAUGUUCUAACACCUCUUCCAAUAUAAUCUUACUAGUAGACUUGCAUUCUUCUAUAUACUUGUCCUCUAAGAUGUUACAUUUGUACUAACAAAUACCUUCUUAUCAAGACGACUAUAGAAGUAAUAACCUUUCAUUCCUUUUGGAUAUCCUACAAAGAAACAAACCUUUGAUCUUUAUAUUAUCUUAUCUAUCUUUUCCUUUAACACGUGUGCCGAACAUCUCCGUAUUCGAAUGUGGUGCAAAUUAGGCUUGCGUCCAUUCCACAAUUCAAGAGGCAUCUUGAGAACUGACUUAGAUGGCACUAAAUUCAAGAUAUAAAUGGUUGUUUGUAGUACAUAUCCCCAAAAGAAAAUAGGUAACGAGGAAUAACUCGUCAUUGAUCUUACCAUAUCUAAAAGAGUUAUUUUUUCUUUCCAAGAUACCAUUCUAUUGGGGAAUUCUUGGUACACUCAGUUGGUAUGAUAUCCCACUAUUCAAUAAGUAGACCUUAAAUUCUUAGGAUAGAUAGUUGCCACCUCGAUCGAAUCGAAGGGCCUUACUACUCUUACCCAGUUGUUUCUCAAUCUCCAUCUGAAACUCCUUGAAUUUCUUCGAAACUUCAGAUUUGUGAGACAUAAGAUAUAUGUAUCCAAAUCUAGAGUAAUCAUUUGUAAAGGUGAUGAAGUACUCAUAUUCUCUCCUAGCCCGAGUACUAAUAGGUCCAUGAUUACGCCCAAAGAAUAACGCGGUAGUUGUAGCCCAGCUUUGGGGUGUUAAUUCUACAUGGAGAUUGACAAAUUGUUUAAAGGAUUUAUCGAACUAGGAUUUUGUGAAUUAUGUGAAAAUAAUUUGACGAUUGGAAUGAGAUUUAAUUAUCAAUAUGUGAAGCGUCCGAAUUCCUUCAAUUGGAUUGGAUCAUCAACAUCAAUAAUUCAUGGCUUUUUACUCAAUUAGAGGUUUUCAUCCCAACUCUCUAAUCGUAAGAUUUAACAAUGGAGAUCAAUCAAAUUUUAAUUGUAAUCCUAAGAUCUAGAUUUUUGUAAACCAUUUCCACACAUGUUUAUUGGACUAAGAUUAAGAAUCGACCAUAUACACAAUGCAUAAAGCAGUAAAUAAUCCACCAAGAAAGUUGAAUGAAAUUGAAAUUCAACAUUUAGUUCAAUUCCAAAAUAGAAAAAAAAAAUAAUUGAAUCUGUAAUGCCCCAAAUUUUCAUAACACCGGAGCGUUACAAAAAAUUCAUUUUUUUUGUUUACUGUACAUAUGAAAAGAUCAAAAUAAAAUUCUUUAAUAAAUAAUAACUGUGACAUUCAUAAAUUUAAAAUAAACAUAGCAAUUGUAUCUGAAAAAUAACACUAAACAUGUCUCAAAAUAAAUUAACAAGUAAUUUUAAAGGUAGAAAAACUUAAUAAAAAAUUUAUUCUUUUUUACUACGAUCCUCUUGGCAGCCCGCAUCAUCGCCCUACCACAAAUCUAAUCGACCCGAACUAACUUGUAAAAAUUUAUAAGAGUGAAUAUUCAAGAACACCCAGUAAGAUACAUGCAACUUCCAUAUACAUAUAGAUAACAAUAAAAAUUAUACUUCAUACCAUCUGAUCUUAUGGAGUAUAUUGGUGACCAAGUGUCACACCUAUCUUAGGUCCUCUUAUAAUCCUGAAGAAUUUCAUAUUGCUUUAAAAAAAGAAAAAAGGAAUGUCUACUGACAAUCCAUGUAUUUUUAAUUGAACAUAAAUGCAUGAGGAAACAAAAAUACUUACACUUAAAGUAUCUUACCUCGUUAUUUGAAAAGUUGUAAUGGACCAGAAAAAUACACGUGAAAACCCCUUUUUAAUGCUUCAUUCUCUCUGACUUGACUAUCUAUUUUCUUUAGGUAAAAUCUUUUUGAAAUUUCUGUGGGUCUAUGCUUGGAAUACAUGAGCCUUAUAUAGGGGUGGCUAGAGUAAAAUAUAAGUCCUAUCUCAACCAAAAAAUUUAUUUGAUUUGUACUACCCUUUUGUUUUUAUCUCAAACAAAUCACGUGCGAUAGAGAGUUGGUUUAUAUAUGUAUUAAAGUAUGUGACCAUGAUUUGAUUUAAUCCUACUUGGUUUGUUAUUCUAUGCAUGUACACGAUAUAUAAAAUAAUAGGAGUGUGCAGGUGAGUGGGAUGCCAAGACUUUUCGAACUCUUAUAAGAUUUCAGCAAAGAAAUUCUUUAUUAUCUAUUAUUAAAUCAAAAAGCUGAUGGAUAGACUUUAACCAUUAAAACUUGUGCCUAAUUAUUUCUAAGACUUUAGUUUGCACCUUAAACUAACCGAGGAAUCAUAUUGGAUUGGAGUCUUCUAACUGUUAUAAAGAUAAAUAUUAUAAUUAUUUGCUAAUUAUCUUAAAUCCAUUGAUUAACCGUAAAUAGAGUUUUGAUGCUACUAAAAUUGAAAAGCCAUGUUUCACAAAUAAGUUGGAUAAGCACUAGUCUAAAAUGAAAUUAGGAUUUAUAUUAAAUUAUAUCAUAUUCAAAUUAAGAUCACUAUUAAACCCAUAUAAAUAUGGUCUACACAUGGCUGCAAUAAGCUUAAAUUUGUAUCACUUACCUACUUAAUUAAUAACAAACUUACAUUCUGAAACUAUAAUAUCUUGUGCCUAACUUAUCUAAUUUAACUUUAUUCGAGCUUAAAAUACAUAAUUAAAUACGAGCUAUCCAAAUAUUGAUAUACUUAUCAUCACUCUAUCAAAAUCCAAUUAUUUGACCCAAAAAUAUAAUAGUUUAAAAUAUAAUCAAAUAUGAUAUCUACAAAUAAAUUUUUAUUAUAAAUUUUUUUUUGAGAUGUUACAAUCUCCCUUCCUUAAAAAUUUCAUCCUUGAAAUUACCUACGUUCGGGUCCUCUAUUGUUUGUUCCUGUGCUAAAGCAAAAACUCUGGUGUUUCCCUUUUUUCUUGCUCAUCAUUCUUCUUCAAGGGGUCUUCUUUGCAAUUUUUGGAAAUGUAACAUGUUUUGCCACAUCGAUAGCACACAUGCUUCCCAAACAGACAUUCACAUUAUGCAUUUUGUUGCACUUUGGACAAGGUGGAAUGACUUGUCCAAAAGUUGAUUAGAAGUUAACAUUCUUGCUCUAUCCCUCUCCUUUCUCUUUAUUAGACCCAUUCUAUUUUUUCUUUCCUGAUGACUCGGGCCCUGCUGGGAAAUUUGGUCUAUUUCGAACCUAUUUGAGAUUGUUUAGACAAUUUGCAUAACUCGACUAUAGGUGGUGAAUUGGUGGGAUGCCAUUAUUCCAUCAAUCUCAGGACGUAAUCCCAGUUCGAACCUCCUUGUUUUCUUUGCUUUAGUAUCCACUAGAUGUGAUGCAUACCUUGAGAGUUGUUCAAAUUUUCUCUCAUAUUCUUCAAGCUUCAUUUUUCCUUACUUAAGUUGAAGGAACUUUGCCUCUUUUCGAUCCCUCAAGGCUUGUGGGAAGUAUUUUCCCAUCACUUCCUCCUUAAAUAGUGUCCAAGUUAGAGCACAUUGUUGUGCUCCUGUUCUAGUGCAAGAUGCUAACUCCCACCAUUGGCUUGCAACGUCAACCAACAUAAAUUCUGCACAUAACACCUUUUGAGCAUCAGUGCAAGAUAGAUGUUUGAAGAUUCACUCCAUUCCUCUUAUCCAUUCUUCAGCUGCUAGUGGGUCUGCUUUGCCAUCGAAGGUAGGGGGUUUGUAGCGACAGAAUUGUUCCACAAAUUGAGCUAGUGGUGACAGUGUUUGCACCGUGGGGACUACCCUGUGCUUGUUGCCUACACAAAUCUUGUACCGCCCUUAACAAAUCUAGUAUUAUUAAUAAUCUUUGUAAUAACGAAGAAAUAUAAAUUUCCAAAUCCUUACAUAUAGUAACUUGCUCUUAAAAUCAAAUAAAUAAACAAUUAUACUUAGGCCUGGGUACGGGUCGGUUUGAUUCGGUUUUAAAGAGAAUCGAACCGAACCAAAAAUUUCAGGUAUUUAGUAAAUAGAACCGUUCGGGUUCGGUUUGGUUCGAAUCAGUUUGGUUUCGUUCGGUUCUGUAAUAUAAUUAAAUUUUUUAACAUUUAUAACAACACUACAUAAAUACAACUAAUAACACAUUCAAUCGUAAUUUUAUAAAUUAACGUAAUCCAAUUUAACAUGUAUAUAACAAGUUGUCCAACAAGAUUAAUUUACCAAUCACAUAUGGGGAAGUUACACACUACCUUAUUCAAAUGAUCAACAGUCAAAGGUCGCAAUUGGAGCUCGGAGGUCAAAGCUUCGGACUCGAAGUCGGAGGUUCUAUACAUCUAUUUGAGUUUUGGAAUGUCAGAUGUGUUAUGUGUAGGUGAUAAUGUAUAUAAUUUAUUUAGGGUUAGUUAUUAGUGGGUUGGAUCACUUGGAUGUUGGGCUAAAAAAUGGAAGAAUAAAAACUAAAAAUGGCACUUGGGCUAAAAAUUAAAAAUUAGAAAUGAAACAAAUAAUUGGGCCAAAAAAUUGGAUUUAGAAAUUGGUUAGGUUAGGUCAAGCCUAGCUUAGGAGAUAAAGUAUCACUUAAUCACCUAAUUUGUUAAUUUGUUUAGAAAAAAUUAAAAUAAUUUGAUUUAUUCAAUAUAAACAAAAUAAAAAUUUGGAAUAUUCGGUUCUUAUUCGGUUCUUCGGUUCUUGGUCUAGAACCGAGACCCGAACCGUACCCGUCGAUUCUUAAUUCAGAUACUCGUUCGGGUAUUUAACUUGAGAAAAACCGUCGGGUUCGGUUCGGUUCCGGAGAUUUGCCCAACUCUAAUUAUACUUUUCCUAAAUAAAUAAAGAACACUUAUUUCAAAUCCCAGUGAGUCCUAAAAAAAUCUCCUUUUUUAUGGCAUCUCAUCAUCCGAAGUAAUGCAUGACUCUGGCUCGAAAUCUGCAACCAAAUCAAUGAGAUUUUGUGGGUGGAUUUCUUGCUUAGGAUCUUUCAGCUCUGGUUCGAUAUCUUCCUCCGGGUCCUAUUACGGGUCAGGUUGGGGUUCCGAUGCUGGUGCUUGUUGUCUAUGAUUCCAUAGAAUUAUGAUAACUUCACAGUAUCCUUUGAAAUCAAUUUUAUCCCAUUCUUUUUCCAAAUAUAACUCAUAAUACAUAUCCCUCACAAAGUAAGCCACGUCUCUCCAUUGAGGUCGCAUAGUGCUUAUAAGGUGGUAUAUCCAGAGGUCUAUCCCCUCAUUAUAUCCAAAUGAUCUCGUUCGUUCCCACUUAGAAAGAAAAUCUUCAACAUGUUCAACAAAAGUUCGCUGUCAUCUUGCUUCAUAAUUUAUGUAAUUCUCACUGGCCAUUUCAGCGCACUGGAGGUUUGUUGGACUAUUCCUAGUCAUCCUAAUCUUGUGACAAGUAUAAUUUCAAUUAUGCUUAAUCUUGCAUUAUCAAUAUUAUUUUAUUCUCAGUGUAUGAAAGAUAUUCUAGAAUGUAGAAAAAGAAUGACAAAUUUAUUAUGUGAGGUGAAUAUGCUUAUACAUUUCAUAAUAUGAAUCAUGCUAUAAAUAUGUCAUUACAUUUCAUACCUCGGGUCAAUUGGAGAGUGGUCAAGUAGUGAACGUAGCGUGCUAAUAAUUCUUAUCUCAUAAAUGUCUAAGGCUUUAAUUAAUUUAUUAAUUUAUUUUUAUUUACUUAUUUCUUUUUUUCCAAUGUUUUAAAAAAACAAUUAUAAUAAUAAUUCAUGUAUAUAUAAAAGUUUUCUAAAAUAGUCCUCCCUUUUUUAUAGGAUCUUCUCAACAUAAAAUUUCCAAAAAAAAAGACCCCUCACACACACACACACACACACACACACACACACACACACACACACAUAUAUAUAUAUAUAUAUAUAUAUAUAUAUAUAUAUAUAUAUAUAUAUAUAUAUAUAUAUAUAUAUAUAUAUAUGUAUGUAUGUAUAUGUAUAUAAUUCAAAAUUGACUUAUACACAAACAUUUAACUUUCAAAAAAAAAUUGAGAAAAGAAAAAAAAAUAUGUACGCAUAAAGUUUAAAGUUUUUUUUUUUUUGUGUUUACUGUUCAUAUGAACAAUAAAAAACACUGUUCACAUUUUCUACUUUCUUUUUUUAAAACAUUUUUUAAUUUUUUUUACUUUUCACGUGAACUGUUUUGAAAUUUCUUUUUUCAAAAUAAGUCUACAGAAAAGUCAAAACGGUGCUCUGAUAACAAGCCGUAACAUCCCAAAUUUUCAUAAAAUCGUAGCAUUACCAAAAAUUCAUUUUUUUACUUACUUUACAUGCGAAAAGAUCAAAAUAAAAUUCUUUAAUAAAUAAUAACUGCGGCAUUCAUAAAUUUAAAAUAAACAUAGCAAUUAUAUCUGGAAAAUAACACUAAAUAUGUCUUAAAAUAAAUUAAAAAAUAAUUAUGAAAGCAAAAAAAUUUAAUGAAAAAUUUAUUCUUUGUUAUUACGAUCCUCUUGGCUGCCCGCAUCACUACCCUACCACAGAUCUAAUGGACCCGAACUAACUUGUAAAAAUUUGUAAGAGUAAGUAUUCGAGAACACCCAGUAAGAUACGUGCAAUUUCCAUAUAUAUAUAUAUAAAUUACACUUCAUACCAUCUCAUCUUAUGGAGUAUAUCGGAGACCUAGUGAUACAUCUAUCUUAGGUCCUCUUAUAAUCCUGUAGGAUUUCAUCUCUUUAAAAAAACAAAUGCCUACUAGCAAUCCAUGCAUUUUUAAUCGAACAUAAAUGCAUAAAGAAAUAAUAACACUUGCACUUAAAAUAUCUUACCUCGUUGAUUUAAAAAGUUGUAAUGGACCAGAAAAAUGCACGUGAAAACCCCUUUUUAAUGCUUCAUUCUCUCUAACUUGACUAUCUAUUUUCUUUAAGUAAAAGCUUUCUGAAAUUUCUGUGGGUAUAUGCUUGGAAUACAUGAUCCUUAUACAGGGGUGGCUAGAGUAAAAGAUAAGUCCUAUCUCAACCAAAAGAUUUAUUUGAUUUGUACUAUCCUUUUGUUUUUAUCUCAAUCAAAUCACGUGUGAUAGAGAGUUGAUUUAUGUAUUGGAGUAUGUGACCAUGAUUUGACUUAGUUCUAAUAUUUUUGUUAUUUUAUGCUUGCACAUUUGAAGAUAUAUGACUUAAUUCUAAUUGGUUUGUUAUUCUAUGCAUGCACACGUGAAGAUAUAUAAAAUAAUAGGAGUGUGCAGAUGAGUGGGAUGCCAAGACUUUUCAGACUCUUCUAAGAUUUCAGCAAAGAAAUCCCUUAUUAGCUAUUAUUAAAUCAAAAAGCUGCUCGGUAGACUUUAACCAUUAAAACUUGUGCCUAAUUAUUUCCAAGACUUUAGUUUGCACCUUAAACUAACCGAGGAAUCAUAUUGGAUUGGGGUCUUCUAACUGUUAUAAAGAUAAAUAUUAUAAUUAUUUGCUAAUUAUCUUAAUUCCAUUGAUUAACCCUAAAUAGUGUUUUGAUGCCACUAAAAUUGAAUAGCUAUGCUCCACAAAUAAGUUGCAUAAGCACUAGUUUAAAAUGAAAUUAGGAUUUAUAUUAAAUUAUAUCAUAAUCAAAUUAAGAUCACUAUUAAACCCAUAUAAAUAUGGUCUACACGUGGCCGCAAUGAGCUUAAAUUUGUAUCACUUACCUACUUAAUUAAUAACAAACUUACAUUCCUAAACUAUAAUAUCUUGUGCCUAACUUAUCUAAAUUAACUUUUUCUCGAGCCUAAAAUACAUAAUUAAAUACGAGCUAUCCAAAUAUUGAUAUACUUAUUAUCACUCUAUCAAAAUCCAAUUAUUUUAGCCAAAAAUAUAAAAGUUUAAAAUAUAUUUCAUCUUAGUCCCUCAUUUUCAUAAUAAUCAAAUAUGAUAUCUAUAAAUAAAUUUUUAUUCAAAAAAAUAAAUUUGGGAUGUUACAGAAUCUAUAUAGAAUCUAGUAAAAGUUAAAUCAAUUCCAAAGUAAAUUCAUAAUAGAUAGUCUAGAUCUAGAAGUGUUGGACAACAAAAAUAUCAAUUUGCAUGAAUAAAUGGUGUGAAGUUGCGAAAUCCAAUGAGUUCCUUCGUAGCUUUACCUAGGAAUUUAGUUCUCCAUCGAACUCCUUAGCCCAAGAUGAGCGAAAAUCUUUAUGGAGGUGAAGAGAGGCGUGUUCUAGCUAGUCUAGGGCUUAAAACCAUUUGUCAAAUUGUUUCCAAAAGAGGUUGAACCGAAUAAGGAAACUAAAUUUUUAGCCAGAAUAUUCUGUACAAUUACGUUUAGUAUUUUGACCAUAACUCUCUCUCCCAAUGUCCGAUUAAGGUAAUUCAAAGUGUGUUGGAAAGAUAACACAAAGGAAUACAAUUUUUCUAGAAAUAUCUCUUUCCAAAUUCGAAGGUUUACUAGGUCAAAAGUUGAUCUUAAUCUCCGGCUGAAAAUCUGGAAAAUCCUUAUGCGAUUAUAAUUUGAUUUACGGAAAUAUUAUGGUCAUAUUUAACUUCUUUUGACUUCUAAUUGAAUCCAAUUGACCCAUAGCAUUAUCGAAUCAUCAUCCCAUCGCCCAUCUCUUCUAUGAAUUAUUUGCAACUGGGUCUUUGAAUUUCACUUUGGUAAUUUUUCACUCAUUUCUUCCGAGUUUCGCCUUUUUAUCAAAUUGCAACCUAGAUCAAAACAUAGCGAUAAUGAGUUCAUUUUGGCAUAAACAAAUGAAACAAUUAAGAGAGAAAAAUUAUGAUAUUUUGCAAUCUUAUUAGUCCACAAACAUCGAAAUGUACUAAUUCCAAAGCAUUUUUAGCUCUUAGUCCCUUAGUCUUAAAGGGUCUCUUAGUCAUCUUUCCUUUCAUGCAAGAUUCACAAGCUGGUAUGGAUUCCACCUCUAACUCAUUUAAAGGUCCAUUCUUUAUCAAUAUUUGAAUCCUAUUUAGAUUGAUAUGACCAUCUAAGAUGCCAUAGGAGAGUUUCAUUACCACGAGAUGACCUCUUUCUUUUCCUAGAAAUAGUAGUGUUAUGUAUAGAGCCAAUCAUAAGACUUAAGACAUAGAGACUAUUAACCAUAUCACCCAAACAUAUAACAGAAUUAUUCAACUUAAUAGCCACCGUAGAACAGGUAAAAAGUACGAAAUAACUAACACGAUAUAAAAGUGCAACGAAAACCGAGUUCCGUGUAAGUUCGGGAACAUAAUAAUAGUCAUCCAAGAUCAAAUGUCUACUAUUUUCAAAAUAUAAAGUAAAUGUGCCAACAACUUUGGCAGACACUAUUGCUCCUGCUCCAACUUUAAGAGUAUACUCUCCUUUACUAAGGUGCUUGUUUCUUGGAACCCCUACAAAGAAUUGCUAACAUGAUUAGUGGCUCCAAAAUCCACAAUCCAAGUUUUCGUAGAAUCAAUCGUUAAGCAUGACUCAAUGAAUACGGUACUGCCUUUACCUUGCUUCCCCUUAGCUAGAUGAUUUGGGCAAUUCCUCCUCUAAUGACCCUUUUGUCCACAAUAAAAACACUUUUCCUUUGUUUCCCAUCGGCAUUAGUUUUCUUUCUUUGACUUGCUAUUUGGCUUUUUAUUUGGCCUAUUCAUCUUCUUUCCUCCUUUACGACCAGAAGGCUUAGGAUGAGAGGGUCUAGCUAUUAUAGUUAAAGCACUUCCACUUCUGGCCUUUAGAAUAGUUUCAGCAAUGUGGAGUUCUUGCAAUAAUUUCGUCGAAGAAAUGUCCAUCUUGUGUAGAUUAUAAUCAACUAUAAACUGUGAGACAUCUCAGGAAGAGUAUCAAAGACCAUGUCAGUUUGCAUCUCGAAAUCAAUGUCAGCUCCUAAAACCUCUGCAGCAUUUAAAUGACCAAUCAUGGUUAACAUAUGAUCCCUCACAGAUGUGCCUGAUUUCAUGCGCGUGUUCAUAAUUGCUCUAAUGGAGGCUUGCCUAGCUUGUCGAUUUUGAUGUCCAAACAUCUCUUAAAGACUUUCCAUUAUGUUAAAAGUAGUUUCCAUAUUUUGAUGUUUUUGUUGUAAUACAUUUGACAUGGAUGUCAAAAUGUAGCAGCGGGCUAUCUCAUCAGAAUGACAACACUUUUUAUAUGUAGUCUUUUGAGAUUCCGUAGAAUCAUCUUUUGGGGUUUUGGGACAAUUUUCAAUCGGCACAAAUUUUUGUUUUUCAUCUGUAAGAACAAUAUUAAGAUUCCUUUUUCAGUCAACGUAUUUUUCUCCCACAAGUUGAUUUUUGUUAAGUAUCAAUAAUAAUGGAUUAAGUGACAUUUUUUUUGUAAAAUUAACGACUCGCAUAUUAAUAAAAUGAAAAAUAAUCUUUGUACGAUGCAUGUAUAUGAGUAUGCAAAUAUAGACCCAAAACUUUAUUUUUAAUCAAAGACCUUAAACGCUUAUAACUUUUAACACGCCCUCUAUAAGAUGUCAAUGUAGUUGUCUGCAAGGUUGGGACCCUCCAACUCAUUUUAUUGAGCUAGGCAUCUCUUGCCAUAAUAAAAAAUGAGGACUGAUUAUUUUUUGACCUAUGAAUAAUUUUGUUGAAACAUUCUAUAAGAAGUCCUAGAAAAAAUUCAUAUGUAAAUGUAAUAAUCUCCAUCAAUAAUUUUGAAAUAUCCAAAAUAUAUAAGAUGUCAUUUAUAGGAUAAUCAUUCCAUUAUUUCAUUUUAAAAACAUUCUAUUAUGAGCUCCAAUUUCAAUUCAUCUAAAAUAAUGUAGUCUUCUUAUAGGGAGAUCGAUGUAAUUCAGUACUAAACAUAUGUAUUUUAAUAACAAUUUGGAUGAUGGAGGAGGCCGUAGGUUUAUACAUGCCUAUAAAACUUCUCCCACUUAUUAUUUUAAACCAUUGGGUUUUUAUUUAAUAAUUAAUCUGCCAAAUAUAAACAAUUAUGAUGGCAUUAAAUUAUUAAAUAAAAUAUUUUUCAACCACCACUAAUUAAUUUAGAGUGAUGAAAAAUAUUUAAUACAAAUGCAUAUGAUUUUAGUGCAUCGGGUGUUUCAUUUAAUCUACCUGACAUUUGAUAAUAAUUAAAUAUUCAUUCAUCAUCCAUAAAGCGAUAAAAGCAAUAAUUAAAUGAGUUAUAAUCAUUUAUGGCCCAUCUUAAGAAUUUAAAUUACAACAUGGAUGAAAGUAUUACAUUGGGCCACAUUCUAGCAGAAUUCUUCAAUCUUCUUGUAGUCCAUCUCAUGUAAUAUCCAAAAUUAGGUCAAUUUAAUUUUUAAUCUAAAUCCUAAAAAAAAAAAAAAAAAAGACAGUCAUCCAACAAGAUUCGCCAAAGUUUCAAAGAAAAAACCAAAAACUCAAAAUUAACCCAAUUUCCAAACCUUAGCAAAAAAAACCUGUCUCCAACUUGAUACACUUCUUCGGUGACGGCACCAUCAUCGACAACCCCAAAAGAGGCUGUUGUCACCGUCACCAGGCGACCACCAUAGUAGUCGUGGCUACUGGAAGUAGCAACCAUGGCCGUCGCGACUGACCGUUAAGGAAGCUACUGCGGCCUCUUGCGAGGCAACAGCUACUGCAUUUGGCAGCAGCAACCACCGCCACCAAGCUAAAGUGUUUUUUGUUUUGCAUUUUGUUGACCUCUUUCUCCUUAUUUUCAAUACGCAAGUGUAAAAAUGAAGAAAAACUAUACAAGAAACCAAGUUCCUUAUGGCUUACAAUUUUUGUAGAGAAAAUAAAAACAACAAAUGAAUUACAAUGGGAAGCAAAAUAAAUCUCUACGGCCAAAAGUGAUUAUGGGGGUGUUUGAUAGUGAUUUUUAUGUAAAAAUAUAUUUUAGAAUAGUAAAUUGAUGUGAAAUGUGUGGUUGAAAAAUAAGGAAUUUUUUUUUUAUUUACGUGUAAUAGUAUUUUAAUAAAGAAUGUGUGGUUGAAAAGAAGAGAGAGUAAAAUACAUUUUGAAAAAAAAUGGCUACCAAAUGGGGCCUAUAUAAACAUCUACUUUAAACAUAUAAAGCAAUAAACAUGUCAAAUCAAAUAACCAAACAUCAUCCACACUAAAAUGCAUUUUAUGCUAGGACUCAAGUGACUUAAUCCAAUUCAAGGCUCUCAAGAACCUUGGCUCAGAUACUAUUUGUUGGUUAUUGAAUUUAAUAAUCACAGUAAGAAAUUAAUUUUCCUUUGAAGAUUAAACCUAUAUGAAUAAGGAUGUUAGAUAACCUUGAGAUCAUUGGAUGUUUUAAAUCCUCACACAUAAAAGGGAAGAUGAUAACCUUGAAGGAGCUUUUAAUGACAUAGCCAAAUACUUCUUUCCUUAGAUCUUCUCCCUUAUUCUCCUUUAGUUGCCUCUCUCUUUUUGGGAAAUGAAAAAGUGACUAACCCUAAAAGCAUAUGAAAAAGUGCCCAUAAAGGGCAUAUUUAUAAUACUUACUCAAUUAGGGUUUAGGAAUUGCACAAUUUUCCUUGAACUUUAUUGUAGUAGACCAAUUAAGUCGCCCACCUUUAUUGGAGCCAAGGGAGGGACCUAAUUGGACUCACAUGACUCAAGCUCCAAUAGAUGUUUCUAAUUGGAUCAACUCUUAACCAAUUGAGAUAUCUAUUAAUCACGGCUCAUUCUUCCAAAAAAUAAAGAUUGUACUCUCUAGUUGAAUGAUAAUUAUAGAAGCAAAUUAUGAUCUAAUAAUAGGCAAAAUGACCGUUUUGCCCUUCAACAUGUAUUACCCUCUAAGUUCCAUUUUUAUACGACAAAUUCGUUGUGAUCAAAUCACAAUAUAAAGUCCAACGAUCUCAUCAUCGAACUACUAAGCUCAGGUUCAAUUUACCUAUGAGAAAUACCUCAAAGUGACGAUUGUCUCAUCUCAAUGAUUAAUGGAUUCCAAUAUUGGAAGUAUAUGAUCUCUAAUUGCUUUGGCCCAAUUCCCAAAGCACGGAGAUCAAUCUUUUAUUUAAGACUUCACUCAUUGGUACCUUAAAGAACUUAAACUAGCAAUCAAACGUACAUUACUCGCUCAAAAUUUAGGUGACUUGUUUGAUAAUUGAGUAGAGCCUCAUUUCAAGCGGUCACAAAUGAGUCUUCUACGCAGUCCCUUUCAAUGUACAUCAAAACAUAUUAUUGUUCUUAUUCAAAAAUCUCGAUAAAUCUUAAUAAGAACAAUGCAAUCUUAUCCGCAUAAAGCGUCCAACUUUAUGUACUAAUUGUGAACAACAUAUUUUGUUCAUAUCACGAAUUGUGUCUUACUAUACUCGAACCAUCGAGUGUACAAUUUGUGACAUCCUACAUGAUCAUGGAACCUUAGAUAAUUGCUUGAAAUUAUAACAUGCAAAUAAACGAACGUCGGUUCGUAAUGUCAUCAUACAAAAUACUACUCGAAGAAAGGGCGUCAAAUUAACAAUUACAUAUAUUAAGUAAUGUAAUUAACCCUCACAAUUUAUUUGCUAAAAAAUUUCUUUAAAUAAAAAAUCAAAUUAAAUAUAAAUUUUCCAUUUUCUUCAAAAUAUUUCUUAAGUUGCUAGUUUAAGGUAUUAGAAAAUCUCGUGUAACUUAAUUGCAAGUCAAUCAAAAAAAAUGAAAAAGUAUGCAUUUUGAAAAACAUUUUCAAAUUUGAGCUCAAAUGUUUGUUUGAAGUCUAAUAAUUUGACACAAACAAAGAUGAUAGCAAAAGCGAACUCGAAGAUGCAGAAGAAGAGCCAUCUAAAAUAUCAGAAUUUAGAUAUGGACCAGAUAUCUUAAAAUGGAUCUCAACUAAAGAGAGCAAAAGAAGUGUCAAUGGUGUCUCUAGACGGCGGCAGUGAUGGUUAUUGGUAGUAGUUUGUUGCCAUUUGUCGGUGGUGGUUCAAUUUGGAUGUGUAUAUAUGUGUUUUUGUGUAUGGGUGGAAUGAAAAGCAGUAUUUAGACAAUCAAAUAAGUAUAACAGGUAAGUUCGGAACUUUUGAAUGAAAGAAAAGUGGUGGGUGUAAUUUUUAGCGAAAAGAGCUACAAAUAUUCAAUUAUAUUUGUCUAGUUAUUUAAUUGACAUUCAUGUUUAGAAUCAAGUCCAUUAUUCUGCAACAGGUAGGAAUUGGUGAACCAGUCUUGUCGAGUGAAACUUUAGCCAUUUGUUCUUUUAACAAAAACUAUCGAUUAACGUAUAUAGUUACUAAAACCAUUUGUUUUGUAAUAUUUGCUCACUUUUAUUUUUAUUAUGUCAUCAACUUUUUUCUCGUCGAAUUAUCAUCCUUGACCUUCAAUUAGUUAACAUGUUUGAUCUCUAAUCACAAAUUUUCAUCCAAAUAUGCUACUAAUGUUCAUUGAAAAGGUGGACAAAUAUUUUGUUUAACUUUCGCGUUACUUAUUUAUUUUGAUUAUUUAAAAAUACGAGAGAGAUGUCGUUUUGGCCUUUGUAACAAGUAUUUUGGAUGAAAAUCGUCUCUAUAGACAAAAUGUGAAAAUUAAUAAAAGGUUGAUGUUAAGAAUUAAAAAAAAAAGUUGAAAAUAUAAGUGUAAAAAUAAGAAAAAUUCAGGGGUAUGUAUUGUAAUCAAAAUAUAGUCUAGUUAACAAAAAUUGUGGUGUGAAUAUAUUUACCCAUAUGAAAUUCUCAACUUUUAUCAAAGAUAACAUAUCAUAUAAUUCAAUGAUGUGGGCCAAGAGAAUGAAAGGGAAAAAUAUUAGAUUAAUCCAUCAUCACCAGAUGAGGGUCAUUUAUGUGUCGUGAAAAUCAUCACAGAUGUUCUUUAAUCAAAACUCUGUUAAUAAACUUUUUUCAAGGACCUUCGUCCAUUUGUAUCCAAGUAUGAUUGUUGUCAAACGAGUAAUAUAUCUUUAGAGUGUGAUAUUCUAUCGAGUUGUAUUCCCUUGUCAUUUUUAGUUUUGUAGUAUUUCUUGGUUUUGCUCGAAAAAUAACAAAGUGUAAAUUUGGGGCUGUUAAUAAGUGUAAUUCUUAUACUAAUUUCAUAGUUAUUUAUUCAUACAAAUGUUAGUUUAUUUCUCAAUUUUACAUUGAUUUUUUGUUGUUUUUGUUUGUUUUAGGAGACGGAUGUGAGCUUUAAUAGAGAAUGAGGAGUUGUGGAUCAAGAAGAGAAGUAUGAGUUGAAAAUCAAGGUGUAGUGCUAGUCCUGUCCAAUCUGCUUGAGUUUUUGCCUUCCUACGUCCCCCUACCAUAAUGCUUAUACUGGUCCUGCCUGCGUCCCCUGCCAUAUUGCCUAUGCUUUCUCAACUGCGUCCCUUACCGUAAGUAGUUCCAUUCAGUCGUAGCACAAUGCUUGCCUAAUUUUCCCAACUUGUGUCUUUGACUGUAGGAAGUUACUAUUCAUGCUUUGAAUGUUAUCACUUUCUCUCCUUUGUGGUAGUUCUCUCGACAACUUUGCUAGCAUCACGUCCUUAUAUUAAACAAUUGGAAUGAAUUCGUUUGAACUUCAUUCACAUCUUGGCUAUCUACGAUCUCCGAUUUGCUUUCUGAGAUGGACGCCAAUGAUCUUAGAUUAGGACAAUCCUGCAUGAGAUGUGGCACUUUGCAAAUAAAGCAACCACGAAGAGCAAGAUUACCCCUUUUGUCAUCAUAAAGCCUCCACAAAGUAGCUUGUUUGUUGCCAUUGAGCUUAUAUCGACUUUGGGAUUUGGUCUCCAAUUUGGCUAACUUUGUUGCUUGUCUUUUCCCACACUACCCUCGCUUUAUUAAAAUUUCCUUUGGUUGGUUUGAAGGUCUUUUGCUUGUGUCUCCAUGCUCCUUUGGAAUUCGUCAGAGAUUUGGCAAUCGCAAUUGCCUCAUCUAUAUCCUUGACCCUAAGACAUUAUAAUUCUUAUCGCACCCAUGUUACACAUCCAUCCAAGAAAUAGAAAGCAAGACAUCCUCCGAUAUGCUUGGGAUUUGAAGCAUAAGGGUCGUAAACUCUUUGACGUAGUCAUAAAUGAUAUCUUUGUGUUCCAAUUUCUUUAGUUUCUUGCGGACCUUGUACACAACAUUCUCAGGGUAAAAUUGCCUUUUUAGCUCCUUUACAAACUCAAGUAUGAAUCUAGCAAGCUCCCUUUUCAAAUUUAGCAUGCUUUCGACGCCACCAAAGAAAAGUGGUGUCAAAAAGAUACAUAGUAACAUUUCAAACUUUCAUGGCUUCAUCAACAAGAUUCUAGCCUUCAAAAUAUAUUUUCCACGUCUAUGGCAUCCCUUUAGCCAUCAUAGCUUUAUGGCUUUGGGUACUCAAUUAUUGGGACAACAAUGCUAGUAGCAGCACCUUCGCUUGUACCCGGCUGUGGAUUGUUUGUAUUGAUCAAGUUCCUUGCUCACCCUUUCCAUAGUCAAGGCCAUCUAGCUCACUGCUCUUACAUGCUAGAAGUGGCAUCUAAGUCUUUGGUCAUCUCCGUGGCUUGUUUGUCUACUGUAGCCUGAACAUCAUCUUUCGCCGUUCGAACAUCAUUCCAAUGAGUUAGUGUGUCCAUCAUCUCUUGGACUAAUCGUUUCGAGAGUUUUUAACUUUUCAAUGGUGUAGGCUCCUAAUGCCUCAAAGUAGUUUUCAAGAGAUUCAAUCGCCCAUAUUUACGAUAAACCCUCCAUGGUAGUUGAUUCUCGAGUCUUACUUUUGCCUCGUGUUUUCGUUCCUUCAAUUGGAGCAGCACCAUACCUCUUUUCCUCUAUCUCAAUAUCAAUAAUUUGUUGAGUAUCUGCCAUUACAACAACCUACAAACAAGGCUUAUGUUGCAUAUCUUACCUAGUAUUAGAGCCUAGUUUCGUUACCUAUAUAAGGGACACCCCAAGGUAGGAAUCUUGCCAUCAUACCUAUACAAGGGAUAUACAUUACUACACUUCUGAGAAUGUAUGUGACUUUCUACAGUAGGAGAUGUUAGGAAAAUCGGGUAGCAUAGGUAAUUCGCUAUAGCUAAAUGAAACUAGUGUUUUGUCCCUGAAGAUUGAUUACCCAAAAGCCUCAAGGCUAUGAUGGCCGAAAAGAUGCUGCGGACGUGUACUUUGAUGAAUUAAUGAGGCAAUGAAGGAGCAGAAAACUUCAAUAUAUUUGCGAUGUCAUUGUUGUUCAUAAGCAUGGUCCUAGCUUGGGACGAGUUCAAAAGAAUAUUAUCCUAUGAAGCCCACAAGAAAUUGAGGAAAUUGGAACAUAUGAGAAAAAUUCAUGACUAUAUAAUUCUAAGCAUGCUGGAGGAUGAUUAAUGUUCUAUUUCCUAGACUGAAUUAUUUGUUGGGCGUGACAAGAGAUGCAACAUCACAUAGUCAAAAUCGUAGACGAGGUGAUUGUGGUUGUUGAAUCCUCAAUGGGAAUUUGAGAAACUUGUCAAGAUGAAAAACUCAAACCAUCAAACCUACUAAAGGAAAUUUUGGUGAAUAUAGGGAUGACGUAAGGAAAGCCAGUAAGCUAGAUUAGAGGUAAAAUUCUAAGGCUGAUUAUAGAUCUGGCAGCAAUACACAAGACGAGGAUGAAGUUUAGAUGAAUUCCAGUUGUUUAAUGCCAUGAGUACCAAAAUUGUAUUAAUGGGGAUGGAAAUACCAGAGGUUUUAGGGAUGCAGUUAGCUAAAAUCUUUAAGGAUGACAUGGAUGAUGCUAGUGGAGUUUCUGAAGGAACUACUAUAAAAGAAGAAAAGUGAUAAAGCAUUGUCGAAAAAGUCAAAAAAUGGGUGCAUUGAUGUUCAAAGCUUCGACAUGUGUGGGAAUGCUAUAACUGGAGGAGUUGUCCAUCUAAAGAACCAAUGCAGAGGUACAGAGGGUAAAGAUUGGUGUCGAAGAUGGCAUGCAAAAUAGGAUAAUGCAAUGCUUAAGGUAGAUGAUAAUGCAAUGUUUAAGUUACAUGAGGAUACGAUGAACACGUUUCAGUACGACAACGUCGGCGGAUUGAGUAGUUAGAAUGUCAUGGACCUCAAGGGCACUACUUGAAGCUUGUUAUGACAUGAGAAUGUCACGACACAAAGUGGAAUGGUAGACCUAUGGUAAAUUAGGUCUAAACUACGGAGGUAUACGGCGACGGGAUAAGAGACAGAGAUUAGAAAAAUCAAGCUGUGUAGCAACACAGGAAGACCACAAGGGACACAUAUACUAAAAUCGAAGUUUUCUAAGCUAAAUCCAAACUUGACAACUUGUGUAAGGAAGCAAAGUCCAACUCAUAUGAUACUUGCAUAUGAGUUGUAAAGAUUGUCCACUUGCAUGCAGAGUGACAUGUCGACUAGCAUAGAGCCAUGUACCUAGCAACAUGACAACUUGCAAGGUAGCAAACUCAUGUAGAGACAUGCAACUUGUAAAAUAGCAAAUUUGAACUUGACUACCUUGUGGUCUAAGGAAGUAAAUGGCAACUUGCAGCCAAUGAGGACUCUUAGAUCAAGAUUAAUCCUAGCCAUCAAGGGAUGGAGGGAGUGAUAGAGAGUUGAGAGAAAAUUUCCAUGAUGGAAUGGGAUAAAGUAAAUAGAGUGAUAUCUUUGUAGAGAAAUAGUACUUGAGACGGGUAAAAUUUUUACCAUUGGCAGCUUGUCCGACUCCCACAGCCUGAACAUUAUGCUUCACUGCAUGGACAUCGUUCCCCAAUAAUACUUGAUCGCCCAACACCUCUUGGAUGUUAAUUUGGAAAGUCAACUUUUCAAUGGUUUGGCCCUCCAACGCUUCAAAGAGUGUUCCAAGGAUUUGAAUCUAUCACCUUAUUGACGAUGAUCAGGUCGAGUUUUCUUUCCAUCAUCAAAGCUUUUCGUAUGUUGUUCUUAUUGCGUGUUGUCAUUCUUUCUAUCGAGAAAAUAUCACGUCUUGAGACUCUACCAUUUGAGCACCAUACCCAAAUCUAUCUCUACGAUCCUCCCACAAACUCGGCUAUUCCAUGUGAACCUUGCGCGGACAUUACCUCACCUCUGAGAUGAAAAUUAGUUCAACCCUACAUGAACAUGCUCCGAUACCACAUGUCACAGGCGUAGAUUUGUCACCCCAAAACUAUUCUAGCACUGUACAUCGAUGAUCAUAACUGAUCGCUAAUUUGACCCUUGAGGUUGCAGGACACCCCAAGGAAGCCUUCUCCACAUGCGGUCGACAAUAAGAAAUCUUGCAAAACUGCAUGGGUAGGGAUGUUCUCUAGGUCAAUGACUCAUUUUCCCACUUAAUCCUCUAACGCCCUCAUAGUAUAUGUGUGCUUCGCCUCUCCAUACAGAUAUUCCCUUCAAGUUAGUGGGUCUAAAAAUUUAUCCACAAUUGCAGCAUCAUCCCCUUAUCGUGUAAGCGUCCAUUGUGGCCCCUGUAUCUCUUCCCGUACCUCGUACAUGUCGUUACAUCACCAUGCAUGUCGAAGUAUACCACUAUACAAUUUCUACAGCAAUUAUCUAGCCAUGCCCUUGUGAAACAAACAUUAAUGGCCAAGACGGAGAUGCGAGCUUGAUUUCUGCGGUUGGCAAAACUACAUUAAUGCAUGCCCCAACAUCAUCCUCAAAGCUAAGCUUUCCAUCCUCGAUUUUACUUGCUUGCCAACCAUUUUGCCACAUGUUGACAAUCUAAUCUUCUCCGCAGGAACAUACACCUUAGUCUUAGGUAAACCAACAACAUGCAACAUUCAAAGGGGACUUUCUUUGAUACCACAUGUACAUGACCUUGCAUGAUCGUCCGUUCUGCCCAUAAAGUUGUGGGACACCCCAAGACAGCCUUCUCCACACACACGGCCAGUAAGCUAAGAUAUGCAUCAUGAAUACAAUAUAAGGAGGUAGGAAGCUUGCUAUCGUACCUCUAUAAGGGACUUCAUUAGUGCACUUUCGAUAAGAUAGCAAUAAAUUCGCAAUAAGCAAUCUUGCCAUGCCACACGGGUGGGUCCAUGACUAGCAGCUGCUAUACUUACAACUUGUAGCUAACAUUUAUCAUUUUCAAGCCCUUUGUGCCUUAACAACUAACUUAUUUUUAGUACAUAUAUACUUAUAAGGUAUUGUGUAAUUCAUAUUUAUAUUUUCUCCAGAUGUAAAUAGAAAAGUAUACUACGUGGAUAUCAUUUUUUAUAUGUAAUUGUUUUGUGAUUGUUUAUGUACUUAUUACUCACAAAGACACUAUGUAAUUCAAAUAAGAAAUAUAACUUCGAUAGCUACAUUCAAUAAAGAAAGCAUUGAAGAGAUUACUGAAUGACGAGGUCUUUUCCCACUGAAUCAUUCAAUACUAACAUCUUUAUGCAAAUCCCAACCAAAAGGAUGAAAUAGUACUUGUAGAAGUAUUUGGUUUCAUGCUUGAUUGUUUGCCGUGAUUGGGUAAGUAAUUCAAUAGUUAAUGGUUUGCUUCACUCACAAAAUUAGCCCCAUUUGGCUUUCACUUAAGAAAAAUCAUUUUUCUUAAACUCAUUUUCAUCAACUCAUUUCAUGGGACUUACAACUUUUAUUAAGUUUUCAACCACAUUUUACCAACUUUUAUCAAAAUCAACUAUAAAUUUAAUUUUUUGGUGAAGAAAUAGGAGCUUAAUGUCUUUUAAUAAUAAAUAAGCAUUAUUUGCGAUUUCUUUCGCUACCUUACCUUGAGAACUCCAUUUUGAUGUUAUAUAUAAAAAACAUGAAAAAGUAUUCUACUUUUAGACUCAUACAAAUGAAUCAUGUGCCGGGAACUAGAUUUGAACUGGUGACACAAGGAUUUUCAGUCUAAAAAAUUGUCUAGAAAUGCUUGGGAAUGUGCCUGCAUCCCUGACAUGGCCUGCACACCAUGUUCCUUUGUGUGCCCAAAAAUCUGUCUGCGUCCCGGCAUGUCAUGAAGUAGAAGAAUAUAGGAACAUGAGUUGUUGCACAGUACAAUACAUGGGUUUUUGUCCUUAUACACUUAGGCAUUGAAAAGUUAUUUCAAGGACCAUGGGCAUUCUAGCUUCAAUGCAUUCCCAGAUAAAGGAAAUUUCAAUUGGGAGAAACGAAAGGGGAGGGACAAAUCAGAGCGACAAAGGACUAAAUCUCAGAGGUAAAGUGGCCUAUAUAUAUAAAGCAAACUAUAUAUCUCAAGCCUGAGUCAAACUUGAGCAAGCAUCGAUCUUUAUCAAGUAGAGAUGGCAAUUCGAACCGUCAAAAUCGAAAUCCGAGAUUAACCGAACCGAAUGGGGCGAAAAACGUCGAAUCAAUGGUGCAACGGGGAAAAUAUGUUAUUUAAUUUUAAUGACCCGAUUUAGGGUGGGGCAAGUAUGGUAUUUUUGUAGUCGCCUCGACCCGAACCGAUUACCCUUUAACAAAAUAAUAAUAAUUGGAUUUAUUGUUUUAUAUUUGUUAUUCAUGCACUUUCUUUUAUUGCUAAUUUUUUCCUCUUUUGUGUGUACAAAAUUCUACUCCUUCAUCGUACUCUGAAGCUUGUACAAGGUUUGCUGACGAGGAUGUUGACAAAGAGGUACAUUUUUUUAUUUAAAUCUUAAGUUAAGACCAUUAUGGAUUAUUACUCUAUUUACAUUUCUUAUAUACUAUAUAGGAAUCAGCUUUGAGUUUUGAUGUAUGCUAGUAAGAGUUGUGGAGAAGGAUGAAGAUUGAAUAUGAAUUGAGGUUAGAGCUUUUGAAUUAUUAAGUAGGAAUCAAGUUCAUUGCACAAGGAUCAAGGGAUAAAGAUAUUGUUUAAUAUUGUUAUGUUGAUAAUAUUGUUUGUUAAAUUCGAAUUUUGAAUUUGAGAAUUGGGAUAUUGUUUGCAUUUUCAUUUAGGAUGUUGUUUUGCUACAUUGGCUUAGUAUUAUGUCUUUGUUUUCAUUGACUUUUUUCAUAAUUUUUUUUAAUUUGAUGGAUGUACUUAUUAUUCAUAUUUAUGUACUUAUUCUUGAACUCAUUUGAGAAAUGUCGAGUUGAGCCAUAUCACUUACUUUGUUUUACAAUGAAAGAGUUCAUCUUGAGGGUCAUUGAAACUUAAUGGAGUCUCGACCUCUGUCGAGCAUAAUUCCUUUUAAGAGUCAAGUCAAGCUCAAGUGCAUUUCAACCUUGUUUGAGAAGAAAUCAUUCUUCUAAGGAACAAGCUAACCCAACUAUAUCUUAGUCUCAUUCAAACCUUACUUCUCUUUAAAGAUCAAAGCAAAGUGAGUCAUGACUGAAUUUUAACAUAAUUUUGUCCAAGAACAAACUCGAGCUCAAGGAAGUCUUAACCUAGUUUGAACAUAAUAAUGUUGAGUUUUGCUAAGACUUAAACUAAAAAUGAUUGUACUGAGACAUUAUUGGAACUCAUUCAAGCUUAAUUCAACACUUACUAUUAACUUUAAAUGAUAUUAAGACUCCCUUGGUCUCGACUUAGCUUGGCUAAUUAGGAAUUAGGCUAGAAUUCAAGAAUUGGCUAUGUGGUAAAAUAAGUUUUUUUUUUAAUUAUUUGAUCAAAAAAGAGAGGACUUUAUAGGCUAGAUAAAAACCUAGGUCAACAAGCUAAAAAUGGGAAAAAAAAAUCUAGAAUUAGUAUCCUAGGAUCUAUAUUACUUUGCAACUAAAUAGGAAACUGACUAAUAUUAAUUACAUACUCAUUGUGCUAGUGCUCUAAAUUAUACUUUGACACAUGAACUAACUGCCAAAUUUUGUUUCUUACUCUUCCAAGACAUAUGAUUAUCUCCUAAGAAGUACAACAUCAGGAUCAUAACUCUUUUUAUCAAGAUACAACAUCAGGAUCAUAACUCUUUUUAUCAACUACUAAUCCAAAAUAGUCUACAACUGUGAAUGCCUAAAACAAUGUAUUUAGUUUCUUCUCUACAAAUUCUUUUUCAGGAAUACCCUUUAAGUAGUGAAUCACUCAUUAUACGGCUCGUAAGUGCAGUUCUUUAGAGAUGCACAUGAAUUGCCCAAUGGCACUCACUACAUAUGCUAUAUUCAGCCUUGUACGUGAGAGGUGGUAAAUAAGUUUCCCUACUAAUCUUUGGUAUCUCUCUUAAUUUGUGACAAUAUCUUCACUAGUUUUUCCCAAUUUGUUAUUCAGAUCAAUUGAUGUGUUUACGAGUUUUUAAGCCAAUUUUUCCAUUUCCAUCAAUAGAUUCAAAUAUAUAUUAUAGUUUCAAAAUAAAAAUUGUUGGGAAAAACUUAUCUACCAGUAAUGAAGGUACAACGGAAUAUUUUUCUCUCUUUUUUGUGUGACAAAUAAGGACAUUGACAAAACUUUCACUAUAUUACGAAUUAUGGGAUUACAAGACUCACAAUAACAUCAAAAAAUGAUAUAAUUUCUUGGCUUUAGAGGCACUCAAUCUCUCUAAUUUUCUUUCUACACAAGGUCUCAUCCUAUGUAUAAAAAAUAUUGGAUGGAAGAAGACAAUUUUAACUUCAUUCCUUCCUUUUUCUUGUCAAACUUUUCUAUUGGUUGAAAGAAGACAAUUCGAACUUCAUUGCUUUUCUUGUCAAACUUCUCCAUUUGUUGAAAGAAGACAAUUUGAAGCCAUGCAUUUAGUUGUUCAAGCUACGGAGGCCAAGAGUUUGAAAUUAAGAAGACAAAUACCAAGUUUCAUUUUAGGUAGGAAAGCUUAACAUGUUGGAUACAUUGGAGGGGAAAAAGUUGGAAGCCAAACAAAUAACUAUGCUACAUGUACUAUUCCAAAAACAAAGAGGUGAAAUUUUGGUUGUUUUAUACUAUCGCGGGAGUUAUAGCAUAGUUCAUUUUAGGAACAAGUUUUUUCAGUUUUUCUAUUUUUGUGAGAACUCUUGCUAUAGUACCUUCUUUUAUAUAAUUCCAUUUUAAUUAGGUUUUUAUGGGUUUUCUAUAAAUAGGAUUCAUUAUUUUUAUUGUAGAAUAACAUGUUAUUAAGAGAAUUAAUAAAGCAAGAUUUACAUUCUUCUUGUUCUUCAUUGAAGUUAAUUUCAAGCUAAUCAAGAUUUUCAUCUUUGUAGUGUUCAACAAUUUCAUAGUAAGGUUCAUAGUUUUUGUAAUUAAGGACCCUACAAGGUCGAAGCUACCCCUAAGGGUUAGUACUCGGAGGAAAACAGGAAAAGCAAUAGAAAAUUGGAAAUGCCUAUAUUCAGUGGCGAAAACCUAGAUGCUGGUUGUACCGAGUUGAAAGGCACCUUGAGAGUAAGCAUCAACGGUGAUGCACUUUUCUUGGUUACAGUGGACAGAAACCCGAACACCCAUUUGGACUUGGGACCAGUUUCGAAUUCUCCUAUUUUUUCUAUUUCAACCUACUUAAGAAGGAAGUCUUUGCAAAAAAUUAUUAGCCAUAUGAUAGACUAGGGCGGUAGAUGAAUUAAGGUGAAAUUAUGAAACUCUGGAGAAAUGGUUAUGUUUUUGAUGUGACGAGAAUUAUACUGUGGGACAUGUCUGUAAGAAACGCGAGUUAAAUGUUCUACUCGCUGAAGACGAAGAAUAAAUGAUUCCUUAAUUCUGGUGAAGAUGGCAGAUAAGGUGGAAUAAUUACUCAAUUUUAUGUUCAGCCUCACUAUACCUGGAUCAAUAAAGAUGGCUGGGAAAAUUGGUGCAAGACAAGUAACAAUAUUGAUUGAUUGUGGGUACCAUGCUUAAAACAUUACGAAGAGAAGAGCGGGGACAUCAUGUUUUUCAAAUGCCGAAGUCAUUAUCACUGAUCGGGAAAUUGACCGUGCCAUUCUAUUACAUAAAAGGACUAGGCCUGUAGGAGUACGGCCUUAUAGAUAUACACACAACCCAAAAAAAUUAAAUUGAAAGACAAGUGUAAGAAAUAUUGGCAGUCAGAAUUAUACGACCAAGCACCAAUCCUUUCUCCAACCCGAUAUUGUUAGUCAAAAAGAAAGAUGGGAUUUGGCAAUUUUGAGUUGACUACUGGGCUUUGAAUAAAGUUACGAUUCUGGACAAGUUUCCUAUGCCAGUUAUUUAUGAGACUACCUUAGGAUGUUCACUUUUCCUUGUUUGAUGAUAUUUUGGUUUAUAGUGAUAACUUAUCAUCCCAUGAGAAGCAUCUUGAGUUGGUUUUUAGCGCACUAUCCUUGCAUUAGCCUUAUGCAAAUAAACAAAAGGCUCUUCGCAUGGUGAUAGGUCGAGUACUUGGGGUAUUAGGUUUCCAAACAAGGCACUGUAGCAAUUCCAAUAAAAUUUUAAGAUACAACCGCUUAUUUUUGUCCGAGUAUGGAGCAUUAUCUUAGCCUCUUACACAACAACUCAAGAAUGAUUCAUCUAUCUCGACCUCAAAGACUGAGGCUGCAUUCCAAAAAUUAAAGGAAGUUGUGUCUGCAAUACCAGUUUUAGCAUUACCUGACUUCUCACGGCCUUUUGUAAUAGAGUUAGACACAUCAGGUUAUGGUCUUGGGGCAAUAUUGAUGCAAAAUCAAAAUUCUAUUGCUUACUUUAGUCAAGUUUGUCAACUAAUUCACGCCUAAAAUCAAUCUAUGAAACGGAACCCAUGUCAAUUGUUUUGGCCACCCAGAAAUGGAGGUAUUAUAUCUUAGGGAGGCAUUUCAUAGUGCGUUCCGAUCAGUAGAGUUUGAAAUUCCUAUUGGAGCAACGGGUAGUCCAAGGAAAGUUCCAGAAGUAGGUUACUAAAUUGAUGGGAUAUGAUUUCAAAAUACAACAUUGGCUAGGGUUGGAAAACAAGGUGGUAAAUGCUCUUUCUUGGAUAGGAUCACCAAUUGAAUUUUCAAAAUUUUCCCUUGGUCACAUACAAGCAAUGGCUAAUCAAGUUGAUGCUGACCCCCAGCUUUCUAAAUUAAAAGAAAAAAUGAGUUGCAAGAUGAUCUAGACUCUCAUUAUCGAUACUAAGUAGAAUAGUGGUUGUUGUAUAAAGUUAGACUGGUAACACCGAAGUCUUCCUCCCUUAUUCUAACAUUAUUACAAGAGUUCCACAACAGCACAGUGGGAGGACAUUCUGGGUUUCCUCAUACUUACAAAAGGCUCACAAGUGGUCUUUAUAACAUCAGCUAGCUGUUAGCUAAAUCAGGAGGAUAUGACUCAAUUCUUGUUGUGGUGGAUUGUUUAACUAUAUAUGCUUUUUUUUUUUUUUACGUUUUCGACACCCCUUCACAGCUUCAAGAAUGGCUAUAAUUUUUGUAUAAAAUUUAGUCAAACUUCAUGAAAUUUCCCACUCUAUAAUUUCUGAUCAAGACAAAGUAUUUCUUAUCCAUUUUUGGAUGGAAAUCAAAUUGUAGAGUACUUACCUAAGAAAAAGCAUCGCGUAUCAUCUUCAAACCGAUGGGCAUAUGGAAGUAGGAAACCGUUGUUUAAAGACUUAAGAUGCUUUCAUAUGACAAGCUGCACCAUUGGUCUACUUAGUUGCCAUGGGCAAAGUAUUGGUACAACACUACUUUUCACGCAUUUGUCAAGUAUAGUAUUAAGGCAACAAAUAUGAUAACAAUAGAGCAACAGUUGCGCGACCAAGAUUAAUGAGAAGUUAAGUCCUCAGUACUUUGGACCCGUUAAGGAACUAAACGCAUAAGCUAGGUUGCUUAUCACUUGGAGCUACCUUCUACGUCUACAAUUCAUCUAAUUUCCCAUGUCUCUUAAUUAAAAAAGGGCCUAAGAAGCUACAAAAACUUGUUAGCAACUAUCUCCUCCUCAUCUUGGUGCUACCUUGGAAUGGGUUGUAGAAUUAAAACAGAUCCUCAAUUUUCAUAACUCUGGCCAGGGCGAAGUUCUAGUACAAUGGAAAGGGCUAUCUACUUAUAAAGCUUCCUGAGAACUCAUGGAGACUCAUUUUACAAGGUGCCUUUUAGAACUAAGGAUGGCAACGGGAUGGGUUCAUGGCGGGCAAACUCUAAUGUCCCCUACCCUACUAGGUAAUUUCUUGUCCCAUACAGGAAAUUAAACGAGCCUUUGCUUCAUUUAAAUUUUUCUUUUUUUAGUUUUUUAUAAUUCAUUUUAUUACCCUCAUUCAUUAAAGUGUGACAAUAAUAUAGUUAUUAAAUUUUUUUAAUUAAUUUAUUUAUUUUUAAAAGUUAAAUAUAUUAGAAUUGAUGGAAUUUCAUGAAAUUUUCUAUUUUAACUUUAAAGUAUUGAAUUCUUAAAUAGAAAAAGAAGUUAAAUGGGAUGGGGCAAGGUGAGGCCCUUGUUAUCCAUAUCGUCCAAGGGCAAAAAACACCCCGCCCUCUCCUAGACCCGAAUGCUCAGUUAAGCGAGUAAUAUUUCUCCCAUUUGAAGCGAGGCCUGUGGGUAUCGAGUUUGAUAGGUUUUUGGUCAUCCUUAAUUAGAACCCGAGGGUAUUGCUAGGCCUCCUAUCCAAUACACUUAUUCUAGAAGGAUAAAAAAAGAAUGGAGGAUAAAGAGCAACAACAAAUUCUAUUAUAGUUGUAGGAUGAGGUGGACAAUUAGUUACACACAGGCUAUAAAUAAGUGACCACUGUUAGUAAUAAGGGUUAUAACUUUUUAGUGAGUAGUAGUGUGAAAAAGUAGAGUGCUAGCCUUUCUAAAGGCUAUAUGUUCUUUCUUUUCUACUGCAAUUCAUUACUUUUCAUUAAUACAGUUGCUGCUCUUCUAAAGUUCAUAUCCUCAUGCUCUUUUAUAGCUUAAUUGAUCCCUAACAUUUUAAUACUCCCAAAAAAUAUGCUAACAUGCUCUUUAUAAUUAAUUUUAUUACUCCCGAAAAAUAUUUAUUAUUUUUCCACAUCUUUUAUGUUGCUUCUUCCUCGGCUUCAAAACAAAUAUUGCCAUAACAAAAAAGUCAUAUUGCAAUCCAAAAAUGAAAUAUUAAACUACAUGUUAUCCCAAAACAAUCAAACCUUGCCCAAAAAUGAAAGCAAACGUGGCAAACGAAAUUUUGAAUCUAAUAAUCAUCAAGAUUAAUCUGGGAGUAGCACAACCAAAUAUGGCUACAGCUAAGGAAAACACAAGGCUCAUGUGAGAAUAUAUGGUUCCACUGGUCGUGGAAAGCCGAUUCAGCAUCGUAUAUCUGACGUUUGGUGAAGCAAACUCCUACCUGAGGAGAAAUGUUAUCAACAUGUUCUAAAAUGCUCUACAAUUCUUUAGAAGAGUUACGGAGAAUCCCAAGGCUCAUAUAUCAAGAUUUUUACACAUAUACACAACUAUUGAGUAUCCAGGGGUGUCAAGCGAAGCAAUUACACUAAGACUCUUUCCAUACACGUUGAGAGACUCAACAAGAGAGUGACUAAUCCGCCUCAGAGCAUCACUACAUGGAACCGAGUAAAAAAUUCCAUGGCAAAUAUUUCUCGUCAAAAAGGAUGCAAAACCUUAGAUGAGAUUACUACUUUUCAACAACUGGGCUUAGAAUGCUAUUCAAAGGCUUGGGAAUGACACAAAGGUUUAUUCUAUCAAUGUCUACAACACGGAUUGCAGAAGUGAACUUCAUGUGAAAUACUUCUACAUUGAUCUUUACUAGGGUUAACGUGGACUUUGCAUGCAAUGAUUUUAUCACCCAAAAAAACUAUAGAUCAAGUUUAUCAAAUUAUGGAGGAUCUAGCAUUCACUAGUGCGCUUUGACCUACAGAAAGGACGAGUAGAACGAAAGCUACUGGGGUAUUCGAAGUUGAUUCUUUGACUACAUGUUCAACAUAGUUGGCAUCAAUAGCACAGAUAGUGGAUCAGAUGAACACAAAUCAGACAGUGGGACUAAGAUGUAAACAUCGCAGAGAGAACCACGAGAGUUUUGAUUAUAAUGUAGGAUAUCCUUUUGUUCAGGCAAUGGAAGAUGUGAACUACACUCAAAUUUCUCAAAGACCACAAAACAAUCCGAAUCCUAACACCUACUACCUAAGCUUUCAAUAGAGUAAUAAUCAAGGGCCUAGAUAACGCCAUAGUCUACAUGACCAAGUUUUUAGUGAACUGAAAAAAAUCUUUGUUAGAAGAUAUUGUUACUAAAUUAGCGAAGAUAUCUAUCCAACACAUGUAAAGAAUAGAUAAAACCUUGCAAGCUUAGGGAGCUGCCAUCAAGAACUUGAAAACUUAGAUGGGACAAAUAGGGAAAGCACUUUCAAAGAGACUACUAAGAAACAUUGCCCAUUGAUACAGAGACAAAUCCUAAAUAGUAGGUAAUGGUAGUGGAGAUAGUAGAGAAAGAGCAGAUUGAGGCAAUAACUACCUGUAGUGGAGUUCAACUGUUAGAGAUUAAUGUAAAGAAAUCAGUUGCUAAUAAAGAGAAGGUAAUACCACGGUUGAGAAGCAAUUGGAGAAACCAAAGCAGAACAAAGAAGUGAAGACAGAAAGAGCAUUAGAGGAUCCAAAGGUUAAAGAAACUGCUCCUAUUAAAGAAUUUGUUCCACUACUACCUUUUUCACAAAGACUGCAAAAGAGAAAGCUUGAUGAUCAAUUCGAGAAGUUCCUGGAUAUACUAAAAAGGCCCCACAUUAACAUCCAUUCAUCGAUGCAAUUCUAUAGAUCCCAAUGUAUGCAAAGUUCCUGAAGGACAUGAUAUCUAAGAAAAGAAAGCUUCCAGACUAGGAAGAGUGGUAUUGAUCGAGGAAAGCAGUGCAAGGUUACAAAAUAAAUUGCCGCCAAAACUCAACGACCGAAGGAGUUUCACUUUAGCUAUUUCACUGGGCAAAGGAUUUCAUUUUCAUGGUUUAUGUGAUAUAGGUGCAAGUAUAGCUUCCAGACUAGGAAGAGUGGUUUGACCGAGGAAAGCAAUGCAAGGUUACAAAAUAAAUUGUCGCCAAAACUCAAAGACCCAAGGAGUUUCACUUUACCUAUUUCACUGGGCAAAGGAUUUCAUUUUCAUGCUUUAUGUGAUAUAAGUGCAAGUGUAAAUUUAAUGUCUUUGUCUACUUUUAGAAAACUAGGAGUUGGAAAAGUUAAAGGAUCGAAUGUAAUGCUACAACUGGUAGAUAGAAUCAUCAUAUACCCAUGGGAAAAGGUUGAUGAUGUCCUUAUCAAGGUUGGGAAGAUGACCAAAAUAUACCAAUAAUAUUAAGUCGACCUUUUUAGCAACAAGUUGAACUUUGAUUGACAUGGAGAAGGGUGAGCUAACUGUGAGGGCGGAGGAUGCACAUGAGAUCUUUAAACUAUAUAAUCCAUCGAAGCAACCAUUAGUACCGAAGGAUGUCAAAUAUAUUGCUAAAGAAGUGCAACAAGGCUCGAAGGAGAUAGAACCUAAACAUCUAAGAAGCCUUGGACGAAAGGAGAAUGGAGAGUUCAAAGCUUGGAAGGCAAAAAGAAGAUAUAAAGUUAGUAAUUGCAAGGAGUGUAAGGUUGCAAUAUUCCAGCAUAAACGACCAUAAUCAAUCACUCUGUACAGUCUAGCUAAAGACUAUAAACUAAGCGCUCAUUGGGCAAUUUUCUAACUCUUCUUUACUUUUCUUUCUGUACUGUAUAUAGAUUUAUUAUUAAUUUGUAUUAGACUUAGGCAUGUUUCAAUUUAUAGGGUAUGCUCUAUUAUGUUUUGCCUAGGUCCUUGAGUUUACUGUAGGUUACUUCAAUUGUUUGGGCUAAGUUACGCAUGUUCUAGGUUAUUUAACCUUUAAUGUUUAAUUUGACCACUAUGUGUAGGAACAUGACGUCAUGGAACACUCAAACCAAUAUAGACUAAGGAAAAAACAUGAUGAGUGAGAUAGUCUAGCCGUCACCAAUAGUACCUCACACAUUCAACAUAACCUUCUUCCUUCUCUUCCAUUUUCCCUUAUAUUCUUACUUAUGCUUUAAGACAUCGAGAACAAUGUCGAUUUUAAGUUUAAGGGUGGGAAAAACAUUGAGUUUUACUUUUCAUGUGUUUUUGAGUGUUUGUAUGUUUGGUUUUCGUUAUCGCUUUAGUAUAUAAUAGAAAAUUAUAAAAAAUGGAAAAUUUUGAAGAAUUUCAAAAAUAUUUCUUUUUUAAGUCGUAUGUUUGUGUGGGUUAGAUAAUCUGGUCAACAAUGAUGGUUUAAUUUGAGAUUCAGUGUUGAUUUAUGAACUGUAGAUAUGAUGCAUGUUAGACCGAUUGAAGCUUAAACUUGCAGAAUUUGAUAUUAUACAUGCAAAAAAAAUUGAGUUUUACAUCAUGAUGUAAUAAGUUGAUUCAUAGACUGGAUAGGUUGGAAGAUUCAACAUAGAUGCCAAACCCAAACCAUGCUAAAUUAUUUAUUCUUAGACCAAAUUUAGCACAGUUUGUAGUCUUACUGUUGAAAGAAGAUGUGGAUGUGAAUGUGGAUUCCUAGUGUGAAAAAGCUAUGUGUAGAUUAUCUUAGACUAACAAGAUUAAAUUGGGCGAAAUUCUUAGGUUGAAGGUCGAUUUGUUUGAAUAGAUGUGUGAUAAAGAGCAUUUCACCAAUCAAGGCAUAUAAUUUUUAAAACUUCUCUUUGAUGUAUUUAUGACUCGAGUUAAUUAAGCCUACAAAUGUAUCUUAAAAUCUAGUGCACUAAAGUCAUCUGACUUGGGAGCCAUUGGCCUAAAGUGAGUUAUACACGAGUUAUUUAGAAAGCAACCAGAGAUGAAAAUGCGCAAAUUCUAUUCGAAGUCUUUUAGCUUGCUAUAUGGUGUCAUCUAGAAAGCUUAAGAAAUGGAAUGCAAAAAGGGGAAAAAAACUUUUGAAAAUCAGAAAAAGCAAGUGCAUAAGAAAAGCAGAAACACUAAAUGCCUUAGUUAAACCCUAACACUUGUUUAAAGGAAUUUGACUUUUGAUGAAAGACAAUUAGCCUAGUCGAGCCUUGGCGGUCGAAGCAGUCAAAUAAAUGGAAAAUCUUUGUUUAUUGAUGUAUUGACUUGUAGUUAAUAAUGUCCACCUGAACUAAAGAGGGUGAGGGUAGCAAUGAAAUAUUCGAUCUUAAAUUACACAUCGCAAACGAGUGAAAAAAAAAAAGAUAAGAAAAUUGGUGGUGUGUAAAUCAUACGAGAAAUGAAAGGAUAUAUUUGACCACAGAGGAUUGAGAAUUGAAACAACUUGUGUAUUCUAAUUGAUUAAUUAAUAAUUCAUACACACAUCGAUUUUACAUUGAAAUAGUGGAUAUUGGUUUGGUGUUGCAACUUUGAAGCAUGUUCGUGGAUUUAACAUUGAGGUCUUGAAUAUUGAGGUAAAAAAUUAGAUUGUCUAAUAAAAUAUUUCUGCAUGCUUAUGUGUUUGUUGUUAUUUAGGUGAUAUUUUUGUUUGAGGACAAAAAAUGUUUAAGUUCUGAGGUGUUUACACUGAUCGCUGAUCUCGAGGUUAUUUCUCAGAUGAUUGUCUCUCCAAUGAUCCUCUGCCCACAAUAUUCUUCACUAGGUGAUCAUUUGCCUCCUACCACUUUUUAUUGCACUUCUCGUGUAUCUCAUCCACCAGUUAGGCAUAGUUUUUCUCCCAUAGCUCUUUGUCUGUUACCUUUAACACAGUUUCUAUCCCCUUCCUAUAGACAGGCUAUGAAACAAGAGUGUUAGCUGUUGCAAUGAAUGCAGAAUUUGAGGUUCUUGAGACCAACCAAACAUAGGAUGUAUUAUACCUUGUCCACGGGCUGUGAAAUCCAUUGGAAGUGAAUGGGUAUAUUCAGUCAAGUUUCAUUUUGAUGGUUCUCUUGAGCGCUAUAAGACUCGGUUGGUUACCAUAGGUGAUCGUCAAGAGUAUGGAAUCGACUACGAUGAGACAUUUGCUCCUCUGGCUAAAAUGACCAUCAUUUGUCUAUUGUUAUCUUUUGCCGCUUCUCAAUCUUAGUCUCUACAUCAAAUGGAUGUAAAAAAUGCAUUCUUACAUGGUGACCUCAAAGAAGACAUUUAUAUGAAGCUUCCAUUUGGUAUGCCUCUUCCCUCAGCUAACUCUGUAUGUAAGUAUGGUCUUAAGCAAGCUCCUCGAACUUGGUUUUACAAGUUUUGUUGUACUCUUUACCAAAUGCUUGAUACCGUUGUAUGGCUGCGUGGUUUUCUAACUAACUUGAUUUUUCCCAAUCACAGCCUACUCCUUUCCAUGGUUACAACACUAGUGCUAUUCAGAUUGCAGCUAAUCCUGUAUACCAUGAAUGUACCAAACAUAUUGAGGUGGGCUGUCAUUAUAUUCGAAAUGCCUAUAGUUCUAGGAAUAUCGUUCCUCCCCAUGUUCUCACUACUCAACAAAUCACGGAUAUCUUCACUAAAUCCCUAAUUCGCCUCAACCAUAAUCUUCUUGUCAGCAACCAGCUCUUAUAAGUGAUAGCUGCUGAAUUACUUCCUACUUCUUGAUAUAAAAGUCUCUUUCUACGUAUUAUCAUACUAAUAUGCAAUAUCCAUAGCUUUUUAGAAGUUUUUGAAAGUAUUUUACAAUUUAACUAGAUCUUGAGAUAAUGUCACUAUUUCUGGAAAAAAAAAAUAGAUACCACUUCGGAAGUGUAUAAAUAUGCUUCACUUCAAAAUUAGUAGCGACUCUCUACUAAUUAUUAUUGUAUACUGAAAUGAUGGUAAAAGAUAUAGUACAAGAUGGUAAAAUCACCAAAUGUAGCAGUUUUUUUUUUUCCAAAUGGAGUUGUGUCUAAUGACAUCAUUAGCAAGUAGGAAAAUAUUUUAUACUUGAUGAAGGAAACCAAAGAUUGAAGAAGGCAACAAUAACUGAGCGGAUUGCCACAAGAACUGACACAACGAAAUUUACGAGUAAGUAAAUGCUAAUAAACAGAGAAAAGUCGAACACAUGUACUUCAAAAGUCACAUAUGCUAGCCAAUGUUCAGUUACCACAAGUGAAAAAUGCUACAUGACAUAGAUUUCCUCAAAAUAUACAGUGCCCUCAACUUCCCCACCAUGAAGGUGUUUGAGCCACAUUAUUUUAGUAAUACUGCAUUCUUAAUUAGUGUAUUGAUGGAAAAUGUGUGAUUAAAAAAUAAGAAAAAGUUUUUUUAUUUACGUAUAAUAUUAUUUUAUUGAAAAAUAUAUGGUUGAAAUGAUGUCAUAUCACUAUUUAAUAAUGUAUUUUUUUGGAAUAAUGUGGCUCAAACAGGCCCCAUAUAUGAUGGCUCUCAACUCAACCUUGUCUGAGCGAAAUUCCAUCAAAGAAUCAAGUUGUGCCUAAGUAAGUCUUUGAUUGUGAUUAACUAAAAUUUAUCUUAAUAGCUAAGUAGAUUGGGUGAGUCACAACCUCAUUUGACCAACUACGAUUUAAUUUCGUUUAAAGGCACAUUGUCAAAAUUUGUUUCAUCUUAUGGAUUAAGUCAAGCCCAAGGAAUCUCGAUCCAGCUCAAGCAUAAGUCAACUCAAUAUCAACCUAGACCGAGCAUAAUUUUUCCUAAGGUCAAAUUGAGCCUCGCAAGUCUAGAAUGCCAUUUGAAUAAUCCCUCCCAUGGAUCGAGUCAAGCUCAAAAAGUAUCGGCAUUUAUAUACACAAUUUGUUGCAUUACAUUUCCUACACAUACCAUUCCAAUUAACCAAGCUCAUAGUCUCAACUUUUUCCAAACUAAAAAUGAAAUACUUUUUGUCAAAGAUGAACUGUCUCCAAAAUUUUAUUUUGAGAUGAAAUUAACAAACAAAGUCUUAUGAACAAAAAUGAAUGGGAUGGAGCAUCAGUUGAUGUUCUUUGUAAAAUAACUGUAGUGAAAAGAGAAGUAGAAUGCACAGUAUUCAUCUUGCAUUUAAUGAAAACCAAGUUAUCAUUUACUAUGAAUCCUAUUUCUUUGGGAGACAUGGUUAGCUCCUCAAUGUCAGUGAAAUCAACCGGUGGCGUUUUUAAAAUUUUAUUAAUUGUUUGCAGCUCUAACAAAUACAACUAUUAAUCACACAAUCUUUGUUAGUUAAUAAAUUACUUAAAAAUAAUGACUCAAAGGCUUGAAAAUGAAAAACAUUAAUUGUCAAAGUACUUUGUCUCUGCACAAAAUUCAUGAGAAACAGCAAUAGCAAUUACCUUCUAGUUGACAAAAAAACGAUAUGGAGUUAGAGUUUUGAUUCACAAUGAUUUUUCACCCAAAUAGAAAUUAAUAAAUUCUUGACAUACAAAGUCACUUUUAGAUUGAUAGAAGUAGCAUUAGAAAUGUGCCAAUAGAAUCCCAACCUCAUCCACUCCAUGUAGACAUCACUUGCACACUAAAUACCCCAUCAGAAGGCAAAGGUCGUCGGUCUAGAAAAAGGUUCGUUGACCAUUUGCACUCCGACGAUCAAGUUAACGACGAGACUAAAGAUAAUAUGAGUGCAGAAGAGGAAGAGGGGUUUGGUUAGGGAAAGAAAACAAACCUUCAUGUGAAAUGAUUAUAUAGGAAAAUCUAAAUUGGCCGAGUGAUUAAUGGGCUGAGCCCAAGAUGAAAUUGUUUAAUUAAAAUGGGCCCAAUCAAUUAUAUGUCUAUGCCACAUCUACCAUGUGCGGGUCGAACUUCGGAAUAUAAGUAGUAAACUAGGCUCAGUCUUACAGAUUGCCUCAAAAAUAUGGGUAGCUCCAAUCAGCAAGGACUUACGAAUUGCCUCCCAUGCGAGCUAGAAUAAUCGAGACUUACAGAUUCCCUCGAAAUGUCGCAUAUAAUUUGUCAAAAUUUUAACAGCAACUCCUCUAUAAUAUGGACUAAAUCAACAUGUAAUACAAUACAAUAUAUCCAUUACACAUGUACAAAAUAAAGAGAAAUAGUCAUAGUUUAAAUUUGUCUAAAAUAUAAUAUGCAAAGUGUUUGUAAUACAUUAUAGUAAACCAUAUGCUUGGACAGAUCAGUGUAACAGUAUUGCUAAUGUGAAACAAGUAACAUUUUUAUAAUGUAGAUAAGGUGACAUACAUUAGCAACAAUGUUGCCUACAUACUUGGUAGCGAUAAUGGUACUAAGAUAGUAAUGGUACUAAGAUACUAGAUAUUGGUAUCACAAUAGUCCCUAAGUCUGAGUCAAAUAUUUAUAUACGAGUUGAAUUUGACAUAUACUGUGAUGAAACUAACGUAGAGGCAAGACUCUGAAUAUUCUGAAUGGAUAGUAGAGGCAAUACUCUGAAUGUAAGUAUCAGAUGCGAUGCUCUAGAUGUAUAAGUAGCAGAGGCGAUAUUCUGAACAUAUAAAUAGCAGAGGCGAUGAUAUGGACAUAAGCAGCUGUGAUAAGCUGUCCAGCCAUGGGAGGGGUUAACUUCUAAGGUAGCAAGGUGUGGCUCCCUAUGAGGUUUCACACUUAUCCUUGUCGAAACUAUCUUUUUUAUUACCUCCUUGCAAGGGGAUAGCUCUUUUGCGCAAAGGCUUCUUCCAUGGUAAAAUCCAGCCAUGGAAUCUUACGUAGGUUAUUGUAGAUGUGACAGCCGAAGUAGAAGCAAAGUUUUGAAAGAUAGGCAUCUGUAACGUAGUUCUUGUAGAGUCAUGAUGAGCUAUUUGAAUACAGAUAUAGCUAUGUUAUAUCUAAUGAAGUGAUGUGGCUCUGAGUACUGCUGCUUGUGAGAAGCUGAUGUAGAAGUAUGAUGAGCUCUCUUAACUAUAAAUGUAUCUGAAUAUUGAACUGAUGAAUCAUAUCAGAGUCUUAUAAGCUAGCCUUGAAAUGAUGAGGUCUUACAACUAAGUUAGACGAUAGUGAUAAGUGAGGAAAAAACAUCUUAUGAAGCCAGGAUUAAGCAUCUGGUGAAACGGGAAAUAAACAUAUCACUAAUAGCUCUCGAACUAUCGGAGUCUUAUAAGCAGUCUCAGAAUGAUGAGAUCUUACAGCUAAGCUCGAUGAUAGUGAAAGAUAAUGAAUAAGCACUUCGCAAAGCUAGGAAAAAGCAUCUGGUGAGACGGAAAAUAGACAUCCUGCAAAUAGCUUUCGAACUAUUGUAGGCAAGGAAUAAGUAUUUCGUAAAGCCAGGAAUAAGCGUCUAGCAAAGUGACGAAUAGUGACGAGCGCUUAUAGCUAAGCUCGACAAUAAUGAGAGAUGAUGAAUAAACAUCUCACAAAAUCAGGAAUAAGCAUCUGACAAGGUGGGGAAUAAACAAGGAGCGCUCUGUUUAAACUCACUGAUAAUGAGAAGCAAGGAAUAAUGAUCUCGCAAAGCCAAGAAUAAGAAUCUAGCGAGGGGUGGAAUAAAUAUCCCGCAAAUAACUCUAAAACUAUCGUUGUCUUAUAAACUUGUAGCGAGGGGUGGAGUAAAUAUCCCGCAAAUAACUCUCAAACUAUCAUUGUCUUAUAAACUUGCCUCGAAAUGACGAGGUUUUAUAGCUAGGCUCGACGAUUGUGAGAGAUGAGAAAUAAUAUCUCGCAAAGUCAAUAUUGAGCAUCUAGUGAGGCGGGGAAUAACAUCUCAAACUAUCGAAAUCUUAUUAGCCUCCAAUAGACGAGGUCGUAUAACUAGGUUUGACAAUAGUAAGAGGAGAGGAAUAAACAUCUCGUGAAGGUAGUUCAAGAAAGGCUCCUUUCGCAAUUGUAUAUCACCUGUACACUGAACACCCUAUUAGAAGGUAAAGGCCACCGGUCGAGAAAAAGAUCCGACGACCAUCUGCACUCCAACGGUUAAGUCAACGACCUAACAAUAGAUAAUAUGAGUACAAGAGAAGAAGAAUGGGUUUGGUUAGGGUUAGAAAACAUACCUUCGGUGAAAUGAAAUCACACAUAUAUAUAGGAAAAUGUAAAUGGGCCGAGCCCAAGAUGCAAUUAUUUAAUUAAAAUAGGCCCAAUCAAAUAGAUGUCGUUGCCACGUCAGUUAAUGUGGGACUCCGUCCAUCAUGUGCCACGUAAUUUUUGAGUAUAACGGAAGUCUUCUACUACAAUCAAUAAUCACUUGCCAUAGGUGAAAAUUUUAUAAUACAGGUGUCAGUAUAGCAACUCCCGCUAUGUAUGCUGGCGCUAUUGACAAAACACUUACUGGAAGUAAGCCGAACCAGAGGCCUUACUUAUGACAACCGAAAAUUAAAUAUUGAAAGCAUUACAAAUGUGAAGACUGAAGUUAAUAUUGAAAAAUUAACUGCCAACAGGAAGACUCACUCAAAUAACUGAACACAAGUAAGAAGUCAUCAGAUGCGAAAUUGUUGCUGACUCGAUAACGGCAAUACAGAAAACACUUGCUAACAACUUUAAUGUAAAUAUAAAAAAUAAAAUAAAAUGAUCUGACCAGGCAUGUGUCUUCUGUUGCUGCUAGCUUUCCAGAGAACUCUAAAUGAGUUAUUGAACAGGAUAAAAAAAUUUACUGAAGCGCAUAAUGUCUUUGUUAGAAUAUAACUAAAAAUAUCAGCACAAAGGCUAAUUGUCAUGCUGUCGUUUGUCUCCCACAGCGACAUUCAAGAGAAAUAGAAAUAGCAGCAACCUUCCAGCUCUUAAUUCUCAAUGCAUAUGCUGGUUAUUAACACAAUCCUACUAAUUGGAAGGAAAUGAUUCAUAUUAUUUGAUUAAAGAAAACAGAGACCAAUAAACAGGGACUCAUCUGAUUUCCAUAAGAAAUGCAUAUGCUGGUUAUUAACACAAUCCUACUAAUUGGAAGGAAAUGAUUCAUACUAUUGGAUUAAAGAAACCAGAGACCAAUAAACAGGGACCCAUCUGAUUUCCAUAAGAACUCAUGCAAUGAAACACAAAGAAGGGUUAAAAAACAUCAGUCUUCAGAAUCAGAAGUCUCCUAUGGAAUGAUCAAUCUUUCCACCUCAGUCGAAUCUGAUAAAACGAGCAACCCACAAUUGUCCAUAGAACACUCAUUGCUUCAUUAGAAUAUCAGAAUACGAAACUAUUGAGUAAUACAUAAUAAAAAGCUCACUUGAUAAAUGAUUUUGGAUACGAAUCUUUGCUGAAAAAGUAAGGGGACUCGAGUUAGCAAUAAUUAUAGAGACGAAUCGAAACCAGCAACCAUAAAAAGAAAUCUCAGUAUUCGAAUGAUAAUGUUAUUUCUAUUCCUGUUGGAAAGGGCUAAUUAUCUCCCUGCUGAAAUAGGGAAAGAAUACAAGACUUGGAAGAUAUAACUUUUUAGAUGUACGGAAACUACUAAUUUUACAGAAAUAGAGUUCUGGAAAAUGGAGAAAGAAAUCCUCAUAUUCGAAGAAUAAUGUUGAUUGAAACCACUAAUUUUCAGGAUUGAACUAAUAAAAAAAACAGAAAACUAACUAAACAAAGUCAAAAUUUCAUGAAAGAAACGGCUACUAAGAAGUGGUUUAAACAAAAUGGCUACUGUCACCAAAAUCAGUCAUAGCUACUAAGUAGUCAUUUCUUAUCAAUUCAUGCUGAUAAAAAUAACCAUUCAAAGUGCCACUCCAAUACUAAAAGCUGAUUUUUCUUCCCUGCAAAUGGCUACUGUCACCAAAAUCAGUCAUAGCUACUAUGUAGUGAUUUCUUAUCAAUUCAUGCUGAUAAGAAUAACCAUUCAAAGUGCCACUCCGAUACUAAAAGCUGGUUUUUCUUCCCUGCAUUCUAAUGGAUAUUCAAUAUUCAAUUGAAGCAAAAAAGAGUGACAAAUCACUUAAUGAAAAGAAAACACAAAUUAUGAUGAUUUAAAUUGAAUAUAACAAGCACAUAUCUGACAAAACCCUAUGGUUUGCUUCUACAAAUCAGACGAAACCCAAGUUCAUGAUCAGUUAAACUAAAAUGAAACCUAGAAAAGAUCUUCUAUAUUCGAAUAAUAAUGUUAUUUCUAUUCCUAUGGAAAGGGUUAAUUAUCUGCCUGCUGAAAUAGGGAAGGAAUACAAGACUUGGAAGUAGAAUUAGAGUUCUGCAUGUAUAACUUUAUAUAGAUGUACGAAAACUACUAAUUUUACAAAAUUGGAAUUCUGCAAGAAGGAGAAAGAAAUCCCCACAUUCGAAAAAUCAUGUCGAUUGAAACCAUUAAUUUUUAGGAUUGAACUAAUCAGAAAAAUAGAAAACUAACUAAACUAAAUCAAAAUUUCAUGAAAGAAGUAACUACUAAGAAAUGGUUUAAACAAGAUGGCUACUGUCACCAGAAUCAGUCAUAGCUACUAAUUGUGAUUUCUUAUCAAUUCGUAUUGAUAAGAAAAACCAUUCUCUGUGCCAUUCGAUACUAAAAGCUGAUUUUUCUUCCCUGCAUUAAAAUGGAUAUUCAAGAUUCGAUUGAAGCAAAAAAGAGGGACAAAUCACUUAAUUGAAAAGAAAACAGAAACCUAGAAAAGAUCUUCUAUGCUCAUCCCAAUACACAAAGAAUGUAACCAUAAAAAUGAAAUUACAGAAAUACAAACAGAAUUCUCUGAGAACAUAAUCAUAAAUAAAAUGGAGAAGGAACCACAAACAUAAUACAAAAUCAUAGUCAACCACAGAAAAUUCACAGAAACAAAUCAAAUGAAACUCAGUCUUGAUCAUCACUCCAAAGAACAAAGUCAAGAAAAAUGAUCCUUAUAAAUUCGUCCAAAUGCACCAGCAAGCAUGUGAUAAAGACAUACACACAGACACACACACACACAAAAGGGGGGAGAGAGAGAAUGAGAAUAGCUCUAAGAACAACUUCUAAAGUAAACAUUCUGAAAAUGAAAAAGGAACCACAAACACAACACAUAAAAUACAAAUUACAUUAAAGGUUGAACCCACAGCGAAUGUGACAUCAAUAAAUCCAGUGAAAUUCAAAAUUCAUCAUCAUCCAAAGAACAAAAGACCCACAGAGCAUCCUUCAAUAUUCAUUUAACGCAGCAAAAAGAAUGCAACUAGGAAGACACGGCAAUUACAUAAAUAUAGAGAACAUUAUUACACUUAGAAACAUAAUUGUUGAAAUAACUGAAAAAAAUAAAAUAAUAAUAAUAAUAAUAAUAAUAAUAAUAAUAAUAAUAAUAAUAAUAAUAAAUAAAUAAAUAAAUCAAACACGCACACACAAAUUAUUAAUAUUCAAACCAAACACAGAUUCAAUUAUAGAUUUCGCCCAUAUAAAAUUCACAGAACAAAUACAAAUACAGCGAAACCCAUGAUGGAUUAUCACUCUAAAAGACAACUAAUCAAGAUCCAUCCAAAUAUAAACAAAACACCAAACACAACCAUUAAUGAUAAAUCACUGCUUCGUGAUUUCAAAUUUAUGUGACUUCUCAGAAGGAAAAUGAUCAAUUCAUGUCUACGGGAAAAACCAUUCUCGGUGCCAUAUAUAAAAUGAAAAGAAAAGAGAAUUCACUGUUGUGAUCAUCACUCUGACCCUGAAAAAAUCCCGCAGGAUAAAGAAAACAAACCAGUGACCCAAAUUUUGAUCACCAGUUGGACAAAAGAACAAAACCUGGAAACUAUCCUUCAAGAUUCCUUCUAUGCAUGAAUAAAGAACAUGAUUGUCGUACCGGAAUCCAUCUUCAGAAAUCCUUGUCUAGUUCUUCUUGACCGAGAUACCUCAAGAAUCACUCUUGAUCGAGAAACCCCAAGCCUCACUUUGAAGAACUAGGGAUUAUAGUAGGUUCUACAUAACGGUCUUAUUUUUAUAAAUUUCAUAUUACUCCAUUGGAUUAAGAACAAAUAAACGGUUCAGAUUUUAGGGAGCUCCCAAGUAAAUUACAAGCCCCUUGCAAAAUUUACCGUUGGAUUAACUUUUAUUCCUUCUGUGGAGAAAAUAAAAACCUUCUUCAAUUUAUUUUCUUUAUUUUUUGUCAUUAUAUAUUUACAGCUAAAAAGGUAUUAAUUUGAGGAAGCCUAUUUUGCGUGUUUUGUUUAAUUUUAAUAAUUUGAAACAAAAUUUAUCAAACAUUGACAAUGAAAAUGAAAAGUCCAAUUGUAUUCUAUAUGGAAAAAAUUAAAACUUGUUGUAGCAAGCAUGUAAAUUAAAAGAAGUUGAAAUUAUUAAAUUUUCUCUUUUUUUUUAAAAAAAAUUUUUUUAUAUUAAUUUCUUUCUCGAAAUGUCAUUAUUCAUGUUAGUUUGUCAAUUGAACUCCUAAUACAAUCAAAGAUAACACCAAAUCAAAAGAGAAAUUAAAAACCGAAAGAGAGUUUACGACAGAAAAGAGCUCUAAAUCAAUCACACAAAAAAGUCCUAUACAACAAAAGAUUCUCAAACGAGCAAUAUUAUGCUCAUUUGGAAGAGGUUCCUACACAAUUUUUUUUCUGAGUUUAAAUUUAAAAAUUGUUUAAUUGAAUGAAUUACAAUAUAAUAAUGAAUUUUUCAUAUAAAAUUUAUCUGUUUGUCAUGUCAUAGAUUAAGUAGAUGAUGAUUGAUACACUCACGCGUUGAAAUUUUAACUACUAUUUUUCAAUUAGGUAUAAAAAAUGAAAACCACCUAGGGCUGAUGAUUUUUACAUUCAAAAGAUUAACUUUUGCAUUAGUAUGGGUGAAAACAUUGUUGGAGAGUGUAGUUUAAGUAAAAUUUCAUGUCGAUCAUAAAAAUUAUUUAUGAAUAAUGACAUUUCGAGAAAGAAAUUAAGUGUUAUGUUGUUUAGUCUAUUUUGAAUGUGUUUCAAUUACGAUACUUGAUUAGUUCCUAUCAGACAACUUAAUAACCACACUAGAAGUCGCAUUCAUAUAUUUUCUAUCAAUGGGAUUUUAAAUUAUUCAAACUAUCGUCAACAAAGUUUUAUAAUUAAAAUGAAACUUUACCUGAAGUACUACAACAAAUUGUGCUUAUUACUUAAAUAUGCGAGGGAUAAUUGUAUCAAAGUCCCAAAAUUUUUUAAAAUGUACAUAUUAUACCCAAAUCUUUAAAUUUCAGUAGCAAAUGAUCCAAAGCUUUCAAAAUUGUGGUGAAUGAAUCGUUAGUUGACAAGAGUCGGCGUUCAACCAUAACUUGAUGUAACUUUUAAAAGGUUAAAUAGACUUUUAACCUUUGAUUAAUUAAAAAUUUGCAUUGUAGGUCCUAAAGCUUUCAUGAUGUGCAACGGAGGUCCCAAACAUUUAAUAAAUAGAUGUUGGAUGACCUCUAACGACUUUCAUCCAAAAAGUUAUCAACUCACCAAAAUUAUUCGUCUUCCCAAUUCACUUAAUCACCCAACCCCAAUGCCUAAUCCCUAGCUCAAAAGUGUUUUGAAGUGGUAGCAAAAUAAUUCUAAGCACUAUUUUAGUUUGGAAUCUUUGGAUACUUAAUUUUUAGAUUUAGAUUUCUAGUGAGCCUUAUUACCCUAGUUGAAGUUUGGAGGUUGAGACAUUCAAACUUAGGAAGAAUCAUAUCGAAGUAAUGACUUUUAUUAGUGAAACUCAACCAAACUUGAGUGUGAAACAAAAGAGCAUAGUGUAAUCUACCUUAGAAUAAAAACCAUGGGUAAUUGAUUGAAAAAAUAAGUACAUACACACAUCGAUCGAGCAUAGAAUAAAUAAAGAAUUUGUUUUAGUUGAAUUACUCUUAUCUCCUAUUGUUACUAUAAAAGGAAUUAACUAUUUAGUUUUUUGUCCAUAAAACGGACAUUUGCAUAGUCUGUAGGUGAUUGGUACUUCAACUGAAACAUAGCAAAGCAUGUUUUGAUUUUGGUUGUGGAUGAUACAGUUAAGCUUACUUUAGGCUCACUAAAAUCCCUUUUCUUCUCCAUCAACAAUUGUCUUAGUAAUCAAUCCAAGUAUUAAAUUGCAGGUACAUGCAAUGUAGCUGUUACCAAUUCUUAGAGAAUAUGGUGAGUUAAUGUCCUUUCGCACGUUAUAAAAAGUAUGCACAAUGUUGAAUCAUAUUACAAAAUUCAGUUAUCCUACAUUUAUGUACCGGGUUUUGAUUGACAUUUUAUGUCCAUAAGAACUUAAUGUGUAAUAACAAUGAAAUGAUGGUGAUCAAUUUGUUCAUUUUUAAAAUCUGGGGAUUAACUUGCAAGAGAGUAAUAAAAUGGAGACUAACGAUUUCUCAUUGGAGCAGGAUUCAAAAUCUAUAUAAUUAUAGGUUUUGACCUUGCGUGAUAAUUCUAAAAUUGUCAAGCAUAUUUAUCAUAUUAAAGAUUUUAAGAUCAUUACAACCCGUGUCAGGCUUACUUUUGUAAUGCUGUAAUUUUAAGAGAUUUAGGGUGCUUUUGAUUACAUGUAUGUAAUUUGCAUGAAAAGAAAAUAAAUUUUAGGUAAUUCAAUUGCCUAGAAUUUAUUUGUAUGAAAAUUGUCAAAUAAAUGUGUUUGAUUGAUUUAAUUUUCAAUUUAGAAAACAUUAUACUUGUUCAUUUUUUUAUUGGUGGGUAGAUGAGAGAAAGUGGAUAAAUAAGAGAGAGUGAAUCUAUUGGAAAAUAAAAUCCUACUAUCCCUAAAUACAAUAUUAUCUUUAAUUUUGAGGAAAAUAUGGUCACGUGAAAAAAAGUAUGAAAAUAUUUUUCAUAGAAAAAUGGCAAUCAAAUAGAAGUAAUAAUUUUGGUGAAAAACACAUUUUUCACGAAAAAUAUUGAUAAUCAAACGCACCUUUAAAUUUUUUUGUGAUGAAUAAAUAACAGUACUAAGAAUGUAAACUUUUUUAUUCUGGAAAUGUUGUAUGUUUCAAAAUCAACAUUUUAACUUUUGGUAAUCAAAAGUCAUACACUAUUGAAAUUGUAUAUAAUUAAUAUAAAGGGUAUCAGUUAGAUAAUAUCUAUUUGUAUUAUUAUUAUCUUUGGUAGUAUUAUAAAAUUUAUUUUUAUCAUUUUAAAAAUAUAUAAUGUAUUUACCAGUGUUAUUUUAAAAUGAAAACAUUAUAUCUAAAAAUUUAUUAGAUUACAAAACAAAAGAAUAGUUUAUAUAGUAGCAAAAAAAAAAAAGAAUAAUAAUUUUAAUUAAUUGGUGUUAAACUUUGUAUUUUGGUCAUUGAUAAUUGGAGAAGUUAAAAGUAGACUCUGACAAUUUACUAAGUUGUUGCUUUUCAAUGUUUGUCGCCAGAUGAUACAAAUUUCUAAUUAAUUUUACUAAAAACCUAAAGUAACUUUUGUUUUUUAACAAUCGGAAGUUAAACAUUUCAGUCAAUUCCAAUGGAGUUUAACUUAGCCAAAUAUAAUUCGAUCAAAAAAAAAAAAAUUGUUUGGGAAGUGUUCACAAACAAUUUAAAUUAUAAAUAAAUAAAAUGAGUAAUGGCUAAGUGAGUUAUAUUUGCGUCAUUCGAGUGUGGACAAGCGUGAGUUGAGUAUUUAAAAUAGUUUAGAAACAUGAGCCAAAUGUAGGCAAAAUUAGCUUACACAAGCAUUGUUGAACUUCCUGGCUUCUUUCAAGCAUCAACUUUUUCUUUCAUACAAAAUACUUGAAAAUGAAAAUGAUAUUAGGACGUUGAGAAAUGUUAUGCCAUAAAAAAUGAGAAAAUAGUUGCAGAGUUCUGUAUUAAUAUUUCUAUCAUAUAGCAAAGUUUUUAUUAGUUUCUAGAUGGAAAAUGAUAAACAGGCAGGCUAAAAAAUGAGAAAUGAAAAACUAAAAACUGAUUGAUGUGGCAGUAAGUUGUUGAGUGUGUGUGUGUGAUUUUUUUUUUUUUUCAAAACCCUCCAAUCAUGCAUCGACAUGUAUGCAGCCUGUUUCUGUAGCAAUGCUCUUUCGAGAUAUAGAAUUCCUUCAUGCUAAAAUAAGUUUUAGCUCUUGUUUGGUGAGGAUUGAAAUUCAUAUUUUUAAAGUUAAAGUUAAUAAUUAAUUUUCAUUUAAUAUUUUUAUGAGACUCACAACUUUUUAACAACAUAUUUUAUCAACUUUUAAGAAAAUCUACUAAAAAAAUAUUUUAAUCUCCAUCAAGAGCCUAAUUUGCUUGGCCUAGUAUCUUUCCAUGUGAUUAGCAUCAAUAGUAUGUAAUAUUAUAGAGAAAUAUUUUGAUCUCAAUUUUUUUUAAAUUUAUUUUUUUCUUUUUCAAAUUCAUUUUCGAUCACACAUUUUAUGAGACUAACAAUUUUGUCUAAUCACAUAUAUCAUCAAUUUUUAUCAAAAUAUACUAAAAAUCUUAUUUUUAGACAAAUCAAGCAUGGGAUUUAUAGACAGUUGGAAGAUAUGUGUGUGGAUGAGGACUCUAACAAAAAAUAAAUGCAAUUCACAUUUUGGAAUAUGUAAAAGAGGCGACAAUUAACAAGUAGAGAGAGAAUUUCUUUUAUUUUUCAAAAACGAGUAUUAUCAGAAUUAAUUAUUGAUGGAGAUCAAAAGAUUACAUCAA
rnacentral:lncRNA from 1 species